UUCUUUUUUCUUGCUCUUUUCUACCACACUCAACUUUUUAUUCUUUUCUUUUACUCUACCUUUCUUUCUACUCAUUUUACAUCACGCACCCCUAUGAUAGCCACCUUUAACUUAGGCCAUUUGCCUAAGUCAAGGUGCACAGUGUCCAAAGAGGACUAGGGCCAAAACAGGUUCAUUAUGAUAUAAACUAGAAAAGUGACAGGUGUCAUAAAAAUAAAUUAUCAUGACCCGAACUAGGGCCUGGCCAUGACGGACAUCCCGAACCAUAAAGGCCGGGAACGCCCUUCUCUAUCUGGUAAUCAUGCACAACACUCAUAUAAUAAAGAAGAUGUGGAAACAUAGUCAGCUACGGAAACAUGUUCAAAUUCUAAUAUCAACAUAAGUAUGGAAAACUGUAGUGCAACUAUAGCUAAAUAACAUCUGACUCAGUCUGUGAAAUCUCUACUACAUGAAAAUCUAAUAACUGUCUGAAAAUUGGGACAAGGCCCCCAGUAGACCAAAACAAUAAUAAGGGUCAUAAUUUAAAAAACAGGCCUUCUGGAAUAGAGAAGGCUCACCAACUAAAUACUGUAAACUCUGUCUGACGAAUCUACUGCCUUUUUGGACCCGUAGACUAAGCCUCAGAACCUGGAGGGAGGAGGGGGGAUCAAUACAAAUGUACUGGUACACAAAGUAUUCCCAAAUAAAACUGUUAUAUAGAUAAAAUAGUUAGAGAGCAAAUCAUCAGAUACUAUACAUGAAAUAGUUCUAAAACACAUGGGCACUUUCUGAAAAUCACAAAUCAUUCUUAUCAAUGCAAUGUCUGAUCUUUGUAUAACUUAUGAGUUAGGUGGCACUCCUCUAAAAUUUUGAUAUUUCAUGGGCUGUAUGAAAUCCAUCAUUGACUCGGCGGGGAAUCCCCCAACCCGAGUGUGCCUCAAGGAUUGGAGUUUCUGAUUUGUAUACGCCACACGGCACUAGGUUAGCGUAAUAUAAUAUACCCGGAUCGGCAAAUCACGAUUUUAGGCAAUGAUUUAUCUGACUCAUGCCUUCUUCGAGGAACCACCUAAGCUCUCUUUAUGCUUAAUUUUAUUCUAUUUUGAAUGCAUUAUUAUAGUUUCAACAUCUGAAAAUUCUGACUUUAAACAUGUAUUCUAUUUUGUUCUGAAUUACCAUGGCAUAAUCUGAGUUGGUGUCGUCAUACCAAGACUUGCAAGUCCUAUUUCUGAGCCAUAAUGUACCAUACAUGAUGCUUUCAUAAAAACUCAAUUUAGACCACCCAAACAUGCAAUUAGUUUAAGAGAUUUCAUGUCCCAAAACACACAUCAAAACUAUGCAAAAACUCUUUAACAAUAUGGUGGUCAUGUGCCUUUAGAAAAAUCAUGCACUCUUCCAUUAUAGGAAUAUUUUCAACAUUUAUCAACAUAAAUAACCCUCUCUCUUUUGAAAUUGAAAUCAUAAGUUAAAUAUAACAUCAUUCAAAACAUUUCAUAACAUGCUUUUCAAGAUGCAGUUUAGAACAAUUCAUAUCAUAUGGAAGAUGAGAAAGAUCAUAACAAGAGAGGGAUUCAUUAUAAGUCAUCCUCUCAAUUAAAUAUUCAUCCUUAAACACAUUCAUACAUACAUACAUACAUAUAUANNNNNNNNNNNNNNNNNNNNNNNNNNNNNNNNNNNNNNNNNNNNNNNNNNNNNNNNNNNNNNNNNNNNNNNNNNNNNNNNNNNNNNNNNNNNNNNNNNNNNNNNNNNNNNNNNNNNNNNNNNNNNNNNNNNNNNNNNAUUUUGAAAACCCACGGUUGAAUCUUGAGUUUCUUAAAGUUCUUGUUUGAACCUCUAGAGAGGAUUCUUGAUGAUUUUGAUGAAAAUAGGGUUAAGUUGCUCAAACAUACCCUAAAUCCUUUGUUUGGAUGAUUUUAAAGGCUAGGGAAAAGUCAAAAUUAUCCUUAACAACUCCUAAACAGAACUAGAAAUUUGAACUUAAAAACUCAAUUUUGGGUGCCACCGCAAUGCGCCACAAUCGCGGUGGUCCACUGGAAUUCGAUGAGUGGGAAAUUGGGUGCCUCCGCGACACGCCACCAUUGCGGAACCCCACUGGAAUUUGACAAUUGUCAAUUUGACCCUCUCCGCGAUGCGCUAGACACCAAAAUGACGAUGUUUACGACUGAAACCUUAAAUUAUUCAUAACUUCUUCAUCGAGGGUCCAUUUUAGAUAAAUCUUAUAUCGUUGGAAGACAUCGGAGUGUUAUAGAAAUAGGAUAAUCAGGCUUAAAGCAGUGAUCAAGGGAUAUUCUACAUAGGGAAGGUUAUUUAGGAUAAAAGUGAGCUAAUAUCAAAAUGGCCUAUGAUCCUUUCCUAACCCCUAUCCUUCAACCAAGGUAAGACUAACUGGGCAAGUUCUAGAUUUCAACAUACAACGAAAACUGAGUAAGAUCUCACACGCACUUGGAACACAAGUAUAUCACAAGCUACUACUCAUUCAGUUCAUGCAGCUGUUUAGCAAUGAUUACUGCGUCACUAAAACUAAUGCCAUACAAAGAUGCACAGUGGUCACAAUCAGAUGCAAUUCACACAGUUAAAUACUUAGUCCAUUGGAGAGGUGCUCAAAAAUCACAAAAAUAUAUUAAAUGCCUAAGGUACUUGUAUUUCUCCUAGUCAACUACAAAAUUUUACAACAAAUCACAAUACGUCUAAACAUGCCGGCUCUACUAGGAACAAGACUCUGGAGAAAAGAGACACGACAACAAAAAACAAAAGAGGACAUCAACACCCACAAGUAGUCCCACCCUCAACUUAUAAUCAUACAUUAUCCUCAAUGCGUCAAACCAAAAUAAGAGAUUCACAAAUAUACAUGUGGCACCAUGGAUACAAAGAUCUGAUGUCAAUCAUAUAAUACAAAUACAAAUAAUAAAAUACCUUGGGUUGCCUUCCAAGAAGCUCCUAAUUUAGUGUCGCAGCACGAUAUCAUUCAGUCAUCCUUUAUCCCUCCCCUUAGAUGAUUUACAUUGUCGGCCCAUCUUUCAAUCUUUACUCUUUUUAGGUCCAUUGGGCAAAGGUGAGGGCAUGAUAAGGAAUGUUCUAUCACGCCACUUCAAAGACUUGAACCGCUUGACCAAUUUUGCAUCAAACUUUCGUGUGGGCUCAUUAGGAAGUAGUGUGGAUCUUAAAAAGCCACUAAAUGGACAUUGAUAUUUAGGCUUCUUGUCUUUUAUGAUUGGGGUUGUGGUAUACCCUUUUGGAAAGAUAAACUCCAAAAUGUAAAAAUUUUCCUCCUCAUUUUCAAAAUUCAUCAUUUGCUUGGGUAACUCAACUUUCAUCAUAUCCACCAGGCAUAAUGUUGAAAAAUGGUUCGAAUGAGGACUAACUCUUACUUUCGGAGAAGCAUCCCUAUUAGUAUCUUUACCCCAAAAUGGACUAGAGUCUUCACAGGGAUUGUGCUUUAUUUCUUCUUUUGCCUCUAGCACUAUUUCCCCAAUCUUGGCAUCAUUCCUCAUGGUUGGUUCGGUUGGUUGGAAAAUCUCCAAGGGUUGAUCAACAUCAAGCUCAUCAUCAGUAUAGGAUUCUUGCUCCUCAUAUUCACACUCUUCGAUUAGUCUAAAUGAUUCCAUAAAUAAGAUAUCAUCUAAACAUAAUGUGGAAGAGUGCCUUAUAUGAUUGACCUCGAUAUUCAUCUCACCUAUCCUUUCUCUUUCCUUGUUAAAUUCCCUAAUGUCUUGACAUAUAUCACAUAUGAUAUCAUUCGUUACGUCCAUACGAUCCAACAUUAGUUGAAGCAUAGAUUCAAUGCCACUCUUUUCGGUGCUUCGUUCUUCCUUUUCUUGACCAAAAGACCUAUCAAAAUCAUAAGAAGAGGUAGAAUUUGGGUUCGCACAAUGGGGGAGAGGGCAUUUGGACAAUCACUCCAAUGUCUAUCUUGACCACCACAUACAGAACAAUCAUACUUCCUAUAGGAUGGAGAUAGUGCAUACAUCUCUCUCUGGGGAGCAUAUCUAUAGUUUUGCCAAAAGUGAGGUCCAUCACAAUAUGGACAUGGAUCAUCAAGAUAAGUUUUCCAACCACCAAGAUCAUGUUCAUUCCAUAGUUCCAUAGUAGUAAGUAAACUAAAAUAAAAAUCUACCUAACACAAGAAAAAAGUAAACUAAAAACAAAUAUUUACAAGUUUGAAUUCAAGCAAGUAGGCUAAAAUUCCGAACCAACUCAAUACGCCAAAUUGUUCUCCAGCAAUAGUAGCAUUUUCUGAUAAUGCUCGACUUACACAUCAAUUUAGUGCAAGGCGGUCAUCGUCAAUAUAUUUAUCCAACUUUAGAGUCGGGGCCGAAUUCACAGGGAACAAUGUGACUGGCGAUUAAACUAGUUUGAAACUAAAACUACAAGUUAAAUUCAAAAAAAUGAUACGAAAAGAUAAAAUGGGAUUUUUUGAUGAUUAGCAAAUAAUUGUUGGUCACUUUAGUUUCAGUGUUUAUAAUCAAGAGUUUAUGGAAAACCAAAAUUAUGUUCACUAUGGGUUUUGGUACUUGACAGAUGCUAAUAGUGAUUCAAGAUUCUCACGAUAGGUAGGAACAACAGAUUGUCUUUAUCGAAGUUAUGUCUAAAUGUCUCUCAACCUACUUAAGUAUUUAAUUACCUAAUCCUCUCAAACUUAGGGAAUUUAUAUUCACUGACUACACUUCACCUCAGGUUAAUUAACCUUGUUACAACGUCAAUAAUUAAACGGAAGGUUGGUAGCUUCCAAGUCCCUGUCAAUAAUUCACUUCCUACUAUAGUUGAUUUCUUAUCUGAAGCAACUCAAAGCAGGUGUUAUUUAUCGCUUGCAACCAAGAGACAAUAAUUAAAACCUCAGAAUUAUCAAGGAGUCCUAUUACCUUUAGAAUCUUGAACACUUAGCAACUUACCAAGACCUAACCCAUAGAUCCCAUAAUUUGGGUUAAAUGGAUUUAGCCACGCAUAAUGUAAUAAUCGAUACAACAAGUUGAAUUCAUAAUUUGAAAGAUAAGGUUAAUAGCAAUGAGUGUUUCUCAUUAUAGAUCAAAGUAGAAAUCCCAAAGUAAUGAUUUAAAAUCUCUUCAAAUUAAUUUCUUAUUUCAAGCCAAGAAACUAGAGAGAGAAAAUAACAAAAAUAUGUGUCUCAAAACUCAGGUUCAGAACCCUUCAGAAAACCCUAAACAAGGCUUUAAAUAUUUCACCCUAAUUAUGGAAACAAAUUAAUAAAAUUUAGAAAUUUCUCGAAUUAGGUGAUGCCAUUUGUGAUAGCCUAUUAGAAGGAUGACGACUUAUCACAAAUGUCGUCAGCUUCCUUUAUGCUUUUGGUACUCGCUACCUAACACUGAUGACAAAUGGUGAUGCCCUAUCAGCUCCUUGACGACCUAUCACAAAUGUCGUCAAGGCUUUUCCUCAGCUCUUAUGGUCUUCCUUAGGCUGACGGUAAUCUUGAUGACUUAUCAGCUCCUUGACGUUCCAUCACAAAAUAUCAUCACAGAUUUUAACUUAGGCUAAUUCUCUGUCUACUACUGACGAUGAAGCUAAUAGCUUAUCACAGGGAUGACCACUUAUCACAAAUGUUGUCAGCCAUACUUUGCCUUUAUUUACUUUAGAUUUCAGCUCAUUUGCUUCCAUUCUUGUUGGUUCUCUAGCAUCUUAGCUUCUACUGCAAAAUCAAACAUAAAGCAAUCAAAAACAACAAAAGUUGCUUAAGACUUCACAAUUAUUCUUAGUUAAAAGCCUCAAAUAUGUUAGCAUUAGCUCACACAUCAUGGGUGUUUCAGGCUGGAAUAUCAUUAUCAACCCCUGCAAUCUCUGGCACAUUAGCAGCUCAGCACAACUCUAUGAUAAGAUAAGGGAAAGGAUAAGCAGUAUCAGUUCUUGACAUUCUAAUCUUCAUCUCAUCAGUAAUGAUAAUAAUCUCUCAAAAAUAGUUGUGUUGUUAAGUCAAGAAGUAAAGAGAGAAAAUAUCAAAAUAUGUUGUCCAAAACUCAAGGUGUCGACCUUGUGCGAAAUAAUAAUAAUACUAAUAAUAAUAAUAAUGUGUAGAAAACCCUAAAACAAAACUUUAAAUAGUUUACCCUAAAUAAGGAAAUAAAUUAAUAAAAAUCAAAAAUCCUUUGGAUUAGCUGACGACAUUUGUGAUAGCUUAUCAGGAAGCUGACGACUUAUCACAAAUGUCGUCAGCUUCUUCUUUAGUUUUGGCUCUUCCUGAUUAAGGCUAAAAACAAACUUGAUAACCUAUCAGCUACAUGACGGCCUAUCACAAAAUGUCUUCAAGGCGUUGCUUCAGUUCUCCUUGGCUGCCUUAGGCUGACGACAUUCUUGAUAACUUAUCAGACCCUUGACGGCUUAUGACAAAAUGUCGUCACAACUUCCACUUUAGGCCAAUUCUCUGUCUACCGAUGACGACCAACCUGAUAGCUUAUCACAGGGCUGACGACUUAUCACAAAUGUCGUCAGCCACGCUUGUCUUCAGAUUUCUUUAAAUUUCAACUUCUUUGCUUCAUUUCAUGUUGGUUCUCUAUCAUAUCAGCUUAAACAGCAAAAUCAAACAUAAAAUAAUCAAAAAUAACUAAAUUUUCUCAAGACCUUGUAAUUAUUUAGAGUUAAAAGCCUCAAAUGUGUUAGCAUAUGCUCACACAUCAGACUCCCAAUCACUUUUUAACGUGAUCAAGUAUUAUCUAAGACACGACGUAGUCGUAGAUCAUUGAUAUAACCCAAAAUGGAGAAGAAAUAAAAUAAAAUAAAAUAAAAUAAAUAUUAAUCAUCCAAGCACUAAAGAACGACUGCUUAUCAUGACAAGAGAGUAGACUUGUGUGAUGACCAUAAGGAAGAGUGGUGGUUGUCACUUGUGAGUUUUCAAUGGACAAGUAGUGUAUGAGAACAAGGAGUCCUUCUCAACAGAGACACUUGUUCUAGGUAAUUGGUUGUUUCUACCUUUGCCCUCCCCUAUACCUAUUUGAUUAAGUGUCCAAUUAUUUUGUAAUCUCAUAUUAUGAUAUUUGGUAACUUUACAUUGCGUGAAUGAUGUUUAUUUAUUUUAUUUCUCCCUUUUUUUAAUCUCACCUCCUUUGAAAAUAGACUCAGUUGAUCGAUACAUGACUAAUAAUAUAGUCUGGUAUAGAUAAAGCUAUUUGUCUAUAAUAUACUCAAUAUAUCAUGACAGGUCUAUUUUCAAAAGAAGUGAGAUUAAAAAAAGGGAGAAAUAAAAUAAAAUAAAAUAAAUAAACAUCAUUCACUCAAUGUAAAGUUACCAAAUAUCAUAAUAUGAAAUUACAAAAUAAUUGGACACUCGAUCAAAUGGGUAUAGGGGAGGACAAUGGUAGUAACAACCAAUUACCUAGAACAAGCGUCCCUGUUGAGAAGGACUCCUUGUUCUCAUACACUACUUGUCCAUUGAACACUCACAAGUGACAACCUCCACUCUUCCUUAUGGUCAUCACACAAGCCUACUCUCUUAUCAUGAUAAGUAGUCGUUCUUUAGUGUUUGGAUGAUUAAUAUUUAUUUUAUUUUAUUCUAUUUUAUUUCUUCUCCAUUUUGGGUCAUGUCAAUGAUCUACGACUAUGUCGUGUCUUAGAUAAUACUUGAUCACGUCAAAAAGUGAUUGGGAGUCACAAUUGAUGCAUCCAAAUUUCUUUACAAUGUUUUAAUGGUAUUAAUUGACAUACUAUAAUUUUAUUUUAUUUAAUUUCUCCUUUUUUUAUAUUAUUUUAAGUUGUCCAUAUAUUCAGUAAGUUGAUCAUAGACAGUCUAAAAAGUCGAUAAUAAUUCAUAAUCUGAAUCGAUAAUAUGCCAAUACACAGGAUAAUCACCACUGACAUCAGUAUAAUUCAUACGUCACCCAGUCGAUUAUAGAAGACAUAAACAUUCUUUAGAAACCCUUUAAAGUAAAUGAUAAUCCAUUUAAAUUUUCUCCAACAGUACAAUUCUAACAGGUAGAAUUUUUCAACGGUCAAAUUUUGGUAGCCUUACUAUACUAAUUAAAGGGACCCUUUUGGACUCCUCCAUUUUCAUUUAUUCAUGACUUUCAAGUUUUGCAACAACAAUAACAAUGUCGCAGUCAUCUCAAACGUACAAAAGUUCUUAUAUUUGUCGUUGUGGUAAUCCUGCGGUGUUGAAAACAUCAUGAACCUAUAGAAAUCCGGAUAAAAAAUUCUACAGUUGGAAAGAUUUAUUUUUGUUUAAAUAAAAAUUUAUUUGUGUUCAUCUCAUAAUUCAAUUUACUAAUUUAUCCUCGUUAUUUUAGGACAAUGGUGGAUGCUCUUAUUUUCAAGUGGAUUUUCUUCGAUUUCGAGUGUCAAAAUUUUAAGGCAUUGCAAAGUUUGAAAUGUUCAAAAAGGCUUAGAUAUUCCGAAGAAAAUAGGGAUCUUCUAAUGAUAGUAUAUAGAGAAUCGGAACAAAAGAUUGAUCACUUAAAGGGAUUGUUGAAAGACGUCGAAAUUGAGAGGGAUCAACUUAAGCAUAAGUUAGUUAUGGCUAAAGAAAAAAAAAAGGGCAUGAAAAUUAUGGUGUAUGAUUUACUAUUAGUUUUAGCUUUUUGGAAAGGUGUAAUGGGGGUGUAGUGAGAUUGAAUGUAUUCUGAAUCUUUUAUUAAUCGACUACUUGUUACUUAUAUUAUAUAUGGUUUACCUUUUUCAUUCACCGACUACACAAUACUCUACUGUAUAUGCUUUACCUUUUAGUCAGAGUCUAUAAUCAAUGAUGAAAGUCAUGUAAAAACAAUGAUACGUUGAUUAUAUAAAAUGAAAAAUGUUUAUCAUAAACUAUAAAGGCAGUUUAGAAAAUAAAAUUAUUCAGCUCUACACAUCCCGAGCUGAAAAUUAAAAGUUAAGAUUGUCUAGUCUAAUAAAAAUAAUCAUCAGCCAUAAAUAAAAAUUAAACAUUGUCUAAACAUUCAACAUUUUCGUCUUCCACUUGCAUCUUGUCGAUGUCCUAAGUAAUUUCAUUAAGAAAUUCAUCCAAGUUCAAAAAUUCAUUCUCAUUUUUCAUCUCCGCGAUGCCUUCUUUUUCUGAUGCAUCAUUUUUUCCUUCUUUAUGCUCUUCUUCUCCCUCUUCUUUCUCUACUUCUUGUGAAUUCUUCUCUUCUAUUUUCUCUCCAUCUCUUUCAUUGUUUUAUUCUUCACAACCACUUUUUUCAUUUUUAUGAUCUUCAUCCUGUCUGUCUUCAUCAUGAUCCUCCUUCUCCACACCAGCCGACCCAUCAGCUUUGUUUUCUUCUUCACAAACAGCUUCUUUAUUUUUUCCUUCUUCUUUAUCUUCAUCGUCUUCAUCGAGAUUUUCCUUCUCUACAACAGCUACAACCUCAGGGAUCAUCAUCUCAUCAGCAUUGAUGGAGGUCUGUUCCAAAGCUGCUACCUCAAGGUGCACUUCUUUAAUGCCGCUGUCAUCGCGGACAGCCCUCGCCACUGAAUGCCGACUUUGCACCUGCACACCUGUAUUUUUAAGUAUUUACCAUUUAUAAUAAACUAAGAUAUCGGUUGAUUAAGAAUGGUAUAGAUUCUAUUAUUAUAAAUAAAAGGGAUUAAAUAAAAUAUGCAUCUUCUAUAAUAUAUAGUGCAGAUAUUACCUUCAGCUUCAUCUCUCUUCUUUUGCUUCUCCUUUUUCAGCUUUCCUCAGCCUCUCCUCUUUCAGAAAAUCAGUGAUGUCCUUGAUCGACUCCUCCAGCAUAAACACGCGCUCUUCCAGAUUUUCAAUUGUCGGUGUCUUUCCUGAUGCUCUCGGCUUACUUGUCCCCGCACCUUAAGUGACAUGCCUUGAAACAACAUUUCCAUCCAAAUUUCGGUCAUCAUCCCCAUCCUUACCAUCCUCCGAUGAGGUGAUGACAGUCACACCCUCCAGAUGGGCCUUCAAGCCAUCGAUGAUUGCGUUAUUCGAUUCAUCUGUGAAUGCUUUGAACUUUUUCAUGUAGUGCUGCUUUAUUUCAUGGACUGUUGGGAUAAGGUACGGGUGUACUCUCUACAUAUAAGUAGGCAAAUAUGAUUGAUUAGAAACACAAUAUUGGUAAAAUUAUUCAUCGGAAGAAAUAUUUCAUACCUUUGUGCUCCAUCCGUUCAAAUAUGGAUCACCUUCGAUUAGUUUAUUGUCUUUUGAGGUGUGUCAUCUUAGCAAUCGGGGAAUGGGCAGUGGGUCUUCAGUUGAUUUACCAUUUUCCCUGCCGAGCACGAAAAAGGCUUCGUAUUCCAAAUCUGUGAUCAAAAGAAAAACAAAAACAUAAAACUGAGAGUAAGUAUAUUAUAGAUACCAUAGAUGAAUUACAGUAUAUAAUAAACUACUUCAAUGGUUUAUAAUCAAAUAUCAUAAAUGCCUAAGAAAAUUCGUAGAGCGCGUACGAUGAAACUCCCUUUGUCUCAAAUAUUUUCUUCUGCCUACUGAAGUCUAUCCGCUUCUUUAGAUAGUCUAGAGUCAAGGCAAAUGACUUCUUACCCAAAGGGUAUCUCUCAAAGAAGCCCAAGUCAUCCACCAUCUUGAUGGUGUCUAUGUCCACAAUUUUUAACAAGUCGCAUGCAAGAAAUAUGCAGUGCACGAACCAAAUUAAGAAGCAUUUGAACUUAUUCUCCUUGUUCAGCCUCCCACCUCUAAUAAGUUUCAACAAUCGCUUCGCAUUUACACUCCUUUUUUUUGCAAUCUUUUUGAAAAAAGCUUCACCCUUCUCCAUCACUUUGACAUAUCUUGAAUCACGAGGAUAAUGCCAUAGUUUAAAUCCGUGAUUAGCGCAAACUCCUUCAGGACAAAACAUGCAGGCCUGUCAUUGAUGCUGAACCACUUUUCAUGCAGCUUCUUAUCCGGUUCAACUUGGCGCAGAAGUGUAUAGUGGACAAGUUGUCCGUUGAACUUAAUAUAUUCUGGCAGGUCCCAUAAACCACCAAAACAGGAAUUCUUAAACCUAGAUUUCAGACGUUGAUCUACCAUGACUUGUUUGAAUUCAUUAAACAUUUUAAAACGGGACCUAACGAAUAUCUUAGCUGGAAAUGAUCCGACAUCAUCUAGGACUGUGGCGAGGUCGUACCUCUCAACCGAAAUAAACCUUGCACAGUGGAGCAAGAUCAGUGCUUCCUUGUCUAUCCUAGCCUCAAUUUCUAUUUCCUCCUUCUCAUCUCGAGCCAAAGCUUCAACACCUUCCUCGCUGUAAUUUUUACUCUCCAAUUCGACUACUCGUUUUUUUCUUUUCUCAGACCUAUCAACUUCUACAACUUUGUGUUUGUUACCUCUAUCCAUUUUUUAUGAUCUACGGACAAAAACUAACAUUUCUCAGCUAUAACAACAAAUACAAUACCUAAUCGACCUAGCAGUCUAUUAACAUGGCAGCAGUUGCAGCACCAAAAAAGCUAAUUUACAGAACAAGUUUCUUCUAAAACAACUCCAUCACCAACAAGAACAUGCAUCUAAAUCACCAUUAUAUUGAACAAUAACAGGAAGGAACGCAGAUUUUAAGCACGUAAAUCAAGAAAAAUUGACAAAAAAAUCUCAAUGCAAUCGUUGAGGAAAGUUAAAAUCCAACAAAAACAAUGCACAAACAAAUCGAAUACCAACUUAAAAACAUAAAUUAUAAGUAAAAUCAAUCCCUAUUUUUUUCAAAAAAUUUUAAUUUACAGUAGAUACAAUACCUAAUCGACCUAGUAGUUUAUUAACCUGCCAGCAGUUGUAGCACCAAAAAAGUCAAUUUUCACAACAAGUUUCUUCCAAAACAACCCCCUCACCCACAAGAACAUGCAUCUAAAUCACCAUUAUAUUGAACAAAAUAGAAAGGAGCCUAGAUUUUUAUCACGCAAAUCGAGAAAAAGUGACAAAAAAAAUCUCAAUGCAAUCGUAGAGGAAAGUUAAAAUCCAACAAAAAUAAUGCACAAACAAAUCAAAUACCAACUUAAAAACACAAAAUAUAAGUGAAAUCAAGCCCCAUUUUAAAAAAAAAAAAUCAACUUUUUGAGUCAAAUUAUCAAAUAUGCAGUGAAGAAAUCCCUAACAUGAACAUGCUUCUACAACACCCUUACAUUAGAGAAAAGUUUUAACAAAAAUCACAUUUCUUGCCACAUUCCGACGAAAUUAGUGAAGAAAUUUCAACAUGAAAUCGCCAAGGAUAAUCGAUAUACACCAAUUAUCCGUCAAAAAUCAAGUAAAUACCAACUAAAAACGAUCACUUUCAGUGAAAUCAAGCCCCUUUUUCGAAAAAAUUUAAUUUAUUUGAACUCCAAUGACUUCACCCGCCACAAACGAGUUCGGAAAAAAAUAAAAAAAAAUUCAUCAAUAUGGAGCAUAAAUUAACCGGAACAAUAAUAUAACUUACCUGAAGUUGAAGAUCGAAGUUGGAGCUAAUUCACGCGAGCUCGAAAUUGAAAAUGGUGGAAAUGAGAGAUGAAUCGAUUGUUGUAAAGAGAGAGAAGAUGAGAGAAAAUUUAUUUUUUGUAUUUAAUGGAAGAGUAGGGUUAAAUAAGUAUUUAAUAAAUACAUAAGGGGUUCCAAAAAAUUUUAAAAAUACAUAAUGGGUGCCAAAAUAUUUUUUUAUUUUACACUUAAACCCAUGGCCCAUAAAAUCCUAAAAAAUUAGAAUUUGAUAAAAGAAGCUCUACUUUACAAAAUAAAUUUUCAAUGUGGACUUGUAGCUAAAUCUUCUCUAGACUCGUGAUGGCUGUUAUAUAAUAGUCCAUUUUGAAUCAAUUUUUUUUUUUAUGUCCAGCACGAUUCCAACAAAUUUUCAGUGUCAUUUCGACCAGCAGAUUCAUAAUCGAACUGAACUGCUAAUUCGAUUCGAUUUUUGCUAUCUCUUUCAUAAAAUAAAAUCGAAAAAUCGAAUCAAAAUUCCGAAAAACUGAACCGCCCCCCCUAAUGCACACUUCAUAGGACCACUAAGAAAAUCUAGGAUACCCACGUACUCCAUUAAUAAACUUUGCCUCCAAAAUCUAGGACCACAUAAAAAAAAACUAGGAUACCUACAUUCACACUAGCACUAUUUUUUUUUACCUCUCACCUAUUUUUUGUUGUAUAAAAUCACUACUUUUUUCGUCACAUUUUAUGGGACUUUUUUUCAUUAUUUAGUGACACUUCACUGUAUGUUAAAAAUAUAGGAGGAAAGGAACAAUUUUAAUUACGUAGUUUUCACAUGACACCACUUUAAUAAAUCUGGUAAGUGGCAACUAAUUCGUGAUCAUAGGUGCAAAAUCUAGGACGAAAGUGAUGAAGUUAAAAUAUUAUUUUAAUUAAUAUGCGAAAUCCACGCUUAUUAGAAUACAUAAUUAUACAUUUUGCAUCCACACAUAUUGGUGGACGUGCUCAAAACUUCAAGGAUAAGGACAGACAAUUCAAUGAAAACUCAGUCAUUAAUAUAAUCCAACACAAAAGGAUGAAUACUAUUGAAACUUUGAAAGCAAUUUGCCAAUGAUCCCAGCUGGAAAUCGUCCUUUUAUUUCAGCACGAUUGAUUUGUUGAUGUGAAUGUUAAAAUGAUGUUAUCCGAAUCUUUUCAUUUCAUUUUAGUUGGUCAUUUUUUAUUUUACACAACACUUAACAAAUUAUAAAUAAAAUAAUUAAUUUUAUUAAUUUAUCUUUUAUCCAUAUUGAUGGUUAUUGUUGGUGAAAUUACAAUAAACUUACAACUGAAAAUUACAAGUGAAGAAAAUAAAAAUAAUAUCUUCUUCUUCGGCUCAGGCGUGAAUAUCUCGCUCUCUUUAAGAAGAUUCAAACCCACUGCAGCAAAUGUUUCACCGGUCCAACAGUAAUCUUCUUGACUUAUCCCCUCCAGAAUACAAUAACCUUUUCUCAAAUAACAACUCAACAACUCUGGACAAGAGUUGAGUUCAAAGCUCCACAAAAAAGAACACCUCCCUUCAAAUAUUAAACUCUCUUUUUACUAACUUUUGUUAACUCUCUAUUAUCUUGUGUGUAUUCAAAAACCAUGCAAGACCACCUCUAUUUAUAGAAGAGGAAGUCUUCUAUGCAAUGAAUAAGAAUGAAUGGGUUAGUAAAGCUGAAACAUCAAAGGCCUUUAUAUUACAAAAGUUACAUGAGUAAUGAAUAGAAUAAUGGUAGAAAUUACAUGAGUUAUAAGAAACGUAUGUCCAUAUUCCUACCACAAACUCACAAAAUAAUUGUCAUAAAAUACAAGGAAGUAAAGAGGGAUACCAAUGCUCUUAGACGUUUUGGAGGCUGAACAAUCAGCCAUGCAGAUCGUGGUAUAUGGCAUCAAAAAGAAGGAAUAAUGCCAAUGAAUACUAAAGAACAUGUUGUUAGCCCAUAUGUUAUUGGGCCUUUAGUUUAUGGACCUUUAGGUUAUUGGCUAUGUAUAUAUAGCCUACUCUUGUUUUAGUUAGUUUUAUGCUUUUCAGAUUAUAUUGUAAACCUUAGCCUUUCUUCCCUUCAAUAAAGUUCUAUUAACAUGGUAUCAAAGCUAGUUCGAUCCAUGUCCUUUGAUUUUUUUGAGGUGCUGCUGUAUUCGUUUGCUCUUUUCGUUGGGUUUUUUGGUUGGAUUGAUUCGUUGCUGUCUUCGUUUGCUGUCUGGUAUUGUUCGUCUUUCGUUCUUUUGCUUGCUGCCAUUGUUGUUCGUUCGGAAUUGUUCAACCUAGGGUUUUGCAUCUUUUUGUUUUUUGAAUUGUUUGUGUGUUGCUGUGUUUACAAUGACUGGAAAGGAUGAUUCUCUCCAGUCCAUUAGUACUCAAUUAGAUGGUAAGAACUAUGCAUAUUGGAGUUAUGUCAUGAAGAAUUUUCUUCGUGGGAAGAAUAUGUGGGGUUAUAUCACUGGAGUAAAACCAAGACCUAUCGAUGAUAAAACUGAAAAUUUUGAUUUGUUGGUGGACUUAUGGGAAACUAAUAACUCCAAGAUUAUCACUUGGAUCAACAAUUCUGUAACUCAGUCAAUUGGUAUGCAAUUGGCUAAGUAUGACACAGCAAAGGAGGUCUGGGAUCAUUUGGAAAGACUGUACACUCAGUCUAAUUUUGCUAAGCAGUACCAGUUGGAGUAUGAUAUCCGUGCUCUUCAACAGCAUGAUCUCAGUAUUCAAGAUUUUUAUGCUGCCAUGUCGGAUUUGUGGGAUCAAUUGGCACUUACUGAAUCUGCAGAGUUAAAAGGUUUUGGGCCGUACAUUGCUAGACGGGAAGAGCAACGCUUGGUUCAGUUUUUGAUGGCACUACGUUCUGACUUUGAGGGCCUACGUGGAACAAUCCUUCAUCGAUCUCCCCUCCCUACUGUUGAUUCUGUGGUUCAUGAACUGAUUGCAGAGGAGACUCGUAUCAAGUCUCAAGUGGAUAAAGGGUCUAAAGUAACUACUACUCCUGUCGUGUUUGCUGCUUCAACUGAUCAGUCUAGGCCACCACGUACUCAGACUCGACAAUCUCCUAAAGUUGCAUUUGAUGAGUGUGCAUUCUGCAAACAGAAAAAUCAUUGGAAGGCUCAGUGUCCGUUGUUACUUAACAAGGUCAAACAGCCUCAAUCUGGGCAGCAACAGAAAUAUGGGCAGCAAAAGUAUCCGUCACGCCCAUCUGGUGCUCCUCCGUGGUCAUCUCGUCCUCCACAGUUCGCUGCUGCUGCACCAUCUGUAGAUGUUGAGUCUGUUAGCACUAUGCCACCUUCUGCGUUGGAUCCCCAGGUUUUCGAACAGUUCAGACAGUUCUUCGUUUCUAAUCCUACGGCCAUGUCAGCAUCUAUGUCUCAUUCGGGUUCAGUUUCUUCUAGUACCUCAGGUAUUCCUUCCUCCUUGUGGAUAUUGGAUUCUGGUGCGUCUCAUCACAUGUCCCCUCAUUUGUCAUCGUUUGGUUCUUUGUCACCCAUUUCACCAAUCUCUGUUAUGUCCGCGAGUGCUGUACCUAUGUCAGUCGAGGGUGUUGGUUCUGUUACUACCCCUCACAUUGUCCUCUCUGAUGUUUAUUACAUUCCCAAACUUGCUUUAAAUCUUGUUUCGGUCAGUCAGUUGUGUAAGGCUGGUAAUUGGGUGUUUUUUUCUGAUUCUGUUUGUGUUAUACAGGACCAACACACUCAGAGGGUGAUUGGGACCGGCCGUAGGUUGGGGGAACUCUAUGUCUUGGAGAAUCUCAAAGUGUCUGUAGUUGCUGCCUCUAGCAUAGAUUUAUCUUCUUUUCGUUUGAGUCCUUUGUCUUCUCAGUUUUAUCUUUGGCAUUCCAGAUUAGGACAUGUGUCAGUUUCACGUUUACGUUUUUUGGUCUCUAGUGGUGCUUUGGGUCAUGUGAACACUAGUGAUAUUUCAGAUUGUAGUGGUUGUAAACUGGCAAAAUUUUCUGCCUUACCGUUUAAUAAAAGUGUGUCUUAUUCUGUUGCUCCUUUUGAUAUUAUUCAUUCUGAUGUAUGGGGACCAGCGCCAGUAUCCACUAAGGGUGGAUCGACCUAUUAUGUUUCGUUUAUAGAUGACUAUACUCGUUAUACCUGGGUGUAUCUUAUGAAACGCAGAUCUGAUUUCUUUGGCAUUUACAACAACUUUAGAGCCCUUGUUAAAACACAACAUUCGGCUGUGAUAAAGUGUUUCAGGUGUGACUUAGGGGGUGAAUAUACCUCUAAUGACUUCACUCAGUUACUUGCCUCUGAUGGUACCAUACACCAGUCAUCUUGUACCGACACUCCUGAGCAGAACGGUCUGGCAGAAAGAAAACAUCGUCAUAUUGUUGAGACAGCACGCUCUUUACUUUUGUCUGCAGAGGUUCCUAGUAUUUUUUGGGGAGAAGCAGUUCUAACUGCUGUAUAUGUGAUUAAUCGUAUUCCUACUGCAUUGACUUCAGGGAUGUCUCCGUUUGAGAAACUAUAUGGUCACCCGCCGAAUUAUUCUGCAUUACGAGUUUUUGGAUGUACUUGCUUUGUUCUUCGUCCUCAUGUUGAACGAAAUAAGUUAGGGUCAAAAUCAGCUAUAUGUGUGUUUUUGGGGUAUGGUAUUGGACAAAAAGGAUAUCGUUGCUAUGAUCCUGUAAGUCAGAAAUUAUAUGUUUCACGACAUGUCACUUUUUUGGAACAUAUUCCUUUUUAUUCCAUUCCAGCUAAAACCCAUGAUGUGACAAAGUCAGAUAUUCGGCUUAUUGAUCCCUUUGGGAUUGACAUAGAGGUUCCAGUUCCGGAUUCAUCCAUGCCAUCUGGUGUGCCACCUGAUAGUGCUUCAGCCUCGCCUGUGCCUGAGUCUGCUCCUUCGACUGUUGAGACUGGAGACCCACCACCUCUGAGGAGGUCUACUCGACCUUGUAAGUCCACCAAACUGCCAGAUUUUUACUAUUCUACAUAUUCAGCCUCAUUUGCUUCCUUUAUUGCAAACAUACAUCAUUUGUCUGAACCUGAGUCGUAUAGAGAGGCUGUGUCUGAUCCUCUUUGGCAGAAUGCUAUGGCUGAGGAACUUGCUGCUCUUCAUCAUACACAUACAUGGGAUUUGGUUACUCUCCCACCUGGUAAGCAUGCGAUUGGUUGUCGAUGGGUGUAUAAGAUAAAAACAAAAUCUGAUGGGUCUGUUGAGCGAUACAAGGCAAGACUUGUGGCAAAAGGGUAUUCACAACAAUAUGGUAUGGAUUAUGAGGAGACUUUUUCCCCCGUAGCAAAGAUGACGACUGUUCGCACUAUGAUUGCUGUUGCAUCCGUUCGACAGUGGAAGAUAUUUCAGAUGGAUGUCAAGAAUGCUUUUCUGAAUGGUGAUCUCCACGCGGAAGUUUAUAUGACUCCUCCCCCAGGUAUUGACCACCAGCCAGGUGAAGUUUGUCGGCUUCGAAAAGCUUUAUAUGGUCUCAAACAAGCCCCUCGUGCUUGGUUUGAGAAAUUCUCCACUGUUAUUACUUCCCUUGGAUUUGUCCCGAGUAACCAUGAUUCAGCAUUGUUUGUUAGAUGUACAAGUGCAGGGCGAAUUCUAUUGUCCUUAUAUGUAGAUGAUAUGAUUAUUACUGGUGAUGAUCAUAGUGGUAUUGAGUUAUUGAAGCAUGAUUUGGCUCAUCGAUUUGCAAUGAAGGACUUGGGCUUGCUGCGUUAUUUUCUGGGUAUUGAGGUGGCUCAGUCUAAGAAAGGGUAUCUUCUUUCUCAGACUAAGUAUAUAUCUGACUUGUUUACACGGGCGCGUCUUUCUGACAACAGGACUGUAGAUACUCCCCUUGAAACCAAUGCACGUUACUCUCCUAGUGAUGGUGUUCCAUUAUCAGAUCCGAGUCUUUAUCGGACUAUUGUGGGUAGUUUGGUUUAUCUUACGGUUACUCGUCCAGAUAUAGCACAUGCAGUUCAUGUUGUUAGCCAGUUUGUUACUGCUCCUACUUCUGUGCACUGGGGAGCUGUACUUCGUAUUCUAAGGUAUCUUCGUGGCACUCAGUUUCAGAAUCUCUUGUUUCCCUCGACGUCAUCUCUCGAGUUGCGAGCCUAUAGUGAUGCUGAUUGGGAUGGAGAUCGCAAUGAUCGUAAAUCCACCACUGGUUUUUGUGUGUUUCUUGGAGACUCUUUAAUCUCGUGGAAGAGCAAGAAACAAGAUGUUGUCUCUAGAUCUUCCACGGAGGCUGAGUAUCGUGCUAUGGCUGUGACUACAUGUGAGAUUAUUUGGUUACGUUGGCUUCUUGCAGAUAUGGGGGUUCACAUUUCUAUGCCUACUCCCCUGCAUUGUGAUAACAAAAGUGCGGUACAAAUUGCAAAGAAUUCUGUCUUCCAUGAGCGUACGAAGCACAUUGAGAUUGAUUGUCACUUCACCCGUCAUCAUUUACAGCUCGGGACCAUAUCGCUUCCUUUUGUUCCAUCGUCUUUGCCGAUUGCUGACCUUUUUACGAAGGCUCAGUCGGCGUCUCGAUUUCGUUUUUUGUGUGACAAACUCUCAAUGCUUAUUGCUGUUGCAUUGUGAGUUUGAGGGGGGAUGUUAGCCCAUAUGUUAUUGGGCCUUUAGUUUAUGGACCUUUAGGUUAUUGGCUAUGUAUAUAUAGCCUACUCUUGUUUUAGUUAGUUUUAUGCUUUUCAGAUUAUAUUGUAAACCUUAGCCUUUCUUCCCUUCAAUAAAGUUCUAUUAACACAUGUAACAUCUCCAUAUUAAUGAAAUGUUACGGAAAUAAAAGUUAAGCCACCAACUCUUGGAGUUAUUACACACAUGAAACUCUAAAUUAAUGACAAAUGCUAGCAACGGAAUGAGUGAACUGUUAGAAGCAUAAUCUCCCAAAUAAACAAAUAUACAUAAUAAUAUUAUAUAAAAAUAAUAUUAAAAUGUUUAAUUCCAUCAGUUAUCAAGAUCAUUAAUGAAAAAUAUGCUCAUAUUAAUGGAACAACAUACUUCCUCCGUUCACUUUUACUUAUCACAUUUUGACUUGACAUACUCAUUAAGAAAAUAAUUAUUAACAUGGCUAUUUUACUAUUAUAUCCCUGUUAAUUGAUAUUUAUUAUUGUGUUGAAAUCAAUUUGAAGAAUAAACAAUUAAUAUUAAGGCUAAAAUAGAAAAAAAAAAUUAUCUUUAAUAAGUAACAAAUAAAAGCUAACAAAAGGAGUAGGACAUAUGAAUAGAUUUAGAACUUAUUUUAUUUAGGCUUUCAAAGAUUAUUAACUCGGGAGUAAAUGAAAUUUUUUAAAAUAUUUUUAUCUAAAUUUAGUAAUUAGGAAACAGUAAUUUGGGACACUUAUAUAUCAUAAGGCGGCCAACUAAAAUGUUACGGAUGAGGCAUUAUUUUUUUAAAAAAAAUUCAUAUAUCAUAUUAUAUUUUCUUGUUUCUGUAAAUUUAUGUUAUGGAAAAAAUUUCAUAUAUCAUAUUAUAUUUUCUUGUUUCUGUAAAUUUAUGUUAUGGACUUACUUGUGGAAGAAAAAUAAAUUAUUAUUUUCAAGUAAAAUAAAAUGAAGUAAUCAAACAUAUUUUUUUACUAUAGAAACUCGAGUGAGCGGACGGCUGACAAUUGUCAUUCUUGCUUUCAACUGUCCGGUUCUGAUUGAGGGUAUUUUAAUAAUUUUUUUAAUUUAAAUUAUUUAUUUUAUUUUUAAUAUAUUAUAUAUUUAAAAAUUGCGCAAAAAUAUUAGAAAUUACAAAAAUUAGCAAUUUAAAUUAUUCCAAGACAUAAAAAAUUUUGGUUGAUUUGAAAUUCUAUCAGUACAACAUAAUUUGGGAUAAAGAAAGUUAUAUAGUAUUUGAAAAUCUCAUAAAAAGUAAUAUAAAUCACAAUAAUAACAAAUUAAAAUAUUUGAAGGAUGUUUUAAAAAAUGGUUUUGACUUUUCAAAUUCUAUCAAUAUCAUAUAAAUUAAGAAAUUUCGUAGAAAGUCGUAUAAAUUAUAAUAAUUAACAACUAAAAUAUCUAAAAGACUACUACUUAACAAAUUUGAUUGACUUUCUCAAAUAUUCCAUCAGUGCAGACAAAUUAAGAGAAAAAGUAUAACAUAUGUAUCUGAAAAUUCUAUAAUGUAAAUCAAUAAUUAAUAACUUAAAAUAUUUUUAAAAAUCAUACAAAAAUUUGAAUAAUUUUUUUAAAUUCUUAUCUUUUCAAUAUAAAUUGAGAUAAAAAAAUAGCAUAAAUCGGACUCAUGCUACUGUGAGUUGGGGCUUUGAGCUGUAGGUAACAAAAGAGUUUGAGCUGUAGGUGACUCAAAUCUUAAUAAUUGAGUGAAGGUGACAGUUACUUUAUUAUGAAUUAAGAAAGUUGGAAAAUUUUCAAAAUAAGCCACAAGUUUUUAAAUUUACACUUUGAUCUAAAUGUUAGUUGAUAUAACGGGAAACGGAGGGGGAAAAGGCGCAUUUCUCUCUCUUCUCAUCCAUUGUUAUUUUCUUUCUCUUCGUGAUUUUUAUUGUUCAUUGCUUCUGUUGUUUUAUUCAUCAACUUCUGCUUCAUUACCAUCAUCUUAUACCUCUUCAUAAUCUUCUUGUUGAUCAUUUUUGUUGUUGUUGUUACCGCAACUGCUGCUCUUUGACCAAUUUCUUAGGUCAAAUUUUAUUUCGUACACCACUUUCAAAUUUGGCAUUUACUUGAUAGGAGACUUUGGUAAGUCAAAUUAUGCUUUUUAGUUGAAUUUUUCAUCUGGGUAACUGUUAGUGUGCUAUUUUUUAAACAAUAGCUAGCACGCGAAUAUGAAUGCAACAUAAGAGCCAUCUGUUUAAACAGAUCCAUCAUAUGUUGCACAAUAUAGAUAUUCUGUUGCAGCAGAAAACUCAUAUGUUGGAUUCAUGUUUAUGGUUGUAUAGUUCCCGUAAUAUGAAUCGAACAGAUAGGUAUUCUGUUGCGACAGAUUAGUAAUAUGUUCCAACAGACAAUUAAUAUGUUGCAUCAGAUUAGAAAUCUGUUCCAACAUACAAGUAAUCUAUUACAACAGAAUAUUUAUUUGUAUUUGUUGCAACAGAUUAUAAUUCUGUUGCAGCAGAUGGAUAAUUUAUUUCGAACAACACAAUACAACUCCUAUCACAAACCCAACAGAUAACCCGUAUGUUGAUCUUUUGCUAUUGAUACUGGAUUCAAAUUAUUCUUUAAUCGUAGACAUGUUUGUUGAGAAGAAGAAAUAGACAGAAUGAAAAUUAAAUAAGAAUUAAAACGUCAAAGUGGAUCAAAUAUAAUUUUUUUACUAAACAAAAAAAUAAAAAUACAUAGGUAAAAGAAAAAAAUAAUCUAAUUAUAAUUAUUAUUAUUAUUAUUAUUGUUGUUGUUGUUGUUGUUGUCAACCCGUCAAUCUUUAACCGGCAGCAGUAGUGCCCUCCUCAUCCUACGGAUCUCCCGCAGCAUCCUUACUCUGACGGCGGCCAACUCCCACUGUAGGUUAUGAACAUGCAUCUGCAGUUUCCGCACGGCGUCUUGUAAAAUAGCGACAUCCCACACUGGAUCAGUCAUAUUUAGAACACGCGUAAAUUGACAAAAACGCAAAAAUAAAAGUAAAGAAAUGAAUCCGAAAGUAAUACAACGUAUAUUUAUAUAAAAAAAAAUAAGAAAAAAACUUAUCAGAGAUAGGGAAAAGCUAAUAAGUACUUGAAGAGAAAGUAGUUGAAGGUGUAAUAUAAAAGACAAGAGCAAAAAAUAUAUAGAGUGUAGUAGAGUGAACAAGUAAAGAGGGACCUAUUUAUAAAUGAUUCAAUUUGAAUGAGUUAGGCAAAAAGGCGCAACUGUUCACUUACAUUUAUUAAGUACAUUCAAACUGGUCACUUUUUUAUUACUGUGGAAAGUUAAGACUUAGUUAGUUCUUUUCAGUAACCGUUUUUAUUGAGUUAUUACAACAAAUUAUAUAUCUGUUGCAUCAGAUAACACAUCCGUGACAACAGAUAUACCAUUUGUUACAACAAAUCGACAAUCUAUUACAUCAGAUAAUACAUCUGUUGCAACAUAUAUCUUUUUUAAUAAUCAUCAUAUCUUGAUCAUUAAUCCAAAUUUGGUGACUUUUUCAUUAUAUAAAUUAAAAAAAUAGAUUCAAAAACAAAAAUGUCAAAAACUCACUACUUGUCACCUAUUUAAAAAUCAAUUAUUCAAAUUUAUGUUAAGUCCCUCCUUUUCGUAUUAGUUAGACUUGGCACACCCAUUAAGAAAAAUAUUUAUUAGGGGUCUAUUUUACCAAAUUAGAUUUAUUAAUUAUACUUUGAAAAUAUAUAAAUUUAAAUAUAUAAAUCAACAAUCUGUUGCAUAAAAAAGGCGUGACUGUUCACUUCCAUUUAUUAAUUACAUUCAAAUUGGUAAGUUUUUUAUUACUGUGGAAAGUUAUGACUUGAUAAGUUAUAACUUAAUUAUUUCUUUUCAGUAACCAUUUUUAUUGAGUUGUGGCAACAGAUUAUAUAUUUGUUGCAUCAGGUAACCCAUAUGUGACAACAGAUAUAUCAUUUGUUGCAACAAAUCGAUAAUUUGUUGCAUCAGAUAAUAUAUCUGUUACAACAUAUAUCUUUUUUAAUAAUCAUCAUAUCUGUAUUUUUUAAUCCAAAUUUGGUGAAUUUUUUUAUUAUAUAAAUUUAAAAAAUAAAAUAAAAAUGUCAAAAAGUACUACUUGUCGCUUAUUCCCUUCGUUUCAUAUUAGAAAACUUGGCACACCUAUUAAGAAAAAUAUUUAUUAGGGAUCUAUUUUACCAAAUUAUCUUUAUUAAUUAUGCUUUGAAAAUAUAUAAAUUUGAAUAUAUAAAUCGACAAUCUGUUGUAUAAAACAGGCGCGACCGUUCACCUCCAUUUAUUAAUUACAUUCAAGCUAGUGACUUUUUGAUUACUGGAAAAAGUUAUGACUUAAUUAAAUCAAGCUGCUGACCGACUUUGAUUAUUGUGAUAAGUCUUAUUAUUAUUAAUUAGUUCUUUUUAGUAACUGAUUUUAUUGAGUUAUGGCAACAGAUUAUAUAUUUGUUGCAUCAGAUAACCCAUCUGUGACAACAGAUAAUCUAUAUGUUGCAACAAAUCGACAAUCUGUUGCAUCAGAUAAUCUAUUUAUUGCACAUAUAAGCUAUCUUUUUUAUAAUCAUCAUAUCUUUAAUCCAAAUUUGGUGACUUUUUUAUUAUAUAAAUUAAAAAAAUGAAUUUAAAAACAAAUAUGUCAAAAAGUCAUGAUCAAUUAUUAAAAUUAAAUAACCGUUCUUUUACAGUCAGAAAUUGUGUUUAUCAUUUAUUUCCUUAUUUUACGAAUCAUUUUUUUCAUAUGAAAUAAUCGAAAAGUCAUGACUAAGGACUUUUCACCCUCUCAAUAAUAAUAAUAACGCUUUUUUUUAUUAAUAAUCGCCCGUUGCAAUAAACGAUCCAUCUGUCGCAAUAGAUUAACCAUCUGUUGCAACAUAUGGUUCAUCCGUUGCCACAAAUGCUCAAUCCCUACCUCCAACCGUCAACUUAUUGAGAAUAAGAAAUAGACAGAAUAAAAAUUAAAUAUUACAUAAGAAUUAAAAAUCCAAAGUCGACCGGGAUUUUUGAAUCCCUUAGGUAGAUCCGAUAUAAAAAAGAAAAAUACAUACGCUAAAAGGAAAAACAUAACCUAUUUAUUAUUACUACUACUACUACUACUAUUAUUAUUAUUAUUAUCAUUAUCAUUAUUAUUAUUAUUAUUAUUAUUAUUAUUAUUAUUAUUAUUAUUAUUAUUAUAAGUAUUACUAUUACUACUUUCAUUUCUGAAAGACAAUUUUCAUCCGGAAGCAGCAGGACCCUCCUCAGUCUUGCUCUGAAGUCGGCCAAAUCCCUAUGGAGUUCAUCAUACUACCUUCGAAGUUCCCGGAAGGACUCGAUAUAAAUCUUCUUACACGAAUCUGGAUCAGCCAUAUUUGGAAGUGUAGUAAUAGAAUGAACGAGUAAGAAGGAACCUAUUUAUAAAGAAAGGGGUUAGUCAAAAAGCCAUGACUGUUCAUCCCUUAAUUAAAUAAAACUGGUGACUUUUGAAAUAUGUAAAUUAAGAAAACGGAUCUAAACAAACAUUUUAUCGUUAUUGUAUUUCAAAAAGAAAAAAAAUUGCUUUAAAAUAAAUCUAACAGAUGGGUAAUUUAUUUUAAAAUACAUUCUAUCUGUUAGAUAAUUUACAAAAUAUUGAAAUUUUUGUAACAGAUGUAUAUAUCUGUUUGUUUUUUAGAACAGAUAAGUCAUAUGUUGCAACAGAUUGAUCAUCUGUCGUAACAGAUGUCUAUAACUGUUUGAUAAUUUUAACAGGUUAGUCAUCGGGAGGUAAGCCAUAGAUGGGCUAGGAAGAAUAAGGUGCGCGCAGAUGGAUGUAUCCACUUUCGUGUGUGGGAGUUAUGUAUUACUGAUAAGGUCAUCGGGACAACACACAUAAAUUACAAUGAUUUUGUGAAUGCAGUUUAUAACCGAUUCGGCAUUUGAUCAUUCAAACAAGAUCUUGCAUUAUCAGUUAAGUUUUAUAGGUUUGAAUUGAUGAGGCAGAGGGGCCCAUGAAGAUGGUGUCGAUACCCUGUUAUGAAUUAAUGACGGUUGUUGCUCAUAUUUAUGUGUGUAAAGUGUUGAGAAGGGACCAAUAUUUGGUGUCAUUGUAGAGAUCCAAUAGCGAUUGAACUUAACUUUAAGCGUGCAUUGGACUCUUAGAAGGCCUUCGAAGCCUCGGACUGCAUCAAACAAGAACGAAAAACCAACAAAAGUCCCCCUCGCCCAAAUUUAUAUGAAAAGUUUGUUCGAGAAGAUGAUUAUACAUCAGAAGGAGCCGGAUAAGAAGACCUGAGAGUGAAAGGGGAGUUGAUGAAAGACUAUAUUAUCUAAGAGUUAAUUGAAGAGGAGACAUAGGAUAUGAGGGAUUUUGUAUUGAAUCUGGCCAAUGAAGCUGACUUAAAACAUGAGAAAUUUUAAUCAAGUGCAAAUAUGAAAUUGUAUCCAGUAAUGAAAAUCUGUCUGUCGUCUUUCUCAAAGAUAAAUACUGCAGCUUGGCACUUUGCUAGAGGAGCUACGACUAAGAAGCGUGGUCAGAAUGAUCACCUACAUAGAAAAUAGCAUAACACCAUGAAAGUAACUUUGCGGGCACCGAGGGCUUAAAUGAUGUACAGUAAGUCAAGAAAACUCGUGCCAAGAAUAGCUAAAGCUAAAAUAGGGAAUCAAGUGAAGGCGGUAAUUUCUGAAUUUUAAAUUACAUCCCAUGCCUUCUAGUUUGUGUUUUCGAUUAGGUCCACGGUUGUUGACUUGAUUGGAACCACAAACAAGACUGAAAGGCAGAUUGAGCAUCAUUACUUCCUUAGAAAUAUGGAUAUAAUUGAUUGUGUUUUUUAUCCUUAGCAUUCUUUCAACAUAUCUUGGAGAAGAUUAGAGACUUGUUAUAGUAUGUGAAUCCCGAUAAUUUUCAAGCUUGCCUCCAGCUUGCGGAUUCGAUAUUCAAGCUUUUAUCAUUGCCGUCUUUUAGAUUUGUAUAGAGUUCCUAGUCUUUUGUGAGCUCGUCGAUGAGGAACACUUUAUUCGAAGUUGUGUCAUUGUAAAAGGCCUUCAGAACACUUUCUUCAAAAAGCUUAAAUGAUACAUGGAGGGUCGCUGUGUUUAUGUUACGAUAAAACGUGUUGAUGCACACUCAAGUAGUGGUCCCAACAGUUGAACAGCUAACUUUUAUCUAAGGUUGCUCAAUGCACCUUGCUCAACCAACCUUCAAAGGAUUUGAUAAAUUAAUUAGCCUAGAAUUAUGAAAGGUGAUAUUGAGAGAUUACUAGUGAUGCCUUCUGAAGACUUUCGCUGUCAGCAGAGUCCCCUUUUUAUUUUUGGAUACACUUUUAUAUUUACACUUGAUUCAAAUUUCUCAUGUUCCAAGUCAUCUUCAUCGGCUAGAUUCGCUACAAAUUCCCUCCUAUCCUAUGUUUCCUCUUCAAUUAGCUCUCAGAUGAUAUAGUUUUUCAUCAACUCCCCUUUUCCCACGUAGGUAUUCUCCUAUCACACCUUCUGGCGUAUAAUUAUCACCCUGAGCAACCCAACCAUAUAAAUUUGGGCUAGGGCAAUGACUAUAUUGGUUUUUUGUUCUUGUUAGAUGUAGUGCUAGGUUUCAAAGGCCUUUUUAGAGUCCAAUGCACCCUAAAAGUUAGUCCAAUCGCUAUUGAAUCUAUCUAUUUACAAUGCCACCAAAAGUCGAUCCCUUCACAAAGAUUGACACAUAAACAUGAGCAACAACCAUCGUUAAAUCUUAACAGGGUAUGAGAACCAUAUACAUGGUCCCUCAGCCUUAUCAGUUCGAAUCUAUAAAACUUAACUAUAAAAUUGCAGAUAUCUUGUUUGAAUGACCAAUGCCUAAUCAAUUUAAAAUAGCAUUCACAAAAUCAAUGUACUCUAUGGUGUAUUUUUCACAAGGUCUACAAAAUAUUAUGUAGUAGUUAUAUUAUUGCUCAUCUAACACGCUAUCUUGGUCAUUUUUCUGCCUUAUCUCUCCAAUUUAUGCAAUGAAUCAUUGUUUCCCUUGUUUAUCGUUCCCAUCUAAUGAAAAGCUAUAAAAAAAUAUUUGUUCAAAAGAAAAACUGCUGGUAUACGCAAACCAAAUACUUUCUUUUCUGAAACACAUCGACUGGCCAUCGGGUGGACAUAUGAAAGGACGUCAUCUGUAGGUCUAUAAAUACAAGGUCUAUUUCUACGUAACCCUUCACUUGUCUCUAAACCCAAAAUAUCAUAAACCCUCUUCUUCUUUUUCUUCACCAAAAACUAAAAUCAUGCCUGGUUGUAGAAUUGCCCUUCGCCCAUUCAUACGAGUUCCACCUCGUACCUAUGAUCUGCUGCUGCUUCGGAAUGACUUUGACCAUCUUUUUCAUGGAUUGGGAGAAGAUCGACGAUACUCGAAGCGUGAGCUUUGCUGAAUUGCUCAUUUUCUCCGAACAAUUAUGGAGCGUCUUGGAAUGAACAAGAAUGACUACAUCACCCCCCCCACACACACACACACACACAUACACACACACCAUCUCAAUAAUUUAGUUUACUUUGUUAUUUUAGUUUAUGUUUUAAAGUUUUUUUGGCAUGUUAAUUGCUGAAGAAGCUUUCUUGUAGGAUCUUGUUAGAAGAAAGCUUCUUCUAUUUUUUCCUUUUUGCUUUUAAUUUUAUUAUGUAAUGCAAUGAACAAUUUUAAUAUAAGUAUGUUUCAGUUUGUUUGAACAUUACGUUUACCAUCUUUGUUGUAAUCCCUUAUUUUUUUUAUGUGGUGGUUACUCUUCUGUACAGACAAAAACUCGAAUCAAAUAUGUAUGCCUUUUCAAUUUACAGUACUGUAGCUUGACUAAUUUCCUGAAGAGUAAAAAGUACUAUAUAGUCUAUCAUCGAUUGUAUACUCAGUAUUCCAUUGACUCUACAUAUUCGUCGAUCAUAGACUAUGUGAAUUGAUGGGUCAUCUGUUAAAUUAAAACAAACAAUAACAGAUUAUUAAAAAAUAAUUUAAUUCAAAAAGAUUUAAACAGAUUAUGACGUGUUUUGUGGCUGGUUGAAGAAAAUAAUUAAAUUAAAAAUGAUUUAAAUAGAUAAUCAAUCACAAUUUAAUUAUUUUAAAUAUUUUAAGUUGUUGAUUGUUGUAAUUUAUAAUACUUAUUUAUGUAAUUUUUAAAUAAUAUAUGUUACGCUCCUUGUCCAAACUUUUGUAACGUUAAUAGUUAAUUAUAUUUUUAACUAUUUUAAUUUAAGUGGCAAUGAUAUAAUUUCGAGAGUCAACCAAAUAUUUUAUAUCUUUUUUAUUUUUUUUAAAGUUGUUAAUUAUUAAUCUAUAAUACUUUUUAUGUAUUUUUUGAAAUAUAUAAAAGAUUAAAUUUUUUAUGAUAUUUUAAGUUGUCAAAAUAUUGUAAUUUAUAAUAUUUUUUAUGUAAUUUUCAAAUAAUAUGUGUUACUCUUUUUAUCUAAACUUUAUUGGCAUUAAUAGUCAAUUAUAUUUUUAAAAUAAUUUAAGUGUGAUUUAUAAUACUUUGUUUACACUCCAAUUUAAAUAUCACUAAUAUAAUUUUAAGAGUCAGCCAAAUAUUUUAUACCUUCUAAAUUUUUAAGUUAUUAAUUAUUGUGAUUUAUAGAAAUUUUUUCGUAAUUUUUUUGAAACACAUAACAAAUUAAAAGAAAUAAGACAAACAAAUUAAAAUGGAUGAAAAAAUGAAGGCAAGGGAAAAGAUCAAUGAAGUUGUGCCAAAGUAGACAAAUUGAUCUUUAAAAUUUUUAAGCUGUUAAUUAUUGUGAUUUAUAAUAUUUUUUUAUGUAUUUUUUUGAAAUAUAAUAAAAGAUUAAUUUUUUUUAGAUAUUUUAAUUGUUAACUAUUGUAAUUUAUAAUAAUUUUUUAUGUAAUUUUCAAAUAAUAUAUAUUACUCUUCUUGUCCAAAAUUUUGUGACUUUGAUAGUCAAUUAUACUUUUUAAAUAAUUUAAUAAUUUAAUUAUUAUAAUUUAUAAUACUCUUUCUUCAAUUCCAAUUUAAGUGACACAAUGGUUAGAUGACCAUAAUAAUUAAUAAGGGGUGAUAUAAUAAAAUCACGAUUGAAGCAACUAAACAGAGAUAUCUUAAAUGACUUACAAUAACUAAUUAAAAGUGAUAUAGCAAAAUUACUAUAAAAAAAUACUUGUGAAAAAAAUGUAAGCGGGACUCAUAUAUGACGUCAAGUAAAUUUAGAAUUAAAUAUUAUUAUUUUUUAAUACUUUGAUGACAUAUAAUAAUUAAUUAAGAAAAAUAUAGUAAAAUUAUGGUUGAAACAGUUGAAGCGAAUAUGUCAUUAAUAUUUAUUUUAUUUUUAAUUAAAUAUUAUUAAUUUUUUACUAUAUAAAUAACAUAUAAUAAUUAAUUAAGAGUGAUAUAAAAAAUUACAAAGCAAGCAGCUGAAUUAUCGGCACAGAGAACAACCCGAACAUAUCAUAAAUAUUUAUUUUAUUUUUUAAUUAAAUAUUAUUAAUUUUUAAUAUAUAAAUAAUAUAUAAUAAUUAAUUAAAAAUAAUAUAAUAAAAUUACGAAGUAAGCAGAAUACAACCCGAAGCUCCUCAAACUCCGCAUAUUAGUUGAAAGAAUUUAACUAAUAUAAACGACGUGGACCAUCAGUUAGAUUGCUAGUUUUAUUAUAAAAUAUAAACGACGAUGACACAUUUGUCUUAUCGCAAGCCUUAUUAUAUAUGAAAAUAACGUCCACGAAUAUCUUCUCUCUCUAUGUCUUUUUCAUACAACUAUUUUUUUGUUUUUGUUUUUGGUUCUUUGCUAUGAUGAGUCGUAAUUGAAAAAAAUGUAUAAAAAAAAAAAGGAAGGAAGAAAUGUAACUUGAUUUUAGACUUUUGCCUUAUAAAGUCUUAGGGCAUGAUGAUUUACAUUUCAUGCUAGGCCAUACGAUUUUUAUUCGUCUAUGCGUCAAUCCCUCUCUUUUGGUUUAGUUUCAUCUUUCAUCAUCUUAUAAACAUCACUUAUUCAUUAAAUACUAAUGUGUAUUAGAUACAAUUUUCUAGAUAUCUCUCCUAUUUUGAUGGACAUUUUCACUUUUCUUUACUAUCUAAUUUAUUAUUUUUAAGGAAAUAAUGUGCUGUGAUUUGAGUGUUCCAAUUCAAUGAUAAGAUUAUAACAGUCUCGUUCUUCAUAUUUUAUCAUAGUUAAAGUUAGGCUUUCUGACAUCGUAAAAUGACAAUAAAUGAAGUACACCAUGAACAAGAUGCAUGCAUUUUCUGUAUACAUAACAAAUAAGGAUAAAAAUCUGAANNNNNNNNNNNNNNNNNNNNNNAAGGAUGUUGGCCACAUCAGCUUCCUCGUUCCAAGAAAUAUGUUUUUUUUUUUUUAACCUUCUUGUUUAUGUGAAAACUAGUAGCUAUGGGGAUUAUGGUUUUGAUAAUCGAUCUAUGAACCAGGAUAAGGGUGUCAAGUGGGCCGGCCUGAUCCGGCCUUCGUAACUAACUCGGCCCAGUAAGUCCUAGGGCUUUAGGGUUUCGGGUUUCGGGUCAGUUAUUUUUUUAAAAUGGGCCCAAUUAAUUUGGCCCGGACCAAGUUCGGUUUAGGCUUGUCGAUUAACCGGCCCAGUUUGAAUACCUUUUUAUUAAAAAAUAAGAAAAUUAAAAAAAUUGGGAUUUUGGGCCAAACUAGCCGUUGGUCCAACGGCUAUAUAGCCGUUUUUGGGUCCAAACGGCUAGUUUGGGCCCAUUUAUUAAAAAAAAAAAAUUGUAACUUCAAAAAAUAUUUUUUAAUCCAAAAAAAAACUCUAUAAAUACCCUACAACUUCAAAUCAUUUUUCACACAAUUUUUCACUCUCUCAAAUCUCAAUUCUCAAUUCUCAAAUAUUCAAUACAUUUAAUUUCUUAAAGUGUUCACUUUAAUUUUUUAAUUUUUCGUUUACAAAGUACGAGCGAAAGUUUCUAAAGUCGUAACCUUCGGAUACUUUCAAAAUUUGGUAUUGUCGUUCCAUCUCUUAUGUUUAACUUUUAUUUAUUGNNNNNNNNNNNNNNNNNNNNNNNNNNNNNNNNNNNNNNNNNNNNNNNNNNNNNNNNNNNNNNNNNNNNNNNNNNNNNNNNNNNNNNNNNNNNNNNNNNNNNNNNNNNNNNNNNNNNNNNNNNNNNNNNNNNNNNNNNNNNNNNNNNNNNNNNNNNNNNNNNNNNNNNNNNNNNNNNNNNNNNNNNNNNNNNNNNNNNNNNNNNNNNNNNNNNNNNNNNNNNNNNNNNNNNNNNNNNNNNNNNNNNNNNNNNNNNNNNNNNNNNNNNNNNNNNNNNNNNNNNNNNNNNNNNNNNNNNNNNNNNNNNNNNNNNNNNNNNNNNNNNNNNNNNNNNNNNNNNNNNNNNNNNNNNNNNNNNNNNNNNNNNNNNNNNNNNNNNNNNNNNNNNNNNNNNNNNNNNNNNNNNNNNNNNNNNNNNNNNNNNNNNNNNNNNNNNNNNNNNNNNNNNNNNNNNNNNNNNNNNNNNNNNNNNNNNNNNNNNNNNNNNNNNNNNNNNNNNNNNNNNNNNNNNNNNNNNNNNNNNNNNNNNNNNNNNNNNNNNNNNNNNNNNNNNNNNNNNNNNNNNNNNNNNNNNNNNNNNNNNNNNNNNNNNNNNNNNNNNNNNNNNNNNNNNNNNNNNNNNNNNNNNNNNNNNNNNNNNNNNNNNNNNNNNNNNNNNNNNNNNNNNNNNNNNNNNNNNNNNNNNNNNNNNNNNNNNNNNNNNNNNNNNNNNNNNNNNNNNNNNNNNNNNNNNNNNNNNNNNNNNNNNNNNNNNNNNNNNNNNNNNNNNNNNNNNNNNNNNNNNNNNNNNNNNNNNNNNNNNNNNNNNNNNNNNNNNNNNNNNNNNNNNNNNNNNNNNNNNNNNNNNNNNNNNNNNNNNNNNNNNNNNNNNNNNNNNNNNNNNNNNNNNNNNNNNNNNNCAUUCACAAUAUUAUUUUUAUUUAGCAACAUUGUUAAAAAAUAUUCAAUGUAGAUUGUCCCUAACUUCUGAUCUUGAUCGUGCUGUAAAUAAAAAUGAUUAUUUAACCGUUACUUGUCAUUGGAUGGAUAGUAAUUUCGUGAUGCAAAAACGUAUUCUUACUUUUUUAUAUGAUGAAGAUCGUAAACAUGCUGGAUAAUUUAUUGAUGAUUCUAUUGUUAAAAUUGCCGGAUAUUAUGGUAUCGAAAAUAAAAUUUUAUGUAUUGUUUUUGAUAAUGCUUCUAAUAAUAAGACUACUGUAAAAAAAUUAAAAUCUACGCUAUCUCCGCCCUUGCCUGAAAUUUUUCAUAUUAAGUGUGCAUGUCAUAUAUAUAAUUUAAUUGUAAAAAAUGGUCUUGAGUUUUUUGAGCUUUAUAUUGAAAAAAUUCGUCUUGNNNNNNNNNNNNNNNNNNNNNNNNNNNNNNNNNNNNNNNNNNNNNNNNNNNNNNNNNNNNNNNNNNNNNNNNNNNNNNNNNNNNNNNNNNNNNNUAUAUCUAUAUAUAUUGUAAUGUAUAUAUAAUGUAGUAUAUUUUAUAAGUAGUAGUAUAUAUACAUUGAAUGGUGCGUAUACACGUGUAUAUAUCUUCUAUAGAAGUGUAUAUUUAACGUAUACAUGUGUAUAUGUUUUAUGAAUUAGUAUAUAAGUAUAUCUAUAUAUAUUGUAAUGUAUAUAUAUUGUAGUAUAUUUUAUAAGUAGUAGUAUAUAUACAUUGAAUGGUGCGUAUAUAUGAGUAAUUGACUAAUUGUGUAUAUGUGUAUAUAUUUUUUAAAUUCUAAUGUAGAAUAUACUAUAUAUAUAGUGUAUAUAUAUUAUUUAACGUAUUUAUAAUGUAUAUAGGUAGGUAUAUGUAAUGUAUAUUGAAAGAAAGUUUUUUUUUUUUUUAUAUAUUUUUGACCGGGUUUGAUCGGGUUGGAUUAAGUGGGCCGGGUUAGGGUGGAUUUUAAUUUUUUUACUGUUUGGCCCGGCCUCGCCCGACCCGUCUAGCGUCAAAACUGGCCCUUAACCGGCCCUCAACCCGGUUAAAAUAGAAGGGCCGGUUCCGGGUUGGCCCGACCCGACCCGUUUGACACCCAUAAACUAGGAUCAUGUUAACUGUGAAUCAGGUUCUUGAUUAUUGUGGGGCUGAUCAAUUUAGUUAUGUCACGUGCAACAAAGUAUUUUGUUUAAAUAAGAAAUGCACAAUCAGUGUAUGAAAACGAAUAUAUUAAUUAUGGUAAAGAAGUGUAUUGUAGCAGGCUUUUUUACAAGAAUUUAUUUGCACAAGGAAAAGUGAGUUGUAGCCUAAGGAAGGCAAACAAGCAAUAUAUACGCAACACUGUAAUCAAUUUGGCAGCGCCUUUUUGCACUCCACAGAUAUGGGCAAUCACAAAAGCAAGAAGGAGCAAGACAAAAGAAAAUCAACAAGUUUAAUAUCAAGCUAUUACCGGGCGGUAGUUUGGUGUUGAUUUUAGUUUUGCUUUAGAAGUUUUUUACUGAAUGUUGAGUGUUAGAAAUGAAGUGUUUGUGAGACGUUACAAUAAGAAGCGAGUUUAACUUUUUAGAGUACUGGUUAAAUAGUGUGUCAAAAAGCCAGAGUUAACCCUUGAGGUGAGGUACUCAAGUGAAUCCCUUAGAUUGUUGAGUCGUAAUCUAAAACAUUGAUGGUGUGAAGAUAGUGGAGAUUGGUGUUGAAAUCUCCUAGCAUAUUGUUUGUAUUUAGUUUAAUUUGCUUUUACUGUUUACUGCAUUUUUCUUAAUCAAGUUCCUAAUACGUGUGGUGGAGUUAGCCGUUUUAUCAUUUUAUGCUUAAUUUUCGUUUCAAUUUUCUUAUUUGAAUUUGACACAAGUUUAUGAAAUUAAAGAAAAUGUUUGAAUCUUGUAAUUUUAGACUAAAGAUACAUUAAAUGUAUCAAAAUAAAUUUUAAUCUUGAGAUCCUAAACAGGUCACAAAAAAGAAAAGAGAUAUUUUUUGUAUAAAAGUACGAAGAAAAGCAAGAAACAAAAUGACAAGUAAGAACUAAUAAGUUUAAUCAAUUUUGAUCCUUUUACUUGAGCUUAUUCGUACCACUUUGCCAGGAGGGAUAUUUUCUUUUUUGGUAAAUUUUGGACCACUCGGGUAUUAUUCUGAGUGAAUAUUUUUAUUAAUAAUCAAAGAAUCAAAAUAAAAAUAAAAAUAAAAGUAAGAGGAGUUAGGCUUUGCAAAUCUUAAUGAGGUCAAAGUCAAACCCUCGACUAAUACUAGCAAGCAUGUAAGAAAUAAAACUUGAAAGGGCCAAAUAUUUUAUCAUCACCAUAAUAUUUAUAACAUGCAUAUUCUAUAAUAAUAUUACAAAUGAAGAUACUAUCAGGAGGAAUAAAUGUAGUUGUUGGAGUGCAAAUUUUGUGUUUAACUAAUGUGUGAGGAUAUUAGAAUUCAGUGACGGAGUCAGAAUUUUUAUUGAAGGGUUCAAAAGUAAAUAUACGGACUAGUCGAAGGGAUUCAACAUCUACUAUGUAUACAUAAAAUUAUUUUUAAUAGUGUAAAAAUAAUAUACUUUUCCGUCGAAGAAAUUUCAGAUGAACCUCUAAUUACAAGAUGGAUCCGCCACUGCUAGAUCUAGUGCCAUCACUCUCUCUUUAAAAGAGAUAGAGAUGUAACAUGUCAUGCAUGUGACAUUACAUUACACAAAUGUUAGGAACCUGAGGUACAAUUAAUGUAACGGGCACACAAUUUUUGUCUUACGCUUAGCAUUAUUAACGAUUAAUUUCUUCGCUCUAAUGUCUUUUCCGUAGGAGUUAAUAAGAAAAAGAAAAAAUUACAGAAAUUAGCAUUCUUAAAACUAUAAUUAAAAUAAAUAGUAAUACUUUUUUAAAAUUAUAACUUAUAGCAAAAGUAGCAAUAUUUUACCCAUUUCAUAGUAAUAGGAGAAUAUGAAUUUUUUAGUUGUGCAGAUGUAUUUAUGAGUAAUACACAUAUAUUUGUAUAUGUAUUUAUAUACCAAUAUUUUACUAAAAUAUAAAUAUAAUUUAUUAUUUUUUAUAAUUAUAAAAUUGUUGCUAUAUAAGUUAUAAUUAAGGUUACAGAGUUGUUAUUUCUAAAAUUUUGCCAUAAGAAAAUUAUUUAUAUUCGAUCUAAUAAUGAAGACAAAUGUGGUGUCCCUUUACCCUAAUUGUAUGCUUGAUUACUUUCAAUAAUGUCAGCUAUAAGACAAAUAUGUUGUCCUUUUACCUUAAUUGUAUGUUUGAUUAUUUAUUUAUUUUUCCUUUUCAGUGAAUGUCACAUUACAUGUUAUACAUUUAUGUUUGGUUUAAAAAAUGAAUUUUGUAAAAAGACAGCUGAAUUUUGCAGGAUUUUACAUCCCCAAAACAAUUUUAAUUUAAUAUUAAUUAUUUUUAGGUGGAACUCAAUUUUUAAAAAUAAAUAUUGACCAUGCAUCAAUUAGUAAUUAAUACAUAUUAAUUUAAUAUAAAAUAUUCUUUUCCUUCAUACUUUUUCUCUUUUCUCUCUCCUAUUCACCUUCUUCCUCCCAUUUCACCUUCGCUCAAUCCCUCACUCCGUCAUUCUUUUUCUUUCUUUUUAUCCCUUGUUUAACCAAGCCCCCUCCCCUUCCACUGUUAAACUCACAAGACCUCCCCAUACUUAGCUUUAGGCUUUAAAAUUGAUAAUAAGAAUCACUCCACCAUUUUGUAUUAUUAUUAUAAUUGUAAUGAUUUUGAAAAACUUAAAGUAGAUAUAAUUUUAAAUUUCAUAUAACUUAUAUUUUAUACUCUCAUUUGAAAUGAAAAAUGAGUGAUCUUAUAGUUACGUGUGAAUUUCAUUUUUUGUGAUUUCACUAAAUUUUCGACUCAACUUUAAGGAUGAUUUCUUUCUUUAUUAUAAUUCAGUGACGGUCGAAAUUUUAUCAUUUUUUUCAUCGGAAAAUUCCUUUUCACAGUUAAAAAUGGUGGCUUACACAUGAUGCCUCUCCACUUUUCUUAUCACUUUGUCAUUUUAAUCAAAAAAUAAACACCGACUAAAAUAAAAUCCUCCAUCAUGAAAAUUGAGAUGAUUUCAUUGAGGGCUAUGUCCUUUGUUUUUCAAAGCUUCAACGUCAAUUGGAUUUGGGGAAGCUGGACAAGAUGGGUUUUAUAAAGAAUUUUAAAAAUUAUUUGUACUGACAUUUUAAAUUUGUUUUUGCCAUUAAUCUUUCUCCUUUACGUGCGCCAGUUACGUGAAUACAAACAUAGGCUGAAUUAUGUGUCAAAUUUGCUCAUUUACAAUGGUCAAUCUUUAUAACUUUUGUGGUGUACUAGGACGCUCGCAUACAUAAGGUGUCAUUCAGUAAAUUCGGAUAAUUUCAAUGAUAACUUUAUGUCUUUUCUCUCUUUUUUUAUUAAAAAAAAAAAAAGGAAUGAGGGCUUCGUUUUGCAAGACAAUGAAGAUGGUUAUAUUCACCACAAGAGUUGUGGUGAAGUGAUAUGAUAAGUACUUUGUUGUGAUGGAGUAGCUCCUUCAUUCUUAAUUAAAAAUCUCAAUUUCGAGUCCACUCCACCCCCACCCCACCCCACCCCACCCCCACUAGGUGCAAAUUUUCCUUUGCUAAGGAGCGUAUUAUCCCCAAUGUGAAACUUUCUUGUAUGAAUUCGAAUUUAGUCAAACUUCAAUAUGGGUAUCAAAUACUCUAUUGGAAACGCCCCACCAAAAAAGAGUGAUAUAUUUAUAGGAAAAAGGACAUGGGCUGUCCAUUUUUUAAAAAAAUGACCCACAUUUGAAAAGGUGGACAUGAGUUUUUUAGUUGGCUAAACUAAUUUCUUUUUUAGUCAUUUGGCUCAAUUGGUCACAUGCAGUCUCUAUACUCAAUUGAUACACUUUUAUACUAAAUUGAUACACUUUUAUACUAUAUUGAUACACUUUUUAAAAAAGAGAAAGAAUUUUUAUGUAAGUACGUGCAGUCCCUAUACCCAAUUGAUAUUCUUUUAUACCAUAUUAAUACACGUUUAUACUACAUUGAUACACUUACAGUGUCCAUAUACUCAAUUGAUACUCUCUUAUAUUAGAUUGAUACAUUUUUAGAAUGCAUGUAGAAAAUAUAUAGAGUCGUAUAAAAUAUAUAUAUAUAAAUAAUAAAUAUAGUUAAAAAUUGUAUAGAAUGUGUAUAAAAAUGCUAUAAUUAUUAUAUAGAAUAUGUAUAUGUAUAGAAACUGUAUCAUUAUUAUAUAUAAAUAUAUAUCUUUAACAAUUGUAUUUUAUAAAUAUGUAUAAUUCAUGUCACUUUAUUUCCAGUAAUCAAAAGUUUGCAUUACACUAUGCUGUUAAAUACAAGGAUAUUUAUAAGAUACAGGCACCAAGUUUUUUUUUUUUUUAAAGUUUUAUUUUUACCCGGAGGAACUAAGGCCUCUGUUGUUAGCUAGUUAAUUAAUCUAUGUUGUCCUUGAUGGAAAAAAGAAGGUUCAAAUUUGUGUCGUGUAGUUGUUUAAACAUAAGAAUUUCAUUUAAACUUUUAUUCGAAUGAUAACUUUCUACUCUGAUCACUUGAUUCGAACAACAGAGCACAGAUGUUAGCUGUCAUUAAGAUAAAAAAUGUCAUUCUACAACAUUAAAACGAGCGAAAUAAUACUGUACCUGUAAACACCUGUCGGUGGCCCAGUACACAAAACGGAAAGGGACGAAUUUUGAAGCUUAAUGGCUAUUUACUGAGUUUUUAAAUUUAAGUGCUAGUUUUGUGGAAUUAUUUUAAUUUUAUGUGUUAUUUUUGUCCUUUCCCCAUAUUUAUAUUCAUAUUGGAUUUGUGUCGGAGCAAGUCCGAUAAAUUUCGGUGAUAAAAGUAGAUAAUUUUGUGUGGACUAAAAUAAAAUGUCAUUAUCAUUUUUGUUGUCCUUUAUUCACGUUGUUAAAGAUCGAUUUUCGACAUGAGUUAAAUACAAAGGACUUUUCAAAAAUCAUUAUACUUGGGAGUCUUAUUAAAAAUCUAUCAUGAUAGUUUAUUUAUAACAACAGUUUGUGAUGUUAGGCCAAAAUAAAAAAUUUGAGAUCAGUAAGAUUGGUAGAGAAAUAGGUGAGUGGCAAGCGAGAUUUGGAGAGUGACAAGAGAGAUGCUAGAGAGAGGACGAAUACAGAUUGUAUUGAUGAAUUCAAUUUGCGUAUCUUCAAAGAUCCAAACAACAAAAAAUUCGGAAGACUAUCAAUUCAGCUAAUUUUUCUUCUAUUCAUGCACAUAUUUAGGAGAGCGGAUUAUAAUUUGGGAAAUCAAUCCUCAUCAACAAAAUAAAAGUUUAGAUAGUUAACCAACUGAGUUACGUAUUAACAUUUUCCUUCCUGAUAGUUAUUGAGAAUUCACUUUUAAAAUUUUCACUUUUUGUUUUUGUUUUUUGUUUUUUCAUAGUAAUCAUACACACUUUUGCAUCUUUAGUGUUUCAUUGAAAUAAGAAAAGAAAAUCAACAUGGGUUGUGGUGUAGUGGUGAGACUACUUCACCCUAAUUCAGAGGUUUCGGGUUCGAGCCGGCCUGUGCACGAAAAAAAUUCUAUUGAGAGCGUAACCUCAGAAUGGGCCCUGCAGUGCGCAAUCCGGAUUAGUUGGGGCUCCAGUUAGGAUAUCGGACACCGGUCGAAGGGAAAUAAAAAAAAAGGAAAAACAAUCUGUUUUUAUGAAAUCUAUGUUCAACCAAACAUUAAGAGAGAAAUCUUUUAAAUUUUUGCAUAAACUGGAAUACUUGUCAAUUUAGCUAGAUGUUUGAUUAAAUUUCAGUUUCAAAAUUUUUAAACAGAAAUCACCUAUAACUAAACAUACAUUAACUAAAUAAGAUCCUAUAUUACUACCAACUAGGGUUAUGGUGAAGUGGUAACACUACAAGAAAAAGGUUUAUUUAAGAUUAACUUUCAGAGAUGAGUCAGUAAUUUGGUCUCUAAAAGUAUACUUAUUAGGACGAGAUUAAAUUACGGUUCUUAAUAUUAUAUUUUAUUGAAAAGGUAAAAAAUUUGGUCCCUAAUUAUUUUUUAGCUGGUCCCUAAUGUUAAUUGGGAUCUUUGAGAGGGAAAAAUAACGCCAAAAUAAAAUAUUAGGUACCAAUUCUUUUUACUCUUAUUAACAUUACUGGAAAUUAAAGAAGGGAUAUCUUUAUAUUAUUUACCCAAAAAGAAAAAGAGCUCGUCCAGCCGCCUCUCUAGCUAGCAUAUAUGAUCGAGUACUGUACGCCUUCUAUCCUCGAACAAAAUUCAGCUGCUGGUCGCAACAAAUCAAACACUAUAUGCACCAGCAAGUUACCGAUUUUCCAAUUGCUUCUUCAAUUUUGUGGAUUAUUGCAGCCAAUAAUUUUUUCAUAUUUUGGUUUAUCGAUCUAUCGCGAAUUCGAGGUAUGAUUUAGUUUUUGGUUAUUGCAAUAAUAAUUUACCCUAAGACGAUUUUCCAAUCUGAUGGUUAUUGCAACUAGUAAUGUGCCCUAAUCUCUUUCUUCCAAAGUUGUUCUAAAUUAGUCUUAUUUCUAUCCGAAUCUGUUAUUUUUUUUAAUUGUACAACUCAUAAUUCAGUAUGAAAUUUGUCAAUUUGGGGUUGGUCAACUAUCGUCUCUCUAUCGUAUAGCUACUAGGAAUAGCAAUAGCGGGUGUGGAUUGGGGCUGGUUUACUGCUACGCGGGGCAAGGCGUGGUGCGAUAGAGAGCCUUAAAAUUUUAAAACUAUGGUGGUGUGGUGAUGGAAUCGCUGAUAUUUUUGGAAGAAGGUUUGGGUCAGAAAAGUUGUGUUAGUUUUGUUUUCGAACUUUAGAAAAAAUUGAAUUCUUUUUGUCCUUUUUGACACCCUUUUAGUUUCUUUUUGACACCCUUUUAGUUUCUGUUCAUGUGUGUGGUUAACAAAUGCUAUAGGAUGAAAUGCUUAACCACAAUCCUAUGUGUUUUUCCUCAUAUCGAAAUGGUUUUUUACUUUCUAAUUAUAGGUAAAGAUUGAAUUUUUUCUUUUUCUUGGCACCCUUAUAAUUUGUGUUAUGGGUGUGGUUAGCAAAUACUAUAUGGUAAAAUGCUUCAUCAUAAUGUUCUGUGUUUUUUGUCAUGUAAAAUGGAUUUAAAUGUUGUUUUAUUGUUCUUUUUGCUUUCUAAUUUUAGGUGAAGAUUGAAUUUAUUUCUUAUUUUCUUGGCACCCUUUUCGUCUUUGUUCAUGGGUGUGGUUAACAAAUAUCCCUAUAUUAUAAUAGUCCUUUCUAUUUUGUUUUACUCGUAUCAAAAUUGUACAAUGUUGCGCAUUUUAGGCCCAAUAGGUGGACAGAGAAUAUUUUUGCGCAAUUUCACAUAGUUGAAGGGUAUUUUAGGCCCUUUUCCUUUGUUUUUAUAGGUUAUUAGUUGUAAGCUAGUUCUUCUAUUGAGGUUCUUAAUGAUAACUUUAUCAGGUAGGUUACUAGUGAUGUGGAUUUUGAUAAGUAUCCUUGCACAUAAUUUUUAUUAUUUAAUUUUCCUCUGUCUAAUAUUUUAUGUAUUUUACAAGGUUAUGACACCUAGUAAGCAGUGGAUACAAUUUAUUAUUGACCGGGAUAGUAAAAUAUACAAAAGUAAGGUGAAAAAGUUUUUGAAUUAUGCUUUUCGAAAAACAUGACAAGAACAUGAAAUACGAUGUCCAUGUAACAAAUAUUGCAAUACUACUUUAGGAACUCGUACAACAAUUGAGACACAUUUAAAAGUACAUGGAAUACUUCAGAAUUAUACUUUUUGGUUUCAACAUAGAGAACGCUUGGGUGAACCGUUAUCUGAAUCCGAAUCCGAAUCUGAAGAUGAAUAUGAUGUUGAAGUGGAAGAAUGUGAUAGUGAAGAUAAAGUAGAAGAAUUAUUGAGAGAUUUGUAUCCUAAUCUUGAUGGUGGACCUACACACACUAAUUGUGUUGAAGAGGAGCCAAAUGUUAUAGCAGAACAAUUUUAUGAACUAUUGAACGAUUUUGAGCAGCCAUUGUAUCAAAAUUCAAAAGCGUCAAAGUUUUCCACUUUGAUUAAAUUGCUUCACAUCAAAAGUAUGGGUCGUUGGAGUAAUGCAUCAUUUACAAUGUUAUUGAAAAUAUUGAAAGAGGAGUUGUUGCCUGAUGGUGCCGAUUUGCCAAACUCAUAUUAUGAGGCAAAGAAAAUAAUUCGAGAACUCGGACUUUCUUACAAUAAGAUAGAUGUUUGCACUAAUGAUUUCAUGUUUUAUUGGAAGGAAGAUAGCUCACUCGAUUCUUACAAAAUUUGUAGUGAGUCUAGAUGGAAAAUAGAUACCCAUAGCGGAGAAGCAUAGACAAAAAAGGUAAAAAUAUAGCAACAAAGAUUUUACGCUAUUUUCCCUUAAAGACUAGACUUCAGAGGUUGUUUAUGUCUUCAAAGACGUCUACUCUAAUGACAUGGCAUAAGGAUAAAAGGGUUGAUGAUGAAAUAAUGAGGCACCCAGCUGAUUCAAUGGCAUGGAAGUCACUUGAUGAACAUUAUCCUUCAUUUGCUGCCGAGCCCCGUAAUGUUAGACUUGAACUUGCUAGUGAUGGAUUUUAGCCAUUUCGAAAUUCAAAAAAUCACAUAGCAUUUGGCCUGUGAUUUUUAUUCCUUAUAAUUUACCACCUUGGUUGUGUAUGAAACAAGAAAAAUUUAUUUUGUCAAUGCUUAUUCCUGUUCCAAAUGGUCCAGGAGAUGCAAUUGAUAUAUAUCUUCAGCCUUUGAUAGAGGAAUUGAAUGAGUUAUGGGAAAUAGGUGUUGAUACCUAUGACGCAUCAGCUAAAUGGAAUUUUAUGUUGCAUGCAUCUUUGUUAUGGACCAUCAAUGACUUUCCAGCAUAUGAAAAUUUAUCUGGAUGGAGUACCAACGAAAAAUUGGCAUGUCCAUGUUGCAACAAAGACAUUUCCUCAAUUUGAUUGACAAACAUUAAGAAGCAGUGUUUUAUGGGUCAUCGAUGUUACCUUCCUCUUAGUCACAAAUGGAGAUAUGAGAAGCAGUUCUUUGAUGGUACAGUAGAUAAAAGGCCACCCCCAAAAAAUUGUUCUGGUACAAAGAUACUUAAUCAAGUACAAGAUCUUGAAGGACAACAAUUAUCAAGAGAUCUAAAAAAAAGGAAGAAGAUGUCACAUAAAGUUCGAAAAGAUAACUGGAACAAGAAAAGUAUCUUUUUAAACUUCAUAUUGGGAGUAUCUCUAAUUGCGACAUAAUUUGGAUGUUAUGCAUAUUAAAAAAAAUGUGAGGCUUUUAUGGGGACAUUUAUGAAUGUCAAAGGAAAGACUAAGGAUACAAUAAAUACUCGAUUAAACUUGCAAGAGAUGAACAUUAGGCCAAAAUUACACCUCAUCCAAAAAGGGGAGAAAGUUGAAGUUCCAACUUCAUGCUACACAUUACCUCCUGAAGAAAAGCACAAUUUUUGUCUUUUCUUAAAGAAUCUGAAAGUUCCUGAUGGUUUUUCAUCUAAUAUUUCUCAGUGUGUAAACUUAAAAGAUCACAAGAUAUCUCGGUUGAAAAGUCAUGAUUGUCAUGUUCUUCUACAACAUCUACUCCCUCCUGCACUUAGUGGUAUGUUGUCUAAAGAAGUGUAUGAAUCAAUUAUUGAUUUAUCUUAUAUUUUUAGUGUUCUUGGAUCCAAGGAGUUGAGAACUGAUGAUUUGAAACAUAUCGAAGUGAAAAUUUCCAUCACACUUUGCAAGUUAGAAAAGGUCUUUCCUCCUUUAUUUUUUGAUGUCAUGGUGCACUUGCCUAUUCAUUUAGCUACAGAAGCUAAGAUUGCUGGGCCUAUUUAUUAUAGGUGGAUGUAUCUUGUGGAACGAUCGUUGUAUUUUUUGAAAUCUCUCAUUGGUAAUAGGGCAUUCCUUGAAGGUUCUAUUGCAGAGGGCUAUAUUGUAAAUGAGUGUAUGACCUUGUGUUCAGGGUACUUGCAUAAAAUUGAUACAAAAUUCAAUCGGCCUGAAAGAAAUUAUGAUGGGGGUGUAAAAUAAUAUGAUGGAGGUUUAUCUAUAUUUUAUCAACCUGAAAAAAUUUUGGGAGCUAAAAAUCCAUGUGAGAUUUCGACCGAUGAAUCGGAACAAGCACAUAUAUACAUAUUGAAGAAUUGUGAUGAAUUCUUACCAUAUCUCAAGUAUGGGAAGAACACAUGUAGUCUCAUUUUUAUUAUUUCCUUUAGGGUAAUUUUCUUUCUAUAUGAGAUUUAUGAUUCACUUUAAUUUUGUAGAGAAAUUGCACAAACUUAAAAGGAUACUAUUAGACACUUGUCUGAUGCUGAAUGGAAUCGACAAUUUAUUGAAUGGUUAAAAGAUAGGAUAAGUAAUACAUAACCAUAAAAUUUAAUAUUUUAAUAUUAUAUUACUCAUUCUAAAGUAUUUAGUGCAAUCUUAUUCAUAGGUCCCACAACUGCAUAAAGGAGAUGAUAGUCGCACAACUGCAAAAUUUGAGUUCAUCAUAUUGUUCAUGUUCUGGUCGUUUCUUGGUAAAAAAGUUUGAUAGUAUUUGCUAUGCAUUAACUUAUCCCAUAUUUUGAUUAUUGUAGGAUAAAUUUGAGGGUGUUGAACUGACUGAUCAUCGUGAACAUAUUUUGAGAUGGAUGAAUGAGUUAUGAAACAAAUGGAGAGGAUACUUAUAUGGAAAAUAUGUGAAGAAUAAGUCACUUCAACAAGCUCUGAAGAAUAAGUCAUAUGGAAUAGACAAGAAAAAAUGGGAGUGGUUGGUAAAUGAACAUUUUUCUUCUGAAGCUUUUCAGGUAUGCAAGUAAUUUUAUUUGUUGCAACUCAAUGGUUUCUAGAUAGAUUUCCUUGUGGAGAUUUAUGCAACUCCCUUUUGUUUUAUAAUUUUUAUUUGUAUUAUUAAAAUUUAGCUAAUUAUUUUAUAAAUAUAGGUGAAAAUCCAAAGGAAUGUAGCGAACCGAGCUAAGUUGACGAUGCUUCAUCACAUGGGUAGCAAGCCUAUUCAAGAUUUUAUUUUUGAAAAGAUAUUAUCACAUAUUUAUUUUCCUAAAAAAAUAUUUAUGAGGUGUUAUUUGACAUGUUUGUCUUUGAUGUAAAAGAGAGCAGGAAAGAUGGCAAUCCACCAGAUGUGGGAACUAUUUUCUAUGAGAGUCGAAAGAAAUAUAACAAGCUCGUUGAACCUGAAGCAAUUCAAAAACAUGUGCGUUUGGUAAAAUUAAUAAGUAUAUUAGUUACCUGAAAUUUUAUGGAAUAAUGAUAGAACAUAUUUAUUUCUAUAUUUUGCAGGCUCAAAAGUGUUUUGGACCUCAAAAUCAUAGCCAUGUUGUUGCAUUUGGGGGUGGAGUAAUGUAACGCCCCAAAUCUGGUACCCGAAAUGUUACACGGUGCUCAUGACCCCGAAGGACCACAAGCUAACCCAUGACUGAUAUCUGUACCUAUAUACUGCAUAAUGUACUGUAUAAAAGUGGAAACGUGAACUGAAAGACCAUAAGGUUCACAUAAUUGAACUAAAACAUAACAUCUGGUGGGGUCUAAAACACCCAAAACAAAACUAAAAUAACUAUCUAAAAGAUAAUAGUCAGGAAAGCCUCUAAAAUAUGGCUGUCUGAAUAAGGAGUUGAUGGGACAUGUCCCCAACUAACUCCAACCAAUAAACUAAUUAAUGAGAUAAUAAAGAAAUAAUCAUGUCCUCAAAGGAUGAGGACUCACUGCUAGCUCUGACUGCGGAUAUCUGAAAUUUACUGAUGCUCGAGAGCUCGUGUCUCUGAACCUAUGGUAUAGAAACACCAUAGCGCGAAUGCGUCAGUACGACUGAAUAUACUGGUAUGCAUGUGCGUUAGGCUAAAUGUAAGGGAUUCAUAUGCAUGAACAAUAAGAACGGACUAACUAUCAUGAGCGUGAGAAUACACACAUGAGACAUAAUAACUAACACUGAUACCAUGAUAACAUGAUUACUGAAUUUGAAUACUGAUAACAUGACAUAGUGAUAACUAAUAUAACUGAUAACAUGAGUGACUGUAUUUGACAGUCCUAAAUCUGAUGGAACUAACCGAAUUUUGUGUUGUAUCUAAGUUGAUUGUAUCUGACAGUCCUGAAAUCUGAAGAACUAUAUAAGUUCUUUUACUGAUACUGAUACUGAAACUGUGGGAGGUAGUUAUUUAAUCGACAUGCCCCUAAUAUGCCAUUAUGUUUGAGUUGGGGUCUAAUUUGUAACCCUAAUUGGAAGGGUGUCAAUAUCACGCCACUGGUAAGGACAAGCUGUGGGUGACCCUUAUCUGAUAGUGUCCCCAAGAGAGAAUGGUGGGGCUCUUAUCUGAUAGUGCUUGUCCACCCCAUCAACCCUCAUCAGAUAGUAUUGAUGUCUCAGCUUAUGCUGGCUACAUAGUUCUGAAACACAAGGAUGACUUCUAAGGAUCACACCCUUAUCUGACAGUGUGUGUCCCCAUCCUUGGGUUCACUCAGUGCUAAUUCCUACUCCCAUCUGAUUAGACUCUGAACAUGAUUAGUUGAACUGUACGUGGACUGAGUUACUACAUUUCGUUGACUGAUGGAAUACUAUUGAUAUCUGAUAACUGACUGAGUUCAUAAGAACAUGGAGAUUUUCUGAGUCAUAAGACUGUCUGAAGUCUAAGGAUUCAUAGCUUGACUGAGAGUAUUGUGAAAACAUGACAUGGAUCUAGGCACACAACUAAUGUUUCGGGUACAAGUACCCCCAGGACUCAAUGGAAGGAAACUGACAAACAUGACUUACUUGAACACAUGACUAAUAGCAUAAUCCAUAAUUCAUUCACUGAAGCAUUUCAUCAAACAUGUGAUAGGCAUAAAUUUGUAGAUACAUGCGGAUUUCAUGAUAUCAUGCUAGUUGGGCAUUUUCCUUCAUAUAUCCAUUUAAUCAAACACAUUGUAGGCAUAGAAUAUGUAGAUAACAUUAUACAACAAUUAAACAUCAUGGUUCAAUUCUAAUUUCAUCAUUCAAGGGUUUAAUCAUAGGUUGUCAUGAAUCCAUAUAGAGUUUAUUACCUAAUCAUGGAAUAGGAUCCAAUUAUACAUUAUCAAAAUGAAAAAGCUGCCCAAUCAUGAAAUUCAUAAAAAAGAUCCAUAACUUGAAUUUAGAAAAGAGAUUCUUGAACUUCAUGGACGAAAGGGGUCUAUGAAUAAACACUAUGCAUACCUUAGUGAUUAAUUCUUGAAAAAGAAUUGACCUUUCUUGAAUGUUCUUGGAUUGGGAAUCUUAAUUCUUGAAUAUCUUGUGGAAAGUGUGAUGGGGUCUUGAAGUUAAUUGAGAAGAAAUCCUAAGUUUGUUCUUGGGAACAAAGAGGGAGCUUUUAAAACUAAAUACCAAUAGCUAAUUACAUAUUUUUGGUGUUUUAUGUCGUGGGGGGUGAGGUUUAGGGUGAGGGAAAAAGACCAAAAUACCCCUACAAAAUCACUUCUCAGUUACUGAAAUUAUCAGCUGACGAUCAAGACUGAUAAGCCGUCAGAUCUGUGAUAGCCCGUCAGCCCAUGUCAUCACCUGGGAGCUGGUCUAUCUAAGCUUGAAAACAUGGGCUGAUAAGCCGUCAGGUCUGUGAUGGCCCGUCAAACAUGUCAUCACUUGGGAGCUGAAAUCGGUGGGUUUCUGCCUAAGUUUGACGACAUGGAUGAUAAGUUAUCAGAUCUGUGACGGUCCGUCAGAUAUAUCAUCACCUGGGAGAUAAAUUGAUGGGUUUUGCCUAAGUCUGACGACGUGUCUGAUAAGUCAUCAGAUAUGUGACGGCCCAUCAGAUAUGUCAUCACUCAGUUGCCAGGCUGACAUGCUGGAGUAAAAUGAGUAUAACUUUUUGGUCCGAUAUCGGGUUUGGGCGAAAUUGGUAUCGAUAGAAAGCUCACUCGAUUUUCCACGUGAAAAAGUGAAAAUAUUAAAAAUACCACAUGUACAAAAGUGGAUUCAUAGUUCAAAUAAAUUUCUAUAAUUCUCGAGAUGAUUUCGAGCUAGGAAAAAAGGAAGGGUAUUACAAUAUCUCCCCCUUGAGAACAUUCGUCCUAGAAUAAGACUGAGAAUGGGGGGAAGGACAUAAACUGACAUACAUACUGAACAUGAGUAACUAAAAUAUGAUCUCAUAACUGACAUGACUGAUAACUGAACAUAUCAUACUGAACAUGCAUAUCUGAUGCAUGUGUAAUUGAUUCAUGAAUGCAUGACUGAAUGUUCUGAGGAACUAAGUUUCUCACAAUGAGAAUGCAUGGCUUAUGCAUAAUUAUAUAUAACUAAACUGAUACAUGAAUGCAUGACUGAAAUACAAUGGUACUUGAUACCAAGUUGUGACAAACACCGAACAUGAAACUGAGUAAGCUUAAGGAGAACUGUUACCUUGAGCUUGAUCCGACUAUCAUCUCCUUUAUGAUCCGACUAUCAUCUCCUUUAUGCAGUUGUGCGACCUAUGAAUAAGAUUGCACUAAAUACUUUAUAAUGAGUAAUAUAAUAUUAAAAUAUUAAAUUUGAUGGUUAUGUAUUACUUACCCUAUCUUUUAACCAUUUAACUAAUUGUCGAUUCCAUUCAGCAUCAGACAAGUGUCUAAUAGUAUCCUUUUAAGUUUGUGCAAUUUCUCUACAAAAUUAAAGUGAAUCAUAAAUCUCAUAUAGAAAGAAAAUUACCCUAAAGGAAAUAAUAAAAAUGAGACUACAUGUGUUCUUCCCAUACUUGAGAUACGGUAAGAAUUCAUCACAAUUAUUCAAUAUGUAUAUAUGUGCUUGUUCCGAUUCAUCGGUCGAAAUCUCACAUGGAUUUUUAGCUCCCAAAGUUUUUUCAGGUUGAUAAAAUAUAUAUAAACCUCCAUCAUAUUAUUUUACACCCCCAUCAUAAUUUCUUUCAGGCCGAUUGAAUUUUGUAUCAAUUUUAUGCAAGUACCCUGAAUACAAGGUCAUACACUCAUUUGCAAUAUAGCCCUCUGCAAUAGAACCUUCAGGGCAUGCCCUAUUACCAAUGAGAGAUUUCAAAAAAUACAACCAUCGUUCCACAAGAUACAUCCACCUAUAAUUAAUAGGCCCAGCAAUCUUAGCUUCUGUAGCUAAAUGAAUAGGCAAGUGCACCAUGACAUCAAAAAAUAAAGGAGGAAAGACCUUUUCUAACUUGCAAAGUGUUAUGGGAAUUUUCACUUUGAUAUGUUCCAAAUCAUCAGUUCUCAACUCCUUGGAUCCAAGCACACUAAAAAUAUAAGAUAAAUCAAUAAUUGAUUCACACACUUCUUUAGACAACAUACCACGAAGUGCAGGAGGGAGUAGAUGUUGUAGAAGAACAUGACAAUCAUGACUUUUCAACCCAGAUAUCUUGUAAUCUUUUAAGUUUACACACUGAGAAAUAUUAGAUGAAAAACCAUCAGGAAAUUUUAGAUUCUUUAAGAAAAAACAAAAAUUGUGCUUAUCUUCAGGAGGCAAUGUGUAGCAUGCAGUUGGAACUUCAACUUUCUCCCCUUUUUGGAUGAGGUGCAAUUCUGGCCUAAUAUUCAUCUCUUGCAAGUCUAAUCGAGUAUUUAUUGUAUCCUUGGUCUUUCCUUUGACAUUCAUAAAUGUCCCCAUAAAAGCCUCACUUUUUUUUUUCAAUAUGCAUAACAUCCAAAUUAUGUCACAAUAAGAGAUACUCCCAAUAUGAAAGUUUAAAAAGAUACUUUUCUUGUUCCAGUUAUCUUUUCAAACUUUAUGUGACAUAUUCUUCCUUUUUUUUUAGAUCUCUUGAUAAUUGUUGUCCUUCAAGAUCUUGUACUUGAUUAAGUAUCUCUAUACCAGAACAAUUUUUUGGGGGUGGCCUUUUAUUUACUGUACCAUCAAAGGACUGCUUCUCAUAUCUCCAUUUGUGACUAAGAGGAAGGUAACGCCGAUGACCCAUAAAACACUGCUUCUUAAUGUUCUUAAUACUCACAUAAACUGUUUUCUACUCACAUAAACUGUUUUAUAGGUUUAAUUGUGAAUGAUGCUUUUCAAAUAGCAGCGAUAGUUGAGAAGCUACCAGCUUUGUGGAAAGACUUCAAAAAUUACUUAAAUCAUAAAUGCAAGAAGAUGACUGUUGAAAAUCUUAUUGUCUGACUUCGUAUUGAAGAGGAUAAUAAAGCUGCCAAAAGAAGGUCAAAGGGGAAUUCUACAAUUAAUGGAGCACAUAUUGUAGAAGAUGACUAAAACAAUUCUAAGAAAAUGAAAAAAGCUGAACAAGGAAGCAAUCAACCCAAGAAAAAGUUCAAGGGAAAAUGAUUCAACUAUGGCAAGAUUGGCCACAAGUCCAUAGAUUGUCAUGCCCCAAAGAAAGGAAAGAAGAAGGAUCAAGAAAAUAUGAUUGAAUCCAACAAAGAAUGUGAUGAUCUGUGUGCUAUGUUCUCAGAAUGCAACUUGACGGGGAAUCCUCGCGAAUGGUGGAUUGAUUUUGGGGCCACCCUCCAUGUAUGUGCCAAGAAGGAUUUGUUUUCGUUAUUCGCUCUGGCUCAAGUAGAAGAAACAAUCUACAUGGCUAACUCCGCUACGGCUAAGGUAUAAGGAAUAGGAAAAAUUUGCUUAAAGAUAACUUCCGGAAAGGUCUUGACAAUAAACAAUGUCUUGUAUGUUCCGGAGUUAAGUUGGACUUUAAUUUGUGUUUCACCUCUAGAUAAGAAUGGAUUCAAAUGUAUAACCGUUUCUGGAAAAAUUAUAAUUAGCAAAGGAGAGAUGUAUGUAGGAAAAGGCUAGCUGACUGAAGGACUUUAAUGUAAUGACUGUUGAAAUAAAUAAAAGUUCGAAUUCUUCUUAUUUUCUUGAAUCUUAUGAUUUAUGGCAUGAACAUUUAGGUCAUGUUAAUUACAAAACGUUAUGAAAACUGAUUAACUUAGAAGUUUUUCCAAACUUUGAGUGCAAUAAAUCAAAGUGUCAAACGUGUGUGGAAUCGAAGUAUGCAAAGCAUCCUUAUAAGUCCGUUGAAAGGAAUUCCAAUCCCUUAGACUUAAUGCACACUGACAUUUGUGAUAUGAAGUCAACACCAUCACGUGGUGGGAAAAAGUACUUCAUAACUUUUAUUGACGAUUGCACUAGAUAUUGUUAUGUCUACUUGCUAAAUAGUACGGAUAAAGCAAUAGAUGGAUUUAGGCAAUAUAAAACUGAAGUUGAAAAUCAGUUAGACAAAAAGAUCAAAAUGAUAAGAAGUGAUAGGGGCGGAGAAUAUGAAUCUCCCUUUGCAUAAAUAUGUGUAGAGAAUGGAAUAAUCCAUCAAACUAUGACCCCAUAUUCACCUCAAUCUAAUAGAAUUGUGGAAAUAAAAAACCAAACUUUGAAGAAAAUGAUGAAUGCCUUACUUAUAAGUUCUAGUUUACCGCAAAACUUGUGGAGGGAGGCUAUCCUUACGGCCAACCAUAUACUCAAUAAAGUUUUCCAUAGUAAGACAAUCAAUUCCUUAUGAAAAGUGGAAAGGAAGAAAACCCAACUUAAAAUAUUUCAAAGUGUGGGGGUGUCUAGCAAAGGUCCAAGUUCCUGUGCCUAAAAGGGUUAAGAUAGGACCUAAGAUGGUGGACUGUGUGUUUAUUGGAUAUGCUAAAAGUAGUAAAGCAUGUCGGUUUUUGGUUCAUAAAUCUGAACAUCUGGAUAUAAAUGAAAAUACGAUAAUUGAAUCAGAUAAUGCUGAAUUCUUUGAAAACAUUUACCCAUAUAAAAUUAGACAUGAACAGUCUAGUAGAGGAUCUAAACGACCUCGUGAUGAACCAAUUGAGAAUGAACAUAAUGAAGAAAAUCCAAGACGUAGUACACGUCAAAGAACGUCUACUUCGUUUGGAUUGGAUUUUGUGACAUUUCUUUUGGAAAAUGAGCCUCAAACAUUUAAGGAAGCGAUGGCAUCUUCAGAUUUAUCCUUUUGGAAAGAGGCAAUCAAUAGUGAUAUAUAUUCAAUCUUAAGCAACCAUACAUGGGAAUUGGUUGACCUUCCUUCCAAAAAUAAACCUUUAAGUUCUGAAUGGAUCUUCAAAAGAAAGAUGAAAGCAGAUGGUACUAUUGACAAAUACAAGGCAAGACUUGUAGUAAAAGGCUUCAAACAAAAAGAAGGACUUGAUUACUUUGAUACAUACUCUCCAGUAACAAAGAUAACGUCACUUCGAAUGUUAAUUGCCUUGGCUGCGGUAUAUGGUCUUGAAAUCCAUCAAAUGGAUAUGAAAAUCGCUUUCCUAAAUGGAGAAUUGGAGGAAGAAAUUUACAUGGAACAACCUGAGGGUUUUAUGGUUCCAGGGAAGGAGAAUAAGGUGUGUAGACUUAUUAAUUCAUUGUAUGGACUAAAGCAAGCACCUAAACAAUGGCAUGCCAAGUUUGAACAAACCAUGUUGGCAAAUGGAUUCAAAAUAAAUGAAUGUGAUAAAUGCGUUUAUAUUAAAGACACUCCAAAUCACCAAGUCAUUGUAUGUUUAUAUGUGGAUGAUAUGUUGAUCAUCAGUAGAGACAUUUCUGACAUAAAUGUAACAAAACGAAUGCUCGAGAGCAAGUUUGAUAUGAAAGACCUUGGAGUUACAGAUGUGAUCUUAGGUAUAAGAAUCCAUCGAACUCUAUAAGGGUUGGCAUUGUCACAGUCUCAUUAUAUCGAAAAGGUACUUGACAAGUUCAAGUAUAUGAAAUUCGGUAUUGCCAAGACUCCAUCGGAUGCGAGCUUUGCUCUUCGAAAGAAUGAAGGUGAAAGUGACUCGCAAUUGGAGUACGCAAGAGUAUUGGGAUGUUUAAUNNNNNNNNNNNNNNNNNNNNNNNNNNNNNNNNNNNNNNNNNNNNNNNNNNNNNNNNNNNNNNNNNNNNNNNNNNNNNNNNNNNNNNNNNNNNNNNNNNNNNNNNNNNNNNNNNNNNNNNNNNNNNNNNNNNNNNNNNNNNNNNNNNNNNNNNNNNNNNNNNNNNNNNNNNNNNNNNNNNNNNNNNNNNNNNNNNNNNNNNNNNNNNNNNNNNNNNNNNNNNNNNNNNNNNNNNNNNNNNNNNNNNNNNNNNNNNNNNNNGUAUCUUAAAUACACUUAAGACUAUGCCUUGCAUUAUAAUAAAUAUCCUGCGGUACUUGAAGGAUAUAGUGAUGCAAAUUGGAUCACCGGAUCGAACGACGUAAAAUUCACAAGUGGAUAUGUAUUUACUAUCAGUGGAGGAGCAAUUUCUUGAAAAUCAUCCAAAUAGACUUGUAUCGCUCGCUCUAUAAUGGAAUCUGAAUUUAUCGCAUUAGAUAAAGCCGAUGAAGAAGCAGAAUGGCUCCAAAAUUACUUAGAAGAUAUUCUGUAUUGGCCCAAGCCAGUGGCACUAGUAUAUAUACACUGUGAUAGCCAAGCGGCAAUAGGUAGGGCAGGGAGCAUGAUGUAUAACGGUAAAUCUCAUCAUAUAAGAUGAAGACAAAAUACCGUUAGAGAACUUCUCUCUAGUGGAAUUAUCAUUGUAGACUAUGUAAAGUCAAAGGAUAAUGUGUCAGAUCCACUUACAAAAGGUCUAUCUAGAGAAGGAGUAGAAAGGACAUCCAAGGGAAUAGGUUUAAGGCCUAGGACAAGUCAGCACGGCGGUAACUCUACGUAGCAGACUGGAGAUCCCAAGAGCUAGGUUCAAGGAGAUCAAACAAAGUUGUGUCUGGAAGGUUCAACAUUGUCAAUUACCCAACCCAUUCUCAUGAUGUAGACGAUGUAUAGUAAAAACAAGGAUAAGACUUAAGGUUAAAAGUCUUUUAAUGAUUAUCUAAAUUUGGCAGAUUUGACCAAACAGUUUUAAUCUACAGGAUUGAACGUUUAGAAAUCACCUAUGUGAGGGCGAAGUGGAAGCCACUUCGAAGAGAAUGUUAGUAAAGGCCUAUUCUUUAAGCUCUCAUAAAACCGGAACGUGUUCAUGGCUGAAAAGAAUAAAACCAUGAGAACCAUAAAAGUUAAAAGGCUGGUUGUGUGACAUGUAUUGUCUAGGUGUACAUUAAAGCUCGACGGUUUAAAGAUAUCAAAUCUACCCGAGUGCAUCCGAUGCAUGUUCACUACGGAAAGUUCAAAGGGAAAUCCACUUAUCCAGAUGCAAUCAGUUUUUGCUUGAUGAUCACAUACUUGUUCGUAAAACUUUUACAAAAAAUAGUCAUUCUCCACUCAUGUGGGGGAUUGUUGGGUUCAUAGUAAAUGAGAAGUGUGAAUGGAAGAUGGAGAAAAACCAAAUGAAAGAGAAAAAUUGAGAUCACACCAAUAUGAAAAGUGUACUCAAAAAAUAGGAAAGCUUACUAAAUUCUCCCACAUUGGUGGGAGAAAGAAGCUUUAAAGUGUUUAUAUUGUGAAAUACACUCCCACAUGAAUAAGUGAGACAAAGAAUAAGAGAUACCUCGCGUCGUCGUCGUCGUCGCUCGCUCGGCUCGGCUUCAGAUUUAGAUUUGGCAAAUGAUCGAUGAGAUCUAUCUUUUUGGACAAACUUUAUUUGAAUUCCAAAGAAUGCCAAGGAAAAAUGCAGUAAAUUUUUACUGCAGAGUUUCGGACCUCCAUUUAUAUAUACAUGCAGUAACAGUUGCAUUGUUUCAAGUGAACUGAUGCAUUGUUUUCGAACUGGUGCUUCAGAAAUGAUACAUUAUUCUGAACUGAGGCUAUAGAAGGUUGCAAUAUUUCGAAAUGAUGCUUCAGAAGGAUGUAAUCCUUCAAUGAAGUGACACACUGAUUCAUGAAAUGAGAUGACUGUUCAGGAAAAGAUGCAAUCUUUGAUGAACAGACAUGAACUUACAGCAAAGGUGUAACCUUUGGAGUGAACCAUUGCCUCUUUUCAGAAGAGGCAUGUUAUGACUAUAUAAACCUGCUUUAAUCCACAGGUUUUGAUACGAAAAUUUCAAAAUACAAAAUUACUUCUUCUCUUCCAAAUUACUCAGUGUGAUCAAUCAAAACGUUCUGUGCGUUCAAAGAUAUUCCAACCGUUUGAGGUACUGCUACAGUUGGUCUGUUUAGCCAUUUUAUCCUGGUAGGAAAAAUUCCACUACCUCGGAUACAGUGAGGGGAAUUAUUUACUUAAGGAAACUCCGUCAAUUCGGACGACUUGGCUAUUUUCUGUUUCAUCUUAAUUUCUGAAAAAAUAAAAUAUAACUCUUGGAAAGGUCAUUUUGAUCUUGUGUUAAGGGUAUUUGAUAUACUUCAUUGUGUUCUUAUUUAUACUUGAAUUCUAGUUGAAGUUAUUGUCCUGCAUAUACUGAUUCUGUGUACCCGAAGUACAAACGAGAAAUAACAACCAGUUAACUGAACUGAACUACUUAGAUUUUCGGAAGAUAUCAUUUAUACUAUUGACGUGAAUUACAAAUGAAUCACAGCCAAACUUUAAAGUAAAUUAAGUAGCCCAUGACGAGUGCUAUUUGCUGCUGUUUAAAUAUAUCAGUCAUUAGCAAACAGUCCCUACUUACAAAAUGAUGAGGCGUACCCUGAUAAUUUUGGUAUAAAUGCUUGAGCAUACUUUAUUUAAGAUUAAAAGAUUUAAAGAAUACUUUGAUAUAUUAUACGUAUUUUUAAUUAAAAUCAAGAAACUAAAAAUUUUCUCUCAUUUUCAUAAAAAUCGUGCCUAUUCAAAUUAUAAAACUAAGACAGUAUUUAAAAGAGAGUAGUACAUAAUAUGAUGAAUUUUUACUUCAUAAAUGUACGUAAAACUUAAAAUUGCAAGUUUUUUUUGUAUUUCUUAGUUCAUAAUUAUAAACUUACAACUGAAAGUUUAUUCAUAUAACAUUUUUUUUAAGAAAAAAAAAAAAUCUUUCCCCUUAUGUCUGCUUUAGUAUCUUUUGGCUUGAUAUCUAAUUGCAUGAUAUGUCAUGUGUAUUUUAUCUUCUCAAGAUUUUUAACUUAAAAGUUUAUUGGUUCAAACAUGGAGUUUGUAGAUAUAGCAUUAAACUAGUGCAUUUGUACCAGUCUAUUAUUGCAGUAAAUCGGUUGCGAAGACUAAAACUGACAUGAAAUUAUAUUGGGUUAUCUGUCAAAAAAUUCAUGAAAGCUUCAUUGGUGGGAGAGUUUAGUAGACUUUCCUCAUUUGAGUACAGUUUCCAUUUUAGUGUGGACUCACUUUUCCUCCACUAUUUUUUCCCUCCAUUUUUCAUUCACACACAUUUACUUUGAACCCAACAUACUAUUGACGUGAAUUACAAAUGAAUCACAGCCUAACUUUAAAGUAAAUUAAGUUGCUGAUGACGAGUGCUAUUUACUGCUGUUUAAUUCUAUCAGUCAUUAGCAAACAAUCCCUACUUAUAAAAUGAUGAGACGUACCCUGAUGAUUUUGCUAUAAAUACUUGAGCAUAAGACCACAUCUAACAAAUCAUUUCAUCCUCAUCUACCUUACUAUAACAAAAUGAUGAGAACUAGAGAGACAGCAAUUAGUCUUUUGAUUCUUGCUUUGUUCCUCCUUAAUGUCUCUGCCUAUUUAUCUCUUCCCUUUCAUCUUCCAACCAAUAAUGAAACCUUUGGCCUUGAAUCAUACCCACAAGGACGAUGUGGAAGACAAGCUGGUGGUACAAAAUGUCCUACUGGAGCAUGUUGUAGUAUAUCUGGUUGGUGUGGAACCACAUCAGACUAUUGUACUCCUAGAAAGUGUCAAAGUCAAUGUGUUUUUCCACCCCCACCAUCAUAUCCAGAAGGACGAUGCGGAGAACAAACUUCUUUUAAAAGAUCAUGUCCUUCUGGACAGUGUUGCAGUAUAGCUGGUUGGUGUGGAAGCACAGGAGCCUAUUGUAAUCCUGGUUGGUGUCAAAGUCAGUGCAAAACUAUAACCUCGCCCACCAAGAAUCGCAUGAGAGGCAUUGAAAGCUUCCUGCUCAAUGCUCUCUAGAUGCUUGCUACCUUCUAUAUUCCCUAGAGGAUGUACUUUUACUCCUCUUUUGGGACUGGUUUAUGUGUUUGAUUAUUAACGUGUGUAUUAUUAAUGCAUAUUCCUCAGAACUCACUUGUGAGAUUUUACUGGGUAUGUUUUUACUAUAAUUAUAAUGCAUAUCUAAUGCAUUACUUAUCAAUAAAACAAAUAAAGGACUUUUGUGUAAAUUAAAAAUAGCAAAUGAAGGUCUGUUGUAUGAGUUCUUUUCCCUCAUUUUUCAUCUAUAUUUAUUCAUCAUAUAUAUAGUUGGAAAAGGAUGAUAGAAGAAAAUCUCAACUGAUUUACAUAAUACAUUAAAGAAGAUACUUUUCUUUUUCAUCAAACAUAUCAUCACUCCGGGCCAGUAUCCCACUGUUUAAUUAAAUUGGACCUUCUACAUUUUCAUCGAGAAUCAAACUUUUGUAUUACAAUGGGAACAACAACAAUAAUUAACUUCAUCUUCCUCUCUUCCUCUUCGGCUCUUCAUGUUCAUCACCAACACUAUGAAUUUCUAUCAAAAUACUUGACAUUUCAUCCUAUUACUGCAUGUUUGUCUGUUUCUUUAUAGAAAAUAUUAGCAGCCAUCGUAAUAAAACUCAAAAAAUUAUCAUCAUUCGGAAGAUUCCCAGAGACUAUGACUACGAAAUUUGAUCCAAAUUGUAAUUUAUAUGUUAUGUUUAGCAAAUCAGAAAAAAACUUUCUACCUUCACGAGAUUGGGAUAAGGCUGCAUAUAUAUUAUCUUCUCUAGACUCCACUUAUAGAAUUACACUGGAUAUAUUAUUUUUAUUGUAAAUAAGGGAGGAAUUUGUAUGUUUAGUAAUAUAGGGUCUAAUUAUUUAGUGUUGGUGUUAUUAUGCAUUUUAAUAUUAAAAUCUUAAUUUGCAUGAUAACUUAUGGACAUAAAGUGGAGAAAGUGGUGUCAUUAUAUUGAUAACUCUUGUAACUUCUAACACUUUAUUUGUGCAUAAACAACCACAUUAUGUCUUGUAAUUCAUAUGACCAUUGGUUGUUGUAACUUCAUGGUCAUUAGUUCCAUGUAACAUAUGUAACAACAAGACUAUUUAUCUACCCACAUUACUCUAAUUGUUAAUGCAUGGUGGUAGAAUGUGGCCUUUAGUAAUUUGUAACUGCUCUCAUUAUUUUGCUGUAACUCUCAUGGCUAUUAGUGCCAUUAGUUUCUUGUAACUCUUGUAACUAAAGACUAUUGAUCUUUCCUCUUUAAAACCCUUCUUUGUUCUUCCUAUUCAAUACAAGGAUGAAUACCUCAUCUAUAAAUAGUGGAGGUAGUCUUGCAUGUUAUUGCAUGAACAAGGAAACAUGAUAAAUGUGAAAAAGAUUAUAGUGUGUAGAAGUGAAAGAGAGAGUUGAGACAAGAAAAAUAUUCUAAGUCUACAACUAUAUUCACUAUACAAAACAGAGUAAUUAUAUUAAAGAAAGAAAGAGUUGAGACAAAGACAAUAUUCUAAGUUUUUAACUAUAUUCACCAUACAAAGAGAGUAAAUAUAUGUUGAAGGAAGGUGUUCUUAUGGUGGAGCUUUGGACUCUUCAACUAAGUCGGGGUUGUUUGAGUUAUACAUCGUUGAUGGGGUAGCUGUUGUAUCCUGGAGGGGACAAGUCAUGAGAUAUACUGCUGGAUCAAUGUAGAUUAUGUCGCAGUGGGCUUGAAUCUCCUUAAAGAGAGCAAAAUAUCCGUGCCUCAUCGAAGAAGAAGAUUAUUUUAUUUUCUUCACUUUUACUCAUUUUAUUUUUUAACUGUAAUCAUUUACUGCAAUUUUUUGUAUAUUAAACCAACAUUUAGUUAUAGGAUGAUUUUCUGUUAAAAACAUUGAAAUUGACAUUUAAUCAAAAACAUCUAGCUAGAAUAACUAGUUUUCUAGUUUAUGCGAAAAUUUAAUCGAUUCCUCUCUUGAUGUUGGUUGAAAAUAGUUUUUGUAAAAAUAUAAUUUUCUUUAUUUCAAUCAAACACUAAAGAAGCAAAAGUGUAUUUGAUUGCUAUGAAAAAUCAAAAACCAACAACAAAAGAAAAAAGAUUUAAAAAAGUAAAUGCUCAGUCACUAGGAGGAAGGAGAAUGUUUAGCAUUUCCAAGAUCACAAGUUUUUUAUUUUUAAAAAAAGAUUAUAAAUUUUGUAUCCAAUUAAAUAAAUAGGAUCACAUUACAUGAAAUUAGUUAUGGAAUUUAUCGGAAAUAUCUAGCUAAUCCGUUGCUAGAAAACUACCUAGCUAAUUGAACAUUUUUAUAAUCAACCUCUAAUUUGUAGCUAAAUAGAACUAGCAUGAAAUAUUAUUUUCAGUUUAAGUUAUCUAUAUUGUAAAUGUGAUUUAUUUUAACAUUAUCUUUAGUUAUUUUUUUUAUUUAAUCAAAUAUCAACCAUUAUCUUUUAAUUAUGGCAUAUAUCUUUUAUCCACACAAAAACUUUGAGGAAAAUAGAGAGUAACCCUAAUAUGCAUGUCACAAUCAAUCAUGUUAAAAUAAAAGGACGAUUUCUAAUUGCUAUCAUUAGCAUUUGGCAGGCUGCUCUUAUUAACAUCCAUCCUUCGUUGCCUACUAGAUUCAAGUGGACCAUUAGUUGAUUGCUAGUUUUAUUAUAAAUGGCGAUGACACAACCGUACAUUCGUCUUAUUGCUAGCCUUAUUAUAUAUGAAAAUAACGGCCACGGAUUUCUUCACUUUCUGUGUCUUUUUCGUACAACUAUUUUUUUUGUUUUUGUUUCUUUGCUAUGAUGAGUAGUAAUUGAAAAAAAUGUAACAAAAAAACAAAGAAGAAAAAGAAGAAGGAGGAGGAGGUGGAGGAGGGAGAAAUAUAACUUGAUUUUAGACUUUUGUCUUUUUUUGCUUCACAAAUUCUUUGGGCAUAAUGAAUUACAUUUCAUGUUAGGCCAUAUGAUUUUUAUUCGUCUAUGCGCUAAUCCAAUCUCUUUUGAUUUCAUCUUUCAUCAUCUUAUAAAAUAUCUCACUUAUUCACUAAAUACUAAUGUAUAUUUGAUACAAUUUUCUAGAUAUCUCCCACAUUUUGAUGUACAUUUUCACUUUUCUUUACUAUCUAAUUUAUUAUUAAGGAAAUAAUGUACUGUGAUUGAGAGUUUCAAUUCAAUGAUAAGAUUAUAAUAGUCUCGUUCUUCAUACAGUGUAAAUUUACAAUAAAUGAAGUACACCAUAACAACAUGCAUGUAUUUUCUUUUCGGAAAAGACAUCAUUCCCACCCCAUACUAUACAAGAAAAGUUUAAGCCACACCUAAAUUGUAUAAGUGACCUAUUACACACCUUAACUAUAUAAAAGUGAUAUUAUUACCUCUCCGCGACCCCCAUUCUAAGGCGCGUGUGUUACACUUAUUUUAGGCGCGUCCAGCCUAUUAAAUAACAAAAGUAAACGGCUAAAAACAUUAAGGGAAAAGGCAUCGUUUCCACCCCAAACUAUAGUCGAAAAGUCGAAUCAACACCUAAACUAUAUAAGUGACCUAUUACACACCUUAACUAUAAACAAGUGAUACUUUUUACUGACGUGGCAGCGCGUGUAAAACACUACACCACAUGCAAGUGGUGGUAGCCUGACAGGGUGUAAAUAGUUUCACUUUUUUAUAGUUUAGGUGUGUAAUAGGUCACUAGUAUAGUUUAGAUGUGGCUUCGACUUUUCGGGUAUAGUUUGGGGUGGAAACGAUGCAUUUUCCCUUUUAUAUUCUGUAAACAUAACAAAUAAGAAUAAAAAUCUAGAAAAAAAAAAAACCAACGAUGUUGGUCACAUCAGCUUCCUCGUUCCAAGAAUUAUGGGAGUUUUAUAUAUUUUUUUAACCUUGUUGUUUUAUGUGGAGUCUACGAGGUACGAGGAUUAUGGUUUUGAUGAUCGACACUUGACCAGGUUCAUGUUAAUUGUGAAUCAAGUUCUUGAUUAUUGUUGGACUGGUCAAUUUAGUUAUGUGACAUGUAAUAAAUACUUGUUUAAAUAAAAAAUUCAUAAUUAAUGUAUUGAAAAGAAGCAGGAAUUCUAAGUCAUUUUUUAAAAAAAUUAUGGUAAGCCAGUGUAUUCUAGCAGUUUUUUUUAAUAAAAACUGAUUUGCACAAGGAAAAGUAAGUUGUUAAGGGAGGCAAACAACCAAUACAUACCCAACAAUGUAAUCAAUUUGGCAACGCCUUUUUGCACAUCCACAUAUCUAGGCAAUCACAAAAACAAGAAGGAGCAAGACAAAGAAAAUCAACAAGCUAAAGCAAGAACGAGCAAGACAGAGAAAAUCAACAAGCUGAAUAAUAUCAAGCUAUUAUCCGGUGGUAGUUUGGUGUCGAUUUUAGUUUUGCCUUAGAAGUUUUUUAUUGAAUUCUAAUAGCUUCAGUUCUGUGUUAGAACUUAGAAGUAAAGUGUUUGUGAGGCGUUGUAACAAGAAGCAAGUUUGACUUCUUAAGGCUCAUUUGUUUGCACUUAAUGGAGGUCUGAAUCUGAAUAGUUCAGACUUCAGACCAUUAAAUGCAUUUGUUUUUUUAUUAAGAUUUUAACUCUUAAUAGGUCUGAAUGGUCCUAAUCAUUCAGAUAUAGAAUCAAGUCUUAAUAGGUCUGAAGAGUUAUUCUGGUGUUGGAUAAUUUUCAACGUCACUCUAUUCAUAAUCAUCAGUCACCACCUCUGCCAUUGUCAUCAUUGUCAACUACCACCCACUACCACCAACCACCUUCACCAUCACAACUACCAUCGACAGCAAAUAUUGCUACCAACCACUAUUGUCAACCGCUACCACACCUACUACCUCUAUUAUUCUAAUUAUAUUUAACGCUACCACCAUCAUCAACAGCACUCCCAUCAUCAACCACUACCGGUCAAUCCCUACUAUCGACCAACUCAUUUAUCACAACUAGUACCACCGCUAACUACCACUAAUAUAUCACAACCUCCACACAUUCUUCGGCGGCCACCACUAUUGUCACUAGUAAUGUCACCUCUAUCAUCACUCCAAUCACUAUCAUCGCUAUACUUUAUCUCUACUAACAACCAUCUCUACCAUCACAACUAACAAUAUCUUCAACUAGAACCAACACAUUGUCAACCAUUAUUCAUUCAUUUUUCAGCCAUCAUAAUCAAAACUUUCAACUACUAACAUCAAGCAACGUCACAUCACAACUGUCACACCCCUUUUUCAACCAAAAAGUUUUUGAGUUUAAGGUUAAAAAGGGUUUUAUUAAACCAACGCGUCAAAAGAUGAAAAUUUGUUUCGAAAAAAGGUUAUUUUUACAUUCAAAUUCAGAGUCACCACUUGGCAUAAUCUGGUGUGCCAAGUCACCUUUGAAAAAUUCUUUUUAAAACGAUUUUUGACUCUUUCAAAACUGAUUUACGAACAGAGAUUCCGGCUAAGGAAUUCUGUUGACCAAGGGGAAGGUGUUAGGAACCCCUCGGUCCCGUGGUUCGACCACGGUCGCUUGGUGGAGAAUAUCAGAUAAUUUGACACUACGAAUGUAUAAACCACACAAAGCACGCAGAACAAUCAAUCAAGCAAACAAAACAAAAACAAUCCAAAAUUUAGUGCUCAGUCCAAUUAUACAGUUUCGAAAUAGAAAAAUGUAGAAAUAUAAACCUACACUAUUCUAGGCUAAUCUUAAACUAUGGUCCAUUGCUUUCUACACCCAACGUUCCGGGCCUUGAUCGUGCGUCGUCUUCAAGUACAUGAUACUUCGGGGCAUCCCUAGUGAAUAAAUACGAUUCCUUCGGAGCAUUCCCCGGUAAAUGAAUACAAUAUCAAUUUCAUGAGAUAAACUAGAAAACAUCUGACACAUUUAACAUUCCACGCAUUCAAUCCAACAUCAAUCCUAAGUUUUACCUACUCGAAUCUAUAUUUGCCUAUCCAUUUCAACAUAUCAUAAAUCUAUCACGUUCCGAUAAUAUUCAUGCUUAUUCCGGAUUAAAAAAAACAAUGAUCAACCAAAAUUGAUCUAUAUUUGCCCAUUUUCAUUAAUUUCUUAAUUCCACCCCACGAAUUCCAAUUCCUCAAUCACUCUAUCCACAUGAACCAAAUCAAUCAACAUCAACCACGGUAAUCAAAGUUACUUGAACCAAUAUCAAAUCACGUCACCACAUCACAACAACAGCCACAUCGACGUAAGAAAAGAGAUAAGGCUAAGGGAUGGACCUUUGAAAGAUUUGAUUCCGUUGAUAAUAAUGUUUAAGAAAAUCCGGACGUAGAAUUCCGAAUAGAACCUUAGCAGCGACGAACUCCAACUCUAUAUCAAGGUAUUUGAAACCCCAAAACUGACCUCAAUAGACUGAUCGACACGAAAGGAAAACUAGAUACCCAAACUAGGAACGAAAACUGAGAAACCCGAAACCCGACUUUGAAUAUGAAUCAACUAAGAUGAACCUGAAGCUCCGAAAGUCCCAUCGAACCUACAAACCUACAGAAAUCGAGUUCGAUGAGCUGACAAUGAGCAAAACUACUAAAACGAUCAGAUUCCAGCAAUAUCGCGUUUAGAAAUUAAAGGAAAAUAAAGGGAAUUUGGCGAUUAGGAGACUAAUUCGAACGACGAUCGGUUGAAACUGAUUUCGGCCCGAAGUCAUCGAAAAUUACGUGUCUACAACAACCACCACCAUCACUAUCAACCGUCACCAUCAUAACGGUCACUACAAUACCAACCAUCACAACUAUCACCACUAACAUCCAUUAUUGUCACCGCAACCACUAUUAUAAAGCAUAUCUGCUAUCACUAAAAAACAUAAAUAUUUUUUUAUUCAAUUAAAUAAUAAUUUUGUUGUAUUAAAUUACAUAUUUUUCUGAUAUCUAAUUAAUUUUUUAUUUGAAUUGUAUUUUUUAUUUUAUUAUAUAUAGAAAUAAUUUUUUUUGUACAUUCAGAUAUUGAAAAACAAACAAUCUUAAUCAUUCAGUUUUCAGAUCUAGAGACAAUAUCUUAAUCAUUCAGACGUGCAUUCAGAUUCAAACGUCAGAAUCUUAGAAAAAACAAAUGCAGCCUUAGAGUGGUUAAGUAGUGUACAGAACAGUUAGAGUUAAUUGUUGAGGUAAAGUACUAGAUUGAAUCCCUUAGACUGUAGAGUUGUAAUUUGAAAUGUUGAUGGUGUGAAGAUAGUGGAGAUUGGUGUUGAAAUCUCCUAGCAUAUUGUUCGUGUUUAGUUUGUUUUUACUAUUUACUACAUUUUUCUGAACCAGGUUUCUAAUACAUGUGGUGGAGUUAGCUGUUUUAUCAUUUUAAGCCUUCAGUUUCAAUUUUUUUGUCUAAAUUUGACUCAAGCUUAUGAAAUUAAAGAAGAUGGUUGAAUCUUGUAAUCUUAGACUAAAGAUACGUUGAACGUAUGAUAAUGAACUUUAAUUUUAUGAUCUUAAGCAUGUCACGAGAAAAGUUAAAAUUAAAGAGUUGCCAAAAAAGAAAAGAGACAUUCUUUUUUAAACAAAUUACGAAGAAAAACAAGAGAAACAAAUUGACAAGUAGGAACAAUAUAUUAAGUUUAAACAAUUCUGUUCCUUUUACUUGAGCUUACUCGUACCACUUCGUAAAGAGGGAUUUUUUUUUUUUUGGGCAAAUUUGGGACCACUCGGAUAUUAUCCGAAGUGAAAGAACCUCAAAAAACAAUAAGUACAAGUAAGAGGGGUCAAAUCUUACCAUAAAAAUCUUAAUGAAAUCAAAUCCUCUACUAAUACUAUCAAGCUAUGUAAGAAAUAAGAAUUUGAAAGAACCAAAUAUUUAAUGAUCAUUACAAGUAUUUAUAACACACUUUAUAAUAAUAUUACAAAUAAAGAUAUUAACAGGAGAGAUAAACGUAGUUAUUGGAGUGUAAAUUUUGUGUUUAACUAAUGUGUGAGUGUAGACACAUAAUUUUGUCCCCCUCAAAAGUUCGUUUUUAUUCAUUUCUACCUUAUCAUAUCAUGUACUCUCCCCACGUGAUUACACCCCACAAAUAAUACAAAAAAAAAAAAAAAUAACUCUCAACAAAAUCCCUAACAAACUUUUAUUCUUUUAACACCCUAACAACCCUCUCCAAUAAAAAAGUGACAAAUCACCACCUCACCACCCCAUACCCUACCCUUUACCCCUACCCCACGUCCUCCCCCCUCUUUUUUUCUUGUCCAAGAAGAAAGGACUCAAAAACCAAAAAUACAAUAUAUAUAUAUUAACCACUCGCAUUUAAGCAAAUAAUCUUAUUUCUUUUGAAUACUCUCCAAGAGUUUCAACGAUUUUCAAACCAUCAAUUUAUCCCUCAUAAGGAUAAUAAAUAAGUUUUCCAAAAACUUUAUAUGCUUCAGGCAUUUUGAAUCCUUUAGGGAUUUUCAUAUGGAUUUUUGUAAAGUGACAAUACCAAUAUGUGUGACAUCUUCAAGUGUCUGGACUGCAAAUCAAAUAAGUUUUAUGCUUACCAAGAUGCAUCCUUUCACGUCACUUGAUAAAUUUUUCUACGUCAACAUACUUAAAUUAACGUAGAAUUCAGAUCUUCAUAAUCUUUUUACAAUAUUGCGCCAAUAUUGUAUCAUAGAUAUCGUCGAUGAUUUCUUAUUUUGUAACGAUUCACAAUGCGACAUAACAUUUUGAGAUCUCAUCACUUCAUUAUUUUCAGGUACCUAAACCUCUCAUAAGGUUUCAUGAAGUGUUAUGUCGUAGGCUCUUCAAGAGCUUAUUGCCUUCUUAUUAUGAUUAUUUGCUCCUUAUUUUUCAAGGACUAUUUCAUUUAGAACCGAUUAGUCCACCACGCUUCACGCAUGCAUAGACUUUGUCCUUUAGGAACACAAAAUAAGAGCACUUGCGCUUAAUAUGAGAUGCUUUCGGCAUUUGACUUGAAUUAUCUUUUGGAUGAGGAUCUGGUGAUAAUUCCUAACAUAUUUCAUAGCGCUUAUAAUCUCCCCCUUAUGUUAGAAAAAGUAGCAUACAUCCUCUAUUUCUUUGAGGAAUCCAUCAUUGUGCAUUAUUGUAUAUUCAUUAAUCGUAUAUCGCACAUCAAAAUUAUUAGAUAGAAUAAUUGGUUCAUGACCUUGAACCAUAUAAGGGGAAGAAAUAAUCAUAAUUUAUUAAUCUAAUGCAUACAAGUGUUAUUGUAUGCAACAUGUCAUAUUUCAGAUCAACACAUGAAGCUUUGUUCUCAUUAGCGAUGGUUUAGCUAUUUAUCGAAGGCAUUCAAUGCCAAAUCAUCAUCAUCAAGAUAACUUUCGUGUUGCACAAUCUGAAAAUUAUGUUCUUAACUCAAUUUUGUUGAGCAAGCAACUUUAUGAAUGUCAAACUGCAGGUUGACAAUGAAAGUAUAUGUGAUCAUCUUAUUGAUGCAUCAUUUUAACAUAUCACAUGAUAGAUGAACGAGCCCUUAUUCACCUUUUAUUCAGAUUUGAAGGUCCAAUCCCAAUAUUAGUUGGUCCAACCAACUUAUCAUGAGAACAAAUUAAACGACAUAAACAAUCCUUGAAGAAUCUUGUAGUUCUUCAAUACAUGCAAAUUUUCGAGAUGUCACAACUUUUAUUCUAGUAAACUCCAAGUUUACCAUGACAUGUACUUUUUCUUUAGUAAAUUUCAGAUUUACUAUUACAUGAAUAAAUUUUAGAUUUACUACUUCAGAAGUAGAUUUCAAAAUUAUUCAACCUCUUUCGGAGGUGAGUUGUGAUACAAUCANNNNNNNNNNNNNNNNNNNNNNNNNNNNNNNNNNNNNNNNNNNNNNNNNNNNNNNNNNNNNNNNNNNNNNNNNNNNNNNNNNNNAUAACCUCUUUCAAGAUUUUGCUACUUCAGAAGCAAAUCGAGGCAUACAUAUGAUGUAGAGAAUUUUUCUCUAGCAUAUCUUAUAAUCAUAUAAGCGUGUGAAAAUAUCAUCACUUUUGAUGAUCAUUAUUAUAUUCGUGCAUUCAAUCACUUGUCUUUUUUCAGACAUAUUAUGCAUUGCUACCACAUACACUUCAUGGAAUGGAGCAUAUUCAAUGGGUCAAAUUUCAUGACUUUUCACCCAAUACCCAUUAUUUUUCCUUAGCCAUCACAAUAUCAUCAAUUUGGUGUAUCGAGAUUCAAACUCAAUAUUUUAUCCAUAUAAAGGCGUCUUAGGCAUAAAUCGAUGGGACUUGAACUCAAAUAUUAUCGUCCCUUUUGAUAAUAUUGUUCUUGAAGAAUGAAUUUUAAACAUAAAUGGUUUCAAACCAAUUAUUUUUCCUCAAAUCCAACAAUAAUUAUAUCAUUAAUAGAAAAAUACAAAUAACAUAAGGAAUUACUAACCUUGACCUUUAGAUUUAUAAUCUCACCUUAUUUGGCAGAAUCUCGUGUUGAUAAUGUGUUAUAAAAUAAUAAAGAAUAAAGAAGAAGAGUAGAGAGAAUAGAGAGAGUGAUUCUUAUUUCUUCUCUUGAGGGAUUCUUGAGGGGUCAUCAGAUUAUAAAUACAAUGAAUAAAACCUCUCUAUUUAUGGGAGAAAUUUACUCCUAGUCUAAGUAAAAGAAGAAUGCUUCAAAUCCUAAUAGAUAUCAACAUAGAUCUUGAUAGAUAUGUGUCUCACCCCCUUUUUUUAAACUCCAAAAAGAUUAUUUAAGGUUCGAAAGUGUUUUUAUUAUUAAAGUGAUAAAAGGAAGAUAGUUUGUUUCUAAAGGGACCUUUUACAUUCAAAACUCAGAGUCGCCACUUGGCAUAAUCUGGUGUGCCAAGUCACCAUUGGAAAGUCCUUUUCAAAACCAUUUGACUCUUUAAAUUAGUUUGUGAACAGAGAUUCCGGCUAAGGAAUUCUGUUGACCGAAGGGAAGGUGUUAGGCACCCCUCGAUCUCGUGGUUCGACCACGGUCGCUUGGUGAAGUAUAUCGGCUAAUUUGAACACUAUGAAUCAAUAAACCACACGAAACACAAAUAAAACGAUCAAUCAAACAAAUAGAUCCAAAACAAUGUCCAGUCCAAUUAUACAGUCCAAAAAUAGAAAAAAGAAUGCGAAAAUGUAAAUCCUAUUCUACCCUACACUAAUUUUAUACUACGCUCCCAUGCUACCCGAUGCCUCGGGCCUUCAUCAUGGACGUCCUCCAAAUACAAAAUACUUCGGGGCAUUCCUCGGCGAAUAAAUACAAGUGAUCGCGGGACAUUCUCCGAUUAAAUGAAUACAUUUCCAAAUGCAAGAACUAAAACCAAACUGUUCAACUCAAAUUUCACAUUCAAACAUUCAACAAGAAAACUUAUUCCUAAAUUUUUUGCCUACCCGAAACAACAUUCUCCUAUCUAUUUCAACAUAUCAUAAUUUUAUCACAUUCCAACAAUAUUCAUGCUCAUUACGAAUUAAACAAAACAACAAUAAACCAAAGCUAAUCUAAAUUCAACUUUUUUAUCAAUUUAUCAAUUCCAUCCCCCAAAUCCAUUUUCAACCACAUUACUAAACCAGUUCGACUAUCAAAUCUUUUCAAAAUUCAAAACCAACAACACAUACCCCAACGAAGAUUCAAACAUUUAAGCAUUCCAAUCAUUCAUAUCCGCAAUAACAAUUAACAUUUUUGCUCGAAAUAUUCAAAACCACACUACAAAAUCACGAUAUUAACCAACUUCGAUAUAAUAAAAAAGUAGAGUUGAGAAAUGGACCUUUGAAGAAUCGAUUUCGUUAAUAAUAAAAUCAAGAAAGCCCGGACUAUAGAAUUCCUAGUAGGACCUCAACAAUGACGAACUCCAACUCCGUAUUGAAAAAUUUAAGACCCAAAACGGAAGCUCCGUAAAUCUAAUCGAACUCAAAAACCAACACUGUUCACGUACUGUUCACAACACUGUUCACGGUACUAUUCAUAACACUGUUCACAGCACUGUUCAUGGCACUAUUCACGAUACUAUUUCUUUCUGAAUUUUUUUUCUCUCGCGCGAUUCUCUCUUCUCCCCCUCUGUUUUUUUAUUCUUCUUGUGAGGAAGAUGAUUUGGUGAUGUUGUUAUUGUGGAGAAGAUGAUGAUGAAAGAAUGAGCCUCCCUUUUCCCCUUUUAGAAUUUUCCUUUUAUAUAUUUUUUAUUUGGUUUUUCUUUUUCUUUAUUUAUUAUCAUAUGUGGAAGCAUAUAAUUGGUGGCUUGUGGGAAUAAGUGUGUGGCAUGUGGAAAAGUUAGUGUGGCAUGUGGAAAGAUGAGAGUGGUGUGUGGAAAAAUGAGUAGGGCGUGUACCUUUUGCAUGUAUACAAUGAAAAAUGAAAAGUGAGGUGUUGAGGUGGCAUAGUGAGGUGACAAAGAUGCUAUGUAUUUAAUUAUUUUCAAUUCUUUUUUUUUUGGAGAAAUUAUCAAUUAAAAAAAAGUAUGAUAAGGUGAAUAAUAUAAAAAUAAAAAAAUUAAAAUUAAAAUUAAAAUAAAUAAAAUAAAAUAAAAAUAAUUAAAAUAUUUUUGGGUUAGGACAAAAUUACGUGUCUACAUCAUGCCCCCUUUGAUGUAACACAUGGUGUUUUCAUACAAAGCAGUAGACAACGUGACAGAAUUUUGUCCUGACCUUUAUUCAAAAGCACGGAGCACGAGAAAGGAGGAAAACCAAGUUUUUACUUAGGAUAUCCUACCUACCCAAGUUAUGAGGGAAUCAACAGUUAUCUCAAAGGAUUGGAAGAAGCUGGACUAUGCCGAGUUGGAGAAUCGAGUGAGGUUCCAUCGAGGUUCCGGUCCGCGGCUCUGUUAUUACAUCAAAAAUAAAAAUUACAAGUUAAAAACAAAAAUAAAAUUACAAAAUCCUAUCUACGCAGCUUCUGUUGGACUCUUGACUUGAGUUUCAUCACUCUAUUCUUCAGGCGAGCUCCUGAUUUGAAAUUUCUUCAACUUGUUGCUUGGUUUUCAAUUUCAUCACCCUGUUCUCCAGACGGGCUCCUGGCUUGUUAUUUUCUAUCUGUUGACUUUCAUUUUCUUCAGUUUGUUACUUGACUUUCAACUUCUUCACCUUGUUACUUGACUUUCAAUUUCUUUACCUUGCUGGUUGACUUUCCAUUUAUUCUCCCUGUGCUUCGGGCGGGCUCCUGAAAUCACAUCAAAACUAGAAAAAAAAUUAUCCCAAACAAAUAUUAUUAUAAAGAGAUUUCAUAUGCCAGGAAAGUAAAGUUCUAACACAAGAAUUAAAUUUUGCCCCAGUUUGGACUUUUGCGAAAGUCAAAUCAUUAUAGGAAUCAAGGAGAAUGACUCGAUUAUAAGGUGCGUCUGAUAGGAAUCAAAGGAAUUGGCUCAACUAAAAGGUACGUAUUUGAGGGAUCAAGGAUAAUGACUCGACUAAAAGGUACGUCUUAUAGGAAUCAAGGGAGAUGCCUUGACUAAAAGGUACGUCUUACUAGCAAUCAAGGGAGAUGACUCAACUAAAAGGUACGUCUUAUAGGAAUCAAAGGGAAGGACGCGACUAAAAGGUACGUCUUCUAGGAGCCAAAGGAAAUGACUCGACUAAAAGGUACGUCUUAUAGGAAUCAAAAGGAAUGACUUGACUAAAAGGUACGUCUUAUAGGAAUCAAAUGAGAUGACUCGACUAAAAGGUACGUCUUAUAGCAAUCAAAAGAAAUAACUCGACUAAAAGGUAUUUCUUCUAGGGGUCAAAGAGAAUGACUCGACUAAAAGGUACGUCUUAUAGGAAUCAAAGGGAAUGAAUCGACUAAAAGGUACGUCUUCUAGGGGUCAAAGGGAAUGACUCGACUAAAAGGUACGUCUUAUAGGAAUCAAAGACAAUGACUCAACUGAAAGGUACGUCUUAUAGGAAAUAAAAAAGAUGACUCGACUAAAAGGUACGUCUUAUAGGAAUCAAAGGGAAUGAAUCGACUAAAAGGUAAGUCUUAUAGGAAUCAAAGGAGAUGACUUGACUAAAAAGUACGUCUUAUAGGAAUCAAAGGGAAUGACUUGACUAAAAGGUAGUGUUCUAGGGGUUAAAGGGAAUGACUCGACUAAAAGGUACGUCUUAUAGGAAUCAAAGGAAAUAACUCGACUAAAAGGUACGUCUUAUAGGAAUCAAAGAAGAUGACUUGACUAAAAGGUACGUCUUAUAGGAAUCAAAGGGAAUGACUCAAAUAAAAGGUACGUCUUAUAGGAACCAAAGGGAAUGACUCAACUAAAGGGUAUGUCUUAUAGGAAUCAAAGGAGAUGACUCAACUAAAAGGUACGUCUUAUAGGAAUCAAAGGAAAUGACUCGACUAAAAGGUAUGUCUUUUAGGGAUCAAAGGGAAUGACUCGAUGAAAAGGUACGUCUUAUAAGAAUCAAAGGGAAUGACUCGACUAAAAGGUACGUCUUUUAGGGAUCAAAGGGAAUGACUCGACUAAAAGGUACGUCUUCUAGAAAUGAAGGUUCAAUUUAAGAAGUGUAUCAUCCAGCAAAUGAAAACUGAAAUUCCUCGACAAGUAAGUGUGUCUCCGAGGGAUAUAAGAUGAUGAAUUUUUACCAUGAUUUAAUUAUCAAACCUGUGCAACAGCAUUGCUUCUCGCAUUUGUAAAAGUAAGAAAUUACGGGCCUUGAUGUUUAGGAUUUGAAAUCCUUGAUUUGAAGGUAACAUGUGUUCCUGUUUCAUGCAAAGAAAGGUUGUGAGAUCAAAAACAUAGUGACUGGUUUGUGGCUUUGGCUUUCGUGGAAAACGCUCUUGCCGUCAUCAUAUUUAAUCUUGCUUCCAACCAUUAGUCUGUGUCAUUGACUUGCUGCUUUAUUGACCAAACUCAGAUUAUUAAGAGUGACUGAGACAAACACAGCAUCUCUGCUUUGCCAUGCUUCUCAGGUAGACCACCUUGGAACCUUGGUAUUUCAUGAGUUCCCAGACUUAUUUGUUAACAAAACUUUCUGCUUGCCUCAUUUUGGCUCACAAUCAUGUCUCUUUCAUGCGUUGGCCUUUCUGCCUUACUUUGUACAAUUGAAGAAGCUGGUAGCCAGUUUUGAAAUUUUUUCUCACUUGUUUUGACAUAGACUUGACUCAAAUACAAGAGAAAAAUGACAAUAAUUUUGUUUGGAUAACUGACUCAAGAAAAAUAAAAAUAUAACUAUAGAAAAGAAAGAAAUGAUAAUGAAUGUCCCCAUUGAAAAAAAUGAAAAAAAACUUUAUCUGAAAAUGAUAGUCAACUCUAAUGAUUAUGACAUGCAUAUCGGAUUAAACUACCUGAUCUUUCCAUCCAAAACUCUCAUAAAUUGUUGUUGAGUUAAUGACCCUGAAAGUGGGUUGCUUUCUUGGGCCAAUUGCAUUCGGAGACCACAUUCGGCUAGUGACGCCUUGAAGGGUUUUCUUCAAUAAGCCUCUCUCAUUUUCUUUUAUCACCUGACCAUUGCCUUAUAGUAUCCGAGAGGGUUUUUUACCAAUAAGAUUCUUAUUUUCAUUUUUCUCAACUCAUAGUCGUCUUACAGUGCCCGUGAGGAUGAGCAUUGUGGAUAAAAAACCUUGUUGCAAGUGGUUAUGUGGAUUUCUUGGAUUUUGGGGAAAGAAACCUUAUUGUAAGUGGUUAUGUGGAUCUAAUAUGUAAGCUCGGGAUUGAGGCUGACAGUACUGGUGGGUUGGACCUCUCAAACUCUACUUUGGUCCUGGCAUGACAAUAGGUACAUUUUUCUUCUUCUUUUCUUCAGUUUCCCUUGUUUGAUUGCAAUGUCGUCCUAAAUGUUUCACAGAAUCCUUCUGUCCAUCAGGCUCCCCAAAUUUUGAUGUCUCAAAGCUAGGAGGAAGAUUAACACUUGAAGACAUGACCUUGUUUUUAUAUGAAACAUCUUCAUAGCCCAUAAGUUCAGGGGAAUUUUUCAUAUCAUUUUCUACACUCUUAACUUUCCUAACCAUUUUCUCUAGCUCUUCUAGCAUGCUAGGCUUCUUAGUAAAAAAUUUUGACGGUCCACUUAAUUUAACGGUAGGCUCAAGAGUAUAACAAUGAUCAUCAAGAGUAUUGAACGUGGAUUCAUGACUAGUGGACUGGAGAAACACAAUCGUUGGAUUGAUAGCCAAAGUGGAAGUCUUAGUAGAAGGUUGAGCAAUAAAAACACAGACAGUAUAUGAUGCUGUGAAUGUGGUAGACUUAUACUGAGGAGCUAAAGAAAGAGUGGUGGAAGUAUUGAGGUGCAUUUGACGUGGAAUGAAUUAUGAGGCAUGUUGUGGUAUAUCAACAACAGUAGGAAAUUGACUUUGCGAUUUUGGUGGAAGACUCAAGGUAUUUGCAGGGUCAAAAGUGGGGAACGGAGGUGGAGGCAGCCCACUGGCCCAAGCUCGGUAUAUUUCCAUCAUUUGUUGUCUCAGUCUCAAAUUCUCUUUCUUUAAACUCUCAAUUUCCUGACUCUUUGUUUUAUCCAUGGUGCCACUUUUUAUAUCCUUGUUGGACACAACUAAACCUUCCUUGAAUUUGGUGUGAUAUGGAGGACCAGUCAGGAAGUCACAAACCAACCACCAUAAACUAACUGAACAAGAGGCAACAAAUAUGUUAGAGUUCAACAUUUUUCAAAACCUCUUUUUUUUUUUAGAAAAGACCACCGAACCCAAGAAGGGCGCCUGCAUAUCUCACCCCCGAGAGAGGAGAAUCAGGUGUGCGUAGUUCGUGAAGUCUUGCUAAAAUGGCCAAUUAAACUCUUUGUUUUCUUUCUUUUUUUUGUUCUUUUUCUCGAAACUUUAAGAAGAAAAGAAAAUAACAAUUUGUCAAAAGAAUUGACGAAAAUGUUUUUGAAUUUUUCAGCUUUAACAUCCCUAUACAAAGUGAAAUCAAUGAUUACCAAAUAAUUUUUUUUGGGGGGGUUUCAGUUUUAAAUUUCAUAUGAAAAUGAAACCUGAACCUGUUAAAGGGAAAUCUUUUUGCAGUUUUCUUUUAUUGAUGCAUAUGACACCUACUCUAAAUGAUGAGUGAAAAAAAUAUUUUUAAAUUUUUUAAAUAAGAUCCCCGAACCAACAAUAGGUUGUCUACGUAUCUCACAUUCCGAAAGAGGAGAAUCAGGGGUGGCGUAGUUCGUCCAGAUGGGACAAUUAAAAAUUAAAUAACCGACUGAACCCUGACUUAAUAGAUGAGACUACAACGAUAAAAAUCUUUUUUGAGGUUUUCACUUUGACACUCCACAUAAAACUGACACCAACAACUAUGAAAGAAAAAUCUUUUUGAUAUUUUCAUGAAAUGUACAAAACUCCUACAAUUUUUACAUUUUUCUUUUAUAAAAAAUCCUAUGAAUGAAUUUUUUUUUUUUUAAAGUUUUUGAAUUAUGAAUACUUGCUUAAGGAAACAAAAGAAAAAUCUUUUUGAUGUUUUUGAUUUUGACAAAUGAAUGCAAAAGGUGAAAAGAUUUUUUUGAAUUUUUGGAUUGUGAAAAACGAAAGCCCUAAAGAACUCUAAAAACUACGAAACUCUCUCUUUUUUUUUCUUCGACUCACUUUUUUCAUUGCCUUCACACUUGAUUUCUAACACAUGUUUUCCCCAAAUCGGUCUGUCAAAAGACCCCAUUAUCCUCAAAGAUGCAACGUUUAGCACGUAGGGAUGAGGUAGAGGUGAGUCUCCUAUAAAAGACCAAAUGGGGCCCGCUAGGUAUCAAUAUGAUGAACAUAGUAUGACCUAAAGGCUGACCUAUGCUAGGGUUCACCAACAAGGCUGUUCGGGGGAGCGUAUGGUCGAUAGUGGCAGCUUUAGCUGUCCACCUACUCCAUACCAGCCAACGGCUCCCCUCUUUUAAAAUAAGGGUGACUAAACUAUAGGUCCUGUACACAGCGUGUACGACAGAACUUGUUGCAGAAAGAUUGACUCGGGUCAUGCACAUGAUGCCAGAUAUAAAACGGUAACACAUAAGAUAAAAACUGUAAACAAAGAGCACGUAGGCACUUAACAAUGAUAAACAAUAACACAAAAUAACACAAACAAAAUGUCUAUACACCUAUAGUGACAAACUAAGCCGAUACAACUCCAAAAUAAACUCGAAUUCUAAAAAAAAUCCCCAGCAGAGUCGCCAGAGCUGUCACACCCCCUUUUUUUAAACUCCAAAAAAAUUAUUUAAGGUUUGAAAGGGUUUUUACUAUUAAAGUAACAAAAUGAAGAUAAUUUGUUUCGUGAAGGACCUUUUACAUUCAAAACUCAGAGUCGCCACUUGGCGUAAUCUGGUGUGCCAAGUCACCAUUGAAAAAUCCUUUUCAAAAUCAUUUGAUUCUUUAAAUUGGUUUGCAAACAGAGAUUCCGACUAACUAAUUCUGUUGACCGCGGAAGGGUGUUAGGCACCCCUUGAUCCCGUGGUUCGACCACGGUCGCUUGGUGGAGUAUAUCGACUAAUUUGACCACUAUGAAUGAAUAAACCACACCACACACAAAUAAAAUGAUCAAUCAAACAAACAAAUCUAAAACAAUGUCCAGUCCAAUUAUACAGUCCAAAAUAGAAAAAGAAUGCGAAAAUGUAAAUCUUAUCCUACCCUACACUAAUUUUAUACUAUGCUCCCAUGCUACCCGAUGCCUCGGGCCUUCAUCACGGACGUCCUCCAAAUACAAAAUACUUCGGGGCAUUCCCCAGCAAAUAAAUACAAGUGAUCGCAAGGCAUUCCUCAAUUAAAUAAAUACAUUUCCAAAUGCAAGAACAAAAACCAAACCGUUCAACUCAAAUUCCACAUUCAAACAUUCAACAAGAAAACUUAUUCCUAAAUUUUUUGCCUACCCGAACCAACAUUCGCCUAUCCAUUUCAAUAUAUCAUAAUUUUAUCACAUUCCAACAAUAUUCAUGCUCAUUACGAAUUAAACAAAACAACAAUAAAUCAAAGUUAAUCUAAAUUCAACUUUUUUAUCAAUUUCUCAAUUUCAUCCCACAAAAUUCAUUUUUAACCACAUUAUUAAACUAGUUCGACUAUCAAAUCACCUUUCGAAAUCUGAAACCAACAACACAUACCCCAAUGAAGAUUCAAACAUUUAAGCAUACCAAUCAUUCAUAUCCGCAAUAACAAUUAACAUUUUUGCUCGAAAUAUUCAAAACCACACCACAAAAUCACGAUAUUAACCAAUUUCGAUAUAAUAAAAAAGUAGAGUUGAGAGAUGGACCCUUGAAGAAUCGAUUUCGUUGAUAAUAAAAUCAAGAAAGCCCGGACUAUAGAAUUCCUUAUAGGACCUCAACAAUGACGAACUCCAACUCCGUAUUGAAAAACUUGAGACCCAAAACUGAAGCUCCGUAAAUUCAAUCGAACUCAAAAACCGACACUGUUCACGUACUAUUCAUGGUACUGUUCACAACACUGUUCACGACACUAUUCACAACACUGUUCACGGUACUAUUUCUCUCUCGAUAUUUUUUCUCUCGCUUGAUUCUCUCUUCUCUCCCUUGGUCUUUUUUGUUCUUCUUGUGAGGAAGAUGAUUUGGUGAUUAUUGUUAUUGUGGAGAAGAUGAUGAUGAAAGAAUGAGCCUCCCUUUUCCCCUUUUAGAAUUUUCCUUUUAUAUAUUUUUUAUUUGGUUUUUCUUUUUGUUUAUUUAUUAUCCAUGUGGAAGCAUAUAAUUGGUGUCUUGUGGGAAUAAGUGUGUGGCAUGUGGAAAAGUUAGUGUGACAUGUGAAAAGAUGAGGGUGGCGUGUGAAAAAAUGAGUAGGGCGUGUGCCUUUUGCAUGUAUCCAAUUAAAAAUGAAAAGUGAGGUGUUGAGGUGGCAUAGUGAGGUGACAAAGAUGCUUUGUGUUUAAUUAUUUUCAAUUCUUUUUUUUUUUUUGAGAAAUUAUCAAUUAAACAAAAGUAUGGUAAGGUGAAUAAAAUAAAAAUAAAAAUCAAAAUAAAUAAAAUUAAAUAAAAAUGAUUAUAAUAAUUUUGAGAAAGGAUAAAAUUACGUGUCUACAAUAUGUCAUGUGUCUUUCAUCUUCAGAAGAUCGUCAACUUAAAAGUUUAUCGGUUCAAAAACGGAGUUUGUAGAUAUAGCGCAUUAAACUACUGCAUUUGUACCUGUCCAUUAUUGCAGUAAAUCGGUUGCGAAGACUAAGGCUGGCAUGAGAGUAUAUUGAGUGAUCUAUCAAAAAGUUCAAUUUAAUAAAAUCGACAUAGGAGUCAUACUUUGUUCCCAUUAACGAAUAUCCAAAUUUUAAAUCAGAUUUAUAAAUAAAGAGAAAAUAUACCCAAUAUAACAUACGGGAGAGUCAUUUAACACAUUGUGAUAGUUAAAUCCAAAUAUGGUUUAAGAAAAAUAAAAAAAAAUCCAAGUAUGGUUUGAUGGACGCUAUUACUAUAUGUACAAAGUUGCUGAUGUUGCUUGAAGUUGAUUACAUACAUCACUAUUUUACUGUUUUUUUCAGAAAAUAUUUUAAACUUCAUUUUGAUAGUUGAUAAAUUGUUUGAACUUAUGUUUGAAGUUCUUGAAACUUCAUUUUGAUAGUUUAUAAGUUGUUUGAACUUGUGUUGAAAUUCUUGUAGAUUAAUAAUUAAUAUACAUAUUGUACCCAAAAAAUACACUUCUAUGAUUAAGCUUGUUGAAUUUAAUUGUUCAAGGGUAAGCAAAAUCAUACAAAACAAAUAAUAUGGAUUAUGCAUUUUAAGGUUUCGAACGGUAAAAAUGUGAUGUUAGAAUUAAAUUGAAUAAUAAAUGUACAAAAAUUUAUUUUGUAAUAGACUAAAAAUAAAAGUAUGUCAUAUCGAAGUUGAUGAAAAUGGUAUAUGGUUUUGCCAUAACAAUGUCAUAAGAAGAAUAUUUAAUUUGAUUCAUUUUUUCAUUUGUUUUAAUUUUUUUUUUUUAUCCUUUGUUUAUGGAUAUUUGAUUCAAUAAACUAAACUUCUAGCAUUAAAGUGUGUUCUAAUCAUUGAGAGACAAUUUAGGUAUGAAACUCAUAAUUUCAAUCAUGUUGGCAUCAAAAUAGAAAACUUAAAUAUUAUUAAUUAGGUAUAAUUUUUAUCCUUUUAACUCCUAUAAAAUUAAAAAUUAGAGGUACAAUCAAUAUAAUGUCAAUUUCAAAUAUGUCUUAUACAUACAUGGCAUAUUAGAUAUGAAAACAACGAUGGGCAAUUUCUUCAAGUUUAUGUCUUAUUCGUAGAGCUGAUAUUUUUCUUUAUUUGUUUCUUUCUUGUGAUGAGUACUAAUAGGAAAAAAGCAUAAUUUUUUUCUAACCAUAUUCAACUUCUUUCUCUUGUUUUUUGAUUAUUAAAGUGGAGGUUUUACGAUGUAUAUCUUCUUACAACACUCUUGAUAUGAAUGAUAAAUAUCUAAAUUACAUCUAUACAUUUUUGUAGACCGAGUUAUAAUCAUUUUUGAAAUUCCUCGGUAUUAAAUUCCCUUUGAGAAUCACUCAUUCAGUUCUUGUAUAAAGGACAGUAAGAAUUAUAUUGAUAUUUUAUUUUAGUCUACAUAAAAUUAUUUAUUUUUAUCACUCAACUCAAAUUAAUCUAACUUACUUCAACCCAAAUCCAACACGAACAUAACCAUUUUCACUUUCACUAGCUACACCAGAAAAGAUAUUUAAUGACAAUUAGUUAAUAAUAACAUUGUAAUUGUCGUUAAAUAUAUCUUUUAGAAAAAAAUAUUAGUAAAAAUUAGAUUAUAGCACUCUUUGUAAAUGUUCUAAAAUGAAUAGCGAUAUUGAAUUCAAUGCCAAUAAAAAUUGAAACAUUUUUUUUUAAAUAUAUGCAUUUAUUAUUGCUAAAAGUCUUUAUUAAUGUAUCGUGCAAAAUAGUGUCUUUACUCUUCUUUUUAUUUUUGUCACAAUGAUUUACUUUACUUUGUACUUGUCUGAAUUUGUAUUAGAGUAAAUACAUAAUUAUCUUUCUGAUCUUGUCCGAAUUUUAUAAAAAGACAUCUAAACUUUAACUUCAACCCAUUACCCCACGAAUCUUCUUUAUUCUGUUGCAAAUACACAAUUUUGACCCUCUGCGUGUAUACACGCGCCACAAACGCGUGAAAAGGCAAAAAUUGACUUUUUUGACCAAUUAAAAGCUGCCAAGUGUAAAUAAUUUAAUAUAUAAUUUAUAUUCUUUUUUUUAAAAUCAAUAUUUAUUUAUUUUUUAAAAUUAUNNNNNNNNNNNNNNNNNNNNNNNNNNNNNNNNNNNNNNNCAACAACAACAUCAAUUACAACAACAACAUCAAUUACAACAACAACAACAAUAUCAUCAUCACCAUAAUUUUAAAAAGAAAAUAUGAUGUACAAUCUCUAUUUUAAUGGAGCUUUAAACUCCAUUUUAAUGGAGGGAAUUGGACGGGAAUGGGGGAGGGAGGGGUUGGAAGGAGUGGGGGUGGGGAGGUGGGGUGGGGUCAUAAACAAAAAUGGAGCUUAAAGCUCCAUUAAAAUGGAGAUUGUACAGGAGCUUUAAGCUCCAUUUUAAUGGAGAAAACUAGAAGCGGGGGGAGGGGGAGCUGUUGGACUUGGGGUGGGGGAAGGGGGUGAUAAAUUAAAUAUAAAGGAAAAAAUUUAUUAAAAAAUAAAUAAAAUAUGAAAUUAAAAAUAUUUGACACGUGGCAUCACCUGAUUGGUGCGUGCAUUCACUCUCUUUUUUGUGACUGAGAUUCAGCGAAAAAUGAUGUAUUUGCAACGAAAUAAAGAAGAAUCGUGGGUUAAUAGGUCAAAAUUAAAGUUUAGGUGUCUUUUUACAAAAUUCGGACAAAAUCAGUGAGAUAAUUAUGUAUUUACUCUUUAUAUUAUGAAUACUUCUACUUAAUUCUUUAUCAUCGGACCCCUAUAUUCUCCAAAACAAAAAAAAUUUUAAACCCUUUUUACGAUUUAGGCCUCCUAUGUGGUAUAAACAACCAAGGAGCGGGUGCUAUAAAUAUUUUUGAAGCAUGAGACAUUAUAAAAAGGCUCAAUCAUCUUCUUUCCCAUUUACAUUUAACACCACUGUUGAAUAAUAUUAAGCUUUUUCUUACCUCUUUUUCGAUCGUCUCUCUUGAAAUUUCUUCUCCAUUAAUUUUUUUCUAGUCCUUACACAUUUCUUUUUUGUGCAUUUUCAUGUUAUUUUUUCCUUCAAUUUUAAUUUUGACAACUUUUUUUACUAUUGUGAACUUUAUGUCAUUGAAUACAAGCAUAGCACCUCUACAAAAACAUCUUACACUACACGAAACAAAGCAAAACCUUGGAAAUAUUUCAAUAAAAGCAAAUAUUAAUCAACAAUCUUAAAAUCAAAGAACGACACAAAUACUCAAACAAAAAGCAGCAACAAAACUUGACAGCAAAUAAUUAUGACUAUAAAUUGAAAACUUAAUUCGAUAGCUUGGAAAUCAAACAGAAACAAUAAGAAAACUCGAAUUAUUUAGUGAAAAUAAAAAAAAAUAGUAAAAAAAGAAAAGAAAAUGGGUGCCUACAUGAAUAACGGGUGAAUGAGAAGAUGUGAAGUUUUUAAAAUCUUUUAACUCUAUCCCGCGUCAUUUUGUACAUGUUAUUUUAGAAUUAUUUUUAAAAUUAUAUGUUAGCGUUAUGUUACACGCUCAAUUAAAUAGUCAAACUAAUUUAAAAAAUUACGUAACGAAAAAUUUAGAGAUUAAAAUGAUAAAGAAUUGAAUAAAAAUAUUCACAAUACAAACUCAAAUAAGUAUAAGUAUAUAUUUUUAAAAAUCAAACAACUAAAUAUGAUAUGUCAUGUGACCUUCAUUAUAAAAAAAAAGGCUUAAGUUAUAGACACGCACUUAAAGUUGUCCCGAAAAUUUAUUUGGACCCCUCAACAAUGGUAUGUACCUAUCAGGCACCUCAACUGCUAACACUAAUACCUAUCAAACACAAACAACUAAUUUGACAAGAAAAGUGUGUUACACUUUCGUUGAAUGCGUGAACAGUAGAAAAAAAAUACUAAUAUUUUAUUUUUUAAUUAAAAAAAUUAUAUUUAAAUUAUUUUAUUAAUCUAAUUUUUAAUUAUUUUAAUUUCUUAAUUUAAAAAUAAAAAGUCCAACCCCCAAUUCAUCUUGUCUUCACUCCCCCUCAUCGUCUUCUUCACAACACCCCCAAGUCAUCAUCGUCUUCACAUCUUUGUCCCCAUCAUCUUCAACCCCCCACCCUCCCCAUAGUCAUUGCUAACCCCCCNNNNNNNNNNNNNNAACCCCCCCCCCCUCCGCCGCCCCAUGCUGACAUCUUUUUUAUCCCAUUAUUGAUAUCAUUUUCUUCACACCCAUUUUUUGAUUUUAAAGCACUUUAAAAUUUAUAAUAUAACUAUUUCUAAACUUAGUCAUCUGAAAAUUUUAACAACUCAAUUGGUUGCUACUUGAAACUCACGCCUGUUGAUUAUGUUGAUUUUUCAUAUUGUAAUCUAUUCUCUAUAUUUAUAAGAGGAAGGGAAUGCCCUUCCACUACUUCCAAUUGAAAGAAAGGGUUUAACAUUCCUGGAAAUUACCCUCUCUUUCCUUUUGCUUAUUCCUUGUUUUAUACGAUAAUGCAGAAUAGCUACUUCUUCUUCUUCUUUGUCAGUAAUUUCUUGCAUAUUUAUCCAUGGCUUCUCAAUACAAAUCCACUCAAAAAUGGGAAUUUGAUACCUUCUUGAAUUUUGGAGGACAAGAUACCCGUUACAACUUUAUUAAACCUCUCCACAAAAAAUAGGAAACCAGUUUUUAAAAAAGGUUCAGCUUCUAUGGAAAAAAAAAAAGGGGAGGGGUGGGGGGGGGGGGAGAGGGCGAGGGGAGAGGUGUAAUUUACUUUUUUUUUUUUUAAUUCUAAAAUAAUUUAUUUUGGAGUUUAUUGUGGAGUAAUAUAUUUAAAAUAAUUUUUGAACCCACACGAUAUGUGUCAUUAUUUAAUUGAAUUUUUAAUUUAUACAGUAGUCUUUUUAAAAAAAAACGUUAGUCACGUAUUUUUUUUAUUGGUCAUUUUUGCCAUGUUAGGUAAGUGUGUUACACACGCUUUUUAAAAAAAAAAUUCGUUUGCCACGUAUUUUUUUUUAUUGGUCAUUUUUAUCAUAUCAUGCAAGUGUGUUACACACGCUUUAUAUCUUUUGUUGAUUGUUUAAAAAAGACUUAAUUGAAUCAAAAUUUGAGUGAAUUAAAAAUUUGAUAGGUACAUGUUUUAAUUAAGAAAUUUGAGUAAAUUUUUAAGAUAAUUUUAAGUGUUUAUUGAUGAUUUAAGCCUAAAAGAGAAUAUUGAGGAAUCAAACAUACAAUUUAAAGGGACAAUACAUUUGUUUUAUAGUUGACAUUAUUGUAUGUGAAAAUGACGGCGAUCGAUUUGAUCCCUCUAUUGUUUUAUUCAUAGAGCUAUAAUUUCUUUUUAUUUGUUCCUUUUCCAUAAUAAGUCAUAUUCAAACAAAAGUAGGGACAGCACCUUUGCCUGCAGCCAGUUAUUAGCUCAUUAAAAGAAUAAUCAAACAAAGGCUCAAAAAAAAAAAAAAAGAAUGUGAACUUGAUAUUAUUAGAGUCCGAAACUAAACUAUGCCAUCAAAUUAAAAAUUGCAUCAAAAUAUAUUAUAUAUUUAAAAUAAUACCAAACUAAAUAGUGAGUUAAGCAUAAUUUGAUACUUUUUAAAAUAUAUGGCAUACUAGAUAUAGAAAUUCAUAUCAGCACAAGUUUUAUAUAUUUUAUUUUUUUAUUUUAAUUUAAGUGGUUCAGAUAAAAUAUUAAAAUUAAAUUAAAUUUUUUUAUAAUUUUUAAAUAUUUUAAAUUAUUUAUAAUUGAUUUACAUUGUAGAAUUAUUAGAUAUUAUAUGUUACAUUUUUGUCUCAAUUUACGGAGCACUGAUGAAAUAUUUAAGAAAUUCAAUCAAAUUUGUUAAGUAUAUAGUUCUUUAGAUAUUGUACUUGUUAAUUAAUAUGAUAUUAAUAGAAUUUGAAAAGUCAAAAUAAUUUUUUAAAAUAUCCUUCAAAUAUUUUGAUUUAGUAUUAUUGUGAUUUAUAUUACUUUUUAUGUCAUUUUCAAAUAAUAUAUAACUUCCUUUACCUCAAUUUAUGUGUGCUGCUAGAAUCUCAAAUCAAUCAAAAAAAUUUAUGUGCUUUGAAAUAAUUUAAAUUGCUAAGUAUUAUAAUUUUAAAUAUUAUUAUAUAAUUUUUAAAUACAUAAAAUAUNNNNNNNNNNNNNNNNNNNNNNNNNNNNNNAUUAUAAAAUUUCUCUCGAUCAGAAGUCGACAGUUGAAAACAGAUAUGACAACUAUCAAUCGCUUGCUUACUCGCGUUUCUAUAGUAAAACUAGAUACAAAAGGCCCGUGGAAUAUUUUAAGUAUACGACAAAUAAAAUUUGGAGGCAACCAUAUAUUUUUUAUAUUCUUAAAUACUUUAAGUUAUACUUUAUUCAUAAUAUUCACAUAAUAUAUGUUAUAUAUUUUAUUUAAAUUUAUGUGGUGUAAAUAAAAUUUUGAAAGUCAAUAUAAAAUAUUUUAUAUUACGUACAUUAUAGAUAUUUUAAAUUGUUACUUAUUGCGAUUUAUAUUAUUUUGAACAUAAUUUUCACUUAGUAUAUAUUACUCUUUUUGUCUCAAUCCUUAUGGAUGUUUUGACGCGAUAAAUUCAAGGUCAAAUACAUCGACAAAUUCCUUAAUUUGGCAGGAUUUUUCACUUUGACACCUAAGGUGAAUAUUGUUAAUUUUAAGCACCCAAACCAACUACAAAGUGUGUCAUUUUGAUACUUUUUUGCAUCAACUCUAGCACGUGAAUUGUACUCGCUUUUAACAUGGAUUAAAUGACCAAUUAAUUUGUGUCACCUCAUUUUAAAUUGUCAUAUCAUUAUAUGCAUACAUAAUUAUUUUUUUAUAAAAAAAAAUAAAACACAUUACAAGGUGUCCAAUGAAUUAAUGACACGUGGCUUUUGACCACAAUAUUACAAAAGUACUUUGACUUCAUCUUCUUCACCCAACCAUUCUUCAAGCUUAACCUCCAUCAAUGAAAGUUGAAUUUUUCAAGAAUGAUAAACAUACCUCCUCAUUCUUUUACGGAUGAUAGAUCCUGACACUGACGCAUAGUUCAUUGAUUAAAAUGCACCAUAAGAGCAUAUUUUUUACUUAUAAACAUACGUACACCUGGCUCAUCAGACCUAUCCGGGCAGUCACAAAAAUCAUCAUUGAGCUGAGCUUUAGUGAAUUUCUUUGACCCAUCUUUGCAUUUUGUAGCACCAGAUGUUAAACCCUCGUAAUAAUUCUCAACUGCAAUCAACAACAAAUCUUGAUGACUAUUUUCACUUAACAUCAACAAAAUCAUCAAAAACAGCUAAAUUAACAAUUAUUUCUACAGAAAAAAUUUCAUAUCACAAAAUGGGGUCAGCUGCACUUCCAUCAACAAAACUAAUCAUUAUCUCAACAGAAAAUUUGAAAAUUUCGCCCAUUUCCAUCAAAACAGCAAAAUUAACAACUAUUUCUAUAGAAAAGUAAAAGCUUUUUCUAUCCAAAUUUCAUUCACCUUGCGACUAGGAAUUAAAUUCCUUUAAAUUGUAUCUGAUUAAAUAUGUAGAUCGAUUCAUAACCUUUCAAGCACAAUCAUUUAAAAAUCACGAAACGAUUCAUCAAAAAAUAGCAAAUUUAGCAAUUAUUUAUUAAAUAUCAGCUCCAUUUGCAUCAAAAACAGCUCAAUUAACAAUCAUUUAUACUAAAAGAAUCUGAAAUCAAGAAAUGGGUCAUUAAUAGCUUCCCGAACUUCUUUAAACAUGCUCUUAUGAUGAAAAAAUGGUGAAAUAUGGUGGGAUGAAAAAAUAGGAAAGAAGGUGAUAAAAUUAAAUGAAAAAUGGGCUAAAAUAAAGUUGCCAUGCGUCAAAAAACGAGUGUUAUACACCCACUUUACUGAAUCAACAAAAAGUGUCAAAGUGACACAGUUUAUGGCUACUUUAGGUGCUUAAAAUGAACAACGCCCAUCUUAGUUGUCAAAGUGAAAGAACGUGCUAAGUUAAGGGACCUGUCAAUGUGUUUAGCCUAAAUUCAAGGUGAGGUGCCCUACUAUUUUCUUUUUUCGGAUGAUGUAGUUUUGAUUGAUAUGAUGAGGCACAUGGUGGAGUUAAUGCUAAAUUGAAGGUUUGGAGGUAAAUUUUUGAAUCUAAAAAAUUUAGAUUGAGUAGGUCCAAAACAGAAUAUUUGAUUGUAUUACUUGAUGAACUUAUAUAUGGUAUUAUUAAGUGUGUCGAUUUCUAUUAUAUCUUGUUAUUUUUUAUCUAGAUUGUUUAUCUUGAAUAGGGGAACUAUUGAAAAUAAUAUUUUUAUCUCAUCAUUGAUAUAAUAAUAUGAAUUGCAUCUACUUAUUCUUUUAGAUCCCACUUGAUAAGAAUAUAGUGAGUAUGUUAUUGUUGUAUGAAUCGUGAAAGUGAACCACAAAAAGAGAAAAAGAUGAUCACCCAAAAUGUAAAAGUGGGUUCCACAUAUAUUAAAGAAUUAAAAUAAUGAAAAAAUGUACUGUGAUAAACUAAAUUUAGGCCGGACAUUUUGUCUAAUAUCGAAAAUGUACACAUGCCUAAAAAAUUUAGAUGCAACAACGUGAACAUCCAAAAAUAAAACAUACCUAAAAUACCCCUAAAAGCACUCAUAAUUUCAUAAAGCACACAUGACAAUCAUAAGUUCUGUGCUUGCUCACAAUUCUAGUAGAUAGUAAUAAUAUGUUGGAUUACUUCAUUUUAUUUUACUUCCACAAGUAAGUCCAUAACAUAAAUUUUGAGAAACAAGAAAAUAUAAUAUGAUACUAUAUGAAGUAUUUUAAAAACAUUCAUAAUGCCUCAUCCGUUGUAUUUUAGUUGGCCGUUUUAUAAUUUCUUAAAUAUUGUGUAAAAUAAAAAGUGAUCGAUUAAAAUGGAAUGAAAAACCCGAUAACGUCAUUUUAACAUUCACAUCAACAAAUCAAUCAUGCCAAAAUAAGAGGAGGAUUUCCAGGUGGGAUCGUUGGCAAACUGCUUUCAAAACUUUAAUAGCAUUCAUCCUUUUGGGUUGGAUUUUCAUUUUAUUGUCUUGCCUCAUCCUUGAGGUUUUGAGCACGUCCACCAAUAUAUGUGGAUGCAAAAUGGAUAACUGUGUAUUCUAAUAAGCAUGGAUUUCCCAUAUUAAUUAAAAGAGAAAACGGUCAAAAGCCCCCCAACCUAUAUCCCAAAUUUCAACUACACAUUUAUACUUUGCGAGGGUCCUAUGAUCCCCUGAACUAUUUUAAAAUGAAAUUAUUACCCCUCCGAAUUAUUUUAAAGUGGAAUAUAUACCCGUCUAAAAGCUCAUACCCAGAUUUUAUUUUAAUUUGUGGUCUACAUGCGCUGCCACGUGUCAUGCCACGUAAUUCCACGGUAUAUUACUUUUUUUACUAUAAAAAAUUAAUUACUUGUCCUUUUCUCUUCUUCUUCCCGACCUAUUUGACUCUCUGGCCGUAGUUAUUUAGGUGGUAUUCCGAGAUCGAAUUCCUCCCGGGAACACACAAAACAAAGAUAUGAACUGGGUAAAUAGAAAUGGAAAAGAGAUGUUCUAUUUCAUCCAAAUUAGUUGCUUUUUCUACUAUUAGAAGUUUAGAACACAAGCCAAGAAACUCAAAACCACAACACAAGCUUCUUCUUUUUCUUCUUCAAUGGCAUAAUAAAUCAUAUGAAAUUCACACGAUAGGUAAUCUUAUCAAAAUCAAAUCAAUAAUUAAUGUCCAAAAAAAAUUCAAUUUUCACAAAAUGACGUCAAUUAAUUUUCAUAAAAUAGUCACUAUUUAUUUGUAAUUAGAACAAAAUUCUUAUUUGGACUUACUUAGUCUUUACAUAUACUCCAUGUCAUGUUGCUAAUUACCUGUUUCAAGUAAAUAAUUAAUUAAGUCGCAGGGCCAAAUUCAUCCAUAAAUCAAUUUCCAGUUAUCAAGAGAAUUAUUUUAAUAGAAAAUGGAUGGACAAACAUUUAAGCACAAACUUUUUCCUUUUGCUCUUAUCAUGGGAUUCUCAAGAUCCAACAUAUAUACUAAACCUUGUAUGUCAGUUUCCUUAAUGUUUUCACAGCCCGAAUUUAUUUUUUUCGAUGAAUUUCAGCAUUCUCAACGUCAAUCAAUUUUUGGGAAUCUAAGAAAUGAUUCUAACUAAGAAAUUAAUUCAAAAUUUUCAAUCUGAAUUGAUUUAACAUUCUCAACGUCAAUCUGAACUGGUUCUAUGAAGUCGGAACAAGUCGAUUUUAUGCUUUGAGAUGAGGAAGAUGAUAAAUUAGUCUUGAAUGUCAUUGAUGAGUUUUGGAUGCCAUUGAAGAAGAAAUGUCAUUGAUGGGUUCUUGGAUUCCACUAAAGAAGAAGAAGAAGAAGAAUUGAAGAAUAAGAAAUGAAGAAGAAGAAUUGAAGAAGAAGAAUUGAAGAAGAAGAAAGAAAAAUAAUAAUUGACAUUGAUGGGUUCUUGGAUGCCAUUGAAGAAGAAGAAGAACAAGAAUUGAAGAAGAAAAAUGAAGAAGAAGAAGAAGAAGAAAGAAAAAUAAUAAUUAAAAUUAUAUAUAUUUAUUUAAAGAAAUAUUAAAAAUAAUUUUUUAAUAAAUUAUUUUCGUUCUCACUCUCUUGCCAUGUCAGCGUUUGGGGGUAAUAAUUUCAUUUUAAAAUAGUUUAGGGAGGUUAUAGGACCCCCGCAAAAUAUAAAUGUGUAGUUGGGAUUUGGGCUAAAGAUUGGGGGGCUUUUGACCAUUUUCUUUAAUUAAAAUACCCCCUCCGUCCCAUUUUAUGUGUCGCCAUUUGACCGGGCGCGGAGUUUAAGAAAUAAGGAAAGAUUUGGUAAAAUUUACCAAAUUAUCCUUUAUAAAAAAAAAUGUCAAUAUAUUUUUUUUAAUUAAGUGGGACCAAUAAAGAUAAAAGGGUAAUUAUAUCUUCAAAAAGUUGCCAAAUAAGGAAAGACGACACUUAUUUUGGGACGAAUUAAAAAAAAAAUAAUGACACAUAAUUUGAUUACCUCUUACCAGAUUUAUUAACGUGGAGUCAUGUGAAAACUACGUAAUUAAAAUUUCUCCUUUCCUCCUAUAUUUUUAACAUACAGUGAAGUGUCACUACAUAAUAAUGAGAAAAUGUGACAUAAAAUGUGAAGCAAAGUAAUGAUUUUCUAUCUAUCUAUCUAUCUAUCUAUCUAUCUAUCUAUAUAUAUAUAUAAAAGUGUGAACACCCCUUAGAAAAGUGAUUUAAACUUUUUGCCCUUAAUUAAAAGAUUUCACAAUAGACAAAAUCGUCUUUUUACUAAAUUUCUUCAAUUAUUAUAUCAUAGUCUUUAUAUUAUUUAUUAUUAGCCAUAAUAAAUAUGUAAGAUUCACUUUUAGAUUAGAAUUCAAUAUCAAUUAAAAUAGUAUUACACGUCGUAUUUUCUUUAUUUAGAUUUAUUAUCCACUUUAGGUUAGGAUAUUCUACCAAAGUUAUCACUUUAGGUUAACUAGGACAAUAUAUAUUCUACACAAAUUUUUGUGGACUACAAAGAAAAAAAAAUUAGGUUGAGACGUUUAGGUUUCACAAUUUAAUGCCACUUUUAGUUUUAAUUUUUCUUUACUAAUUAAUUUUACUAUUACGUUAGUUUGAUUAAAAAAUUAUGUUAUAUUUUCUUUGUAUUGGUUGAUAGGAUUUGCAUGUAAUUAUUUUUGUAUGAAGGUUAGGUUUAAUUGUAUUGUUCUAACAUCUUGAUAAUUGUGUUGUUGUAGUUUCUAUCUCGUUACUAUAUGCUAUUUUUUAAAAUUAAUACAAGUGGUCAAUGAAUGUUCGAUCAGACUUUGAGUAAUUUUUGUAUAAAUUUAAGGUUUAGUUGUAUCGUUCUGACGUCUCGAUUAUCGUAUUGUUUUGUUGUUGUUUCUGUUCUAUUGAUAUCUGCCAUUUUUUCUGCUUAAUACAGGUGAUAGAUGAAUGUUUCAUCGGGCUUUGAGAAAUUAUGUGUAAAGGUUAGGUUAAAUCAUAUUGUUCUAAUAUUCGAUUACCGUAUUGUUAUUAUGUAUUUUCUGAUUUCUCGAUUAUCGUAUUGUGUUGUUGUAGUUUCUGUUUUGUUGCUAUUUGCCAUUUUUUCUGCUAAAUACAGGUGAUAGAUUAAUGUUUGAUCGGGCUUUGAGAAAUUAUGUGUAAAGAUUAGGUUAAAUCUUAUUGUUCUAAUAUUCUAUUAUCAUAUUGUUUGUUGUAUAGUUUUUAUUUGCUAUUUUUUUUUUAGUACUUCAAGUGAGAAAUGAAUGUUUGGUUGAGCUUUGAAGAAUUUUUAUGUAAAGAUUAAGUUUAAUCUUAUUGUUCUAAUAUCUUGAUUAUCUAUCCCAUUUUUAUUUUCUAUUUUUCUGCUUAAUACAUAUGGUAGAUGAAUGUUCGAAUGAGCUUUAAAAAAAAUGUGUAAAAGUUAGAUUUAAUCAUAAUUGAACAACAUAUUUAGAUGUAUUUUUAAUUUUCACUCUUAACAAAAAUAUUGUGAAAAAAAUUUCAUCAAAGAUGACUGGUUCAGUGUAUUGCCAACAAAUCGAUAAAGAGGACAAAAUAUUACACAUCUAAAAAUUGUUAGUAGCCAUUAGAUUAGGAGAGUCUAAAUCAGAAUUUUGAGGACGAGAGAAGAGUGCAUUUGGAUUAUUAGUAACAACAAAAGUAAGCUUACUUAGAACUGAGUCGUUGCGGUUUAUAGGAGGCAUAAGAAUAUUUGUUUUGUUAGGGAUAUUAACUGCACAACGAAUCUUAAACUAAGAUAUUUCAGAGGCAUCGAUAAAGAUGACAUGUAACUGAGGACAGUGAGGACGUUAUGGGCAAACUUAAGGAAAGUGGUCAUAAUUUUCUCCAUAGUUGAAUUUUGAUUCUUCUACGGAAGCUUGAAAGGAAGAGUGAACGGUUGAACACUAAAAAGUAUGUGGAAUUUGAAUAGUGUGACUUAAUUUGGAACGAAUGAGAGAUCUGACCAGUCCAUAUUAUUAUAUAUGAAUGAACAAUAUCUAAAUAGUUAACAAAAGAUUGAAACAACAAUAAAAUUUGAAUAUAAAUUCACCAAAUCUUGGACCUCUUCAUUCCAAAAGAGGUGCAAUACUAUUGUUAUUGUUUGAGAACUAUCUAUUCCUUUUUACUCAAAACAAGAAUCUUUUAAAACAUUACAAUUUAUAUUACUUUUAUUAAAAUUUAAAUAUCUAAGUAGAACAAGAAAAUCAAUACACGAUAUAAAAUCAGAUAGAGUACUUUAGAGUUUAGACAUUGUAUUCCUCUUUAGUGAUAAAUUCCUAUAUGACUCUCAAUAAUUUUAAUAAUAUCCUAUUUACUAGAACAAAUCCACCAACAAAUUCUUUAAAAUUAAUAGUGAUAGGAGUCACAAAGAUAAUUUAAGUGGAUGAUGAUGAUGAUAAAAGAUUCAAAGGAAAGAUGAUAAUGACCUAUUCUAUUCACUUUCACGAGUAAUAUUGCAGAAGUUAAAACUCUACAAUUUGAGGUUCAAUGAUAUAUAACAUAUCCAAGGCUUAUCUCUUUCUCUUUUUCUUCUUUGCUUAAAUAAGAAAAAAGUUGACUUUGCAAUGUUAGUUGCAGUAUGAAGUUUGUCAUGUCUCCAUGAUAAGUUACAUAAAAAUUAGGGAUGAGAUAAUAUAUAAAUAUGACUCUAAAUUUGACACCAAAUUAUAAUUUUGACCUUAAACUUUGAUAGUACACAAAUAGGACCUUUAACUAUUCAGAACCUGAACGAAUAUGACCUCCGAUUUUGCAACCUUCAUGCGUGAGUUUCACUCGCGCCUAUGUGGAAAAGUAAUCCAAUCACACUAUGUCACAUCGUUAAAAGGGCUGACUUGGAGGGAGAUCAUAUUUGUGCAAUUUUGAAUAGUUAAAGGUCAUAUUUGUGCACUGUCAAAGUUUUAUUUUUUGUGUUAAAACAACGUCGUUUUUAUUAUUAUUAUUAUUAUUAUUAUUAUUAUUAUUAUUAUUAUUAUUAUUAUUAUUAUUUAUUUAUUUAUUUAUUUAGGGAUCGAACCCACGCAGUAGGCUGAAGGAAGCACCCAAGAAGAGCAAACAACACCACUGGGCUAUCUAAGUGUCUUGUUUCAUGUGGUUCAACAUUAAUAUACGUACAUAAAUAUAGAUUUUCUACCUUAUAUAUACAAUGUCAUUUUUUUACCGAGGGGCUUCGGGUGAACCCCAUGACAACCACUUAGGUCCGCCCCUGCGUUAAUUUAAUAACAUUUUAAUAACGUUAAUUUGAUAACAUUAAUUUAAUAUACUACUACUAGUAUCCUUAAUAAUGUUAAUUUAAUAACGUUUUAUUAAAACUAUAGUUUUUUUUUAUUAUUAGUAUAGUUUCAUCUUUAAUUUAAUAGUUAAAUAAAUUAUAUUUAGAUAUAUUAUAUAACUUAAAUUCACCUUUUGCUUUAUAAUAUAUAUACAUACCUGUGCGAUUUUUUCGUAUGAGGUUGACCCACCUGUUUAAUAAAUCUUCAAUAUUGCUCUUUUUCUGCAAUGACAAAAGAAAUUAGAUGUCAUUUUAAUCUUUGAGCCGAAAAUAAUGAAUAAAUAAUAGUGAAAAGUCAUUUAAAGGUUAUAUUUGUGCAGUUUUGAAUAGUUAAAGGUUAUAUUUGUGCACUGUCAAAGUUUAAGGUCAAAGUUAUAAUUUGGUGUCAAGUUUAGGGUCAUAUUUAUGUAUUAUGCCCUUAGAUUUUAAGCUGGACGUGCCCAGUUUUGCGUGUUGAAUACGCAUUUUACCACGUAGGAUCGGAGGUCAUAUUUGUGCAGUUUUGAAUAGUUAAAGGUCAUAUUUGUGCACUGUCAAAGUUUAAGGUCAAAGUUAUAAUUUGGUGUCAAGUUUAGGGUUAUAUUAUGUAUUAUCUCAUCAGGGAUUGUAUCUCACCCUUAUAAAUAGGUAUCGUGCAUUUUUAUCAUUAAUUUAAUAUUGGUAAUUCUUCUUUUAUUUUCCAUCGUUAUCAUUGUCGUCGCCUUUUGAAACUCUUCUAAGUAGACAGUUGCCAAAAGUAAAAAAGAGUUACUGAUUUAAAAAAGAUAAUUAUUGUUUUGGAUAACUAAGAAACAUAAUUAAAAAAAAUAAAAAAUGGAGGUGAAUGUGAGAGAAAGCCUCAAAAAUCCUAUUGUUCUCCUUACACAAAGUUGUAUAAAUAUUUAUUUUGAUCUUCUAUGGGUAGUAUAGGUAGAAUAAGAACAUAGAGAGGCCAACUUAAAUAUCAUAGACUGCUCAGAUUUUCACAAUCUUGAAAAAUAUUAGUUUCAAAAAAAUUUCAUACUCUUAUAAUGUAAAAAUGUUUUCAGAUUUCAUUUGUGUUAUCAUAUGUUUUUAGUAACUCGGAAAAGGAAAGACUAAAGUUUGUAAUAAUGAGACGAGUAAAUAUAGUUGUAAGAGGCGAGCGGGUGAUAACUUAAUAGUGAUUGUUAAUUGAAAAAUGGAAUUUGAGAUUGUAUGUAUCCUUAAAAUUUGAAUUUUUUUUUGUCUUAGUUCAUUUUUCGGUUGUAUGACCACAUAGGAACAAACAUCCACAUAAUCAAUAGUCUCACUGGUUCAAUUUAGUUUUGAUUUCAUUUCUUUUGAGUCGAGAAUCUAUUAAAAACAGUCUAUGAUUGUGUAGUCAUAUGAGAUCAUUGCUUCCACAAGCAUUAAUAAUUUCACUGGUUCAAUUCUGCUUUGAUUUUAUUUCUUUUGAGCUGAAGAUCUAUCAAAAAUAGUCUCUUUACCUCACAGAGAUAGGCGCCUCACAAAAGAAAGGGUAAGCUCUGUACAUUCUACCCUCUACUUGCGGGAAAAAUGUCUUUUUACAUCAUAGAGAUAGGGGUUUCACAAAAGAAAUGAUAAGAUCUACGUAUAUUUUAUCCUCUACUUAUACGAUUACACUAGAUAUCUUAUUGUCGUUGUGUUAUUACUUUUAAAUUAUUUUAUUUUUCUUGCAUGGAGUAUAAUUUUACUUAUUAACACGACAUACACGUGCAAAGCACGUAUACUAAACUAGUAACAAAAAAUAGGUGAGGGAAAAAAAAUAGUAAUGCUAGUGAAGGUAGGUAUCCUAGUUUAUUUUUAUGUGAUCCUAGAUUUAAGAAGCAAAAUUUAUUAAUGGAGUACGCAGGUUUCUUAGAUUUUCUUAGUGGUCCUAUGAAGCGUGCAUUACGAAGACGGGCGGGCGGUUCAGUUUUUUCGUUUGGUUUUUCGGAAUUUUGAUCCUAUUUUUCGGUUUUCUUUUAUGAAAGGGAUAGCAAAAUUGAACCGAAUUAGUUAUCCAGUACGGUUCAGUUCAGUUUGAUUUUUUUUAUUAUGAAUCUACUGGUUGGAAUAUCACUGGAAAUUGGUUGGAAUCGUGCUGGACACAAAAAAAAAAAAAAAAAUUGAUUCAAAAUGGACUACUAUAUAACAGCAAACAGCCAUCAGGAGUCUAGAACAACACUUACACUGAAAAAAAAUUGAACACAAGUAGAAAAAAGAGAAAACUAGCUUAUACUGAUGUGACUAGAAGAGUGAUUCAAAACGUCAUUAAGAUUAUUAUUAUGAAGUGAUAAGUACUUCUAUGUUUUUAAUCAAAGAUUUUUGAUUUGAGCUUUGAGAAUUCACCUUUGGUAGAAAUUGUUUUACUCUCAUAGUAAGACUUUCCGACACAAACUCACAUUAGUCUAACUCAAAUACAAACACGAACCCCACAUAAAAAAAACAAAAGAACGACAUUAUUCAAAACAUGAUUAAAAGGACCACAUUGAGUGAUGUUUGAUUGGAUGGCUAAACUUGUCCUUAUUGCCUGUGUCAACUUUUAAGGUUCUAUAUUCGAACCUCAGGCCUCAGCCACUCAACGGUAUAGUACUCUCUCUAUGUUCCAAUUUAUUUUUUUAGUUCUAAUUUAGUAUUGACUAUAAAAAAAAAAGUUAAAUUUUGUGGUUUUAAAUUAAAAAUAUGUAGAAUAUAUCAAAAUAUUUUUAAAAUUAUGUAAUUUUAAACAUGUCACAUGAAAAAUAGAACUAGCUAUAAGUUACCCAAAGAAAAAAGAAUUCUCACGCAUAUAAAAUAAAUCAAAUUAUCCAGGAUAAUCCCUUAACAAAUGGAUCUAGCCAGCUUAGCUUGUUGGAUAAUAUGCACAUACCUUAAUUUAUUAAUACUGUUCAAGUAGAACUUUUAGUAGUGAUUUUUAUCCUUUGAAGCCAUACAAUACAUGCACUAAGAUAUUGUCCUUUCUUUAUCGAAACGAAGAUAUAUAGCAUAAUUUAUAGUAAUAUAUAUCCAGGUGAAUUACAGCCAAAUUUUAAACUAAAGUUACCCAAGUAUAUAUUUAGAGUACAUCUAUAGCGAGUGAUGCUGCUUUUUAUACCAAUAUAUAGCUAUCAAAGUUCUCCAUGAGAUUGAGAGUAAUAACAAAACAAAAUUAGUAUCUACGAAGCGGACUCACUAUUGUUGAGGCGUAAGCGUAUUCCCUUGAAAAUUUUCCUAUAUAUACAUCGUCAUCAUGAUACACCUCUUAUAACAAUCCACAAAAUGAGAGAGAUUAUAAUUAGCCUUUUAUCUCUGGCUUUGUUCCUCCUUAAGGUCUCAGCCAAGCUAUCUGAUGUUCCCUUUUAUUUACCAGCCAAUGAAACCCUUGGCCUUAAACUAAUAAGGGAACGUAAUACGUCAGACCUAGCCCAGUCAUUAUUAGCACAGAGUCGAUGCGGAUGGCCAGGUGGCGGUAGAUCGUGUCCUACUGGACAGUGUUGUGAUUUUGAUGGUUGGUGUGGAACCGGUGAUGCCUAUUGUGAUGAAGAUGAGUGUGAUUUCCAGUGUCCAGGUCCGAUCCCAGUGGGACGAUGCGGAAUGCAAGCAGGUGGUCGACCAUGUCCUACUGGACAGUGUUGUCGGGAUUCAGGUUGGUGUGGAACCACAGAAGAAUAUUGUAAUCCUCUACGCUGUCAAAGCCAAUGUUCAGGACCUUAUCCAUCGGGACGUUGUGGAUGGCAAGCUGGUGGGAGGAAAUGUCCUACUGGAUUAUGUUGUAGUCUCUCUGGUUGGUGUGGAACCACUUCAAUCUAUUGUUCUCGUGAAGAAUGUCAAAGUCAGUGAGAAAGGCCACCACCACCCCCGUCUCCACCACCCCCACCCCCACCAUUCCCACAGGGACGAUGCGGAAAGCAAGCUGCUGGUAGAGCAUGUCCUACUGGAGUGUGCUGUAGUAUAUGGGGCUGGUGUGGAACCACACGUAACUACUGUGUUUCUCCCUACUGUCAAAGUCAGUGCAAGGGCGGUCUAACCUCGUACAACAAGAAUCGCUUCAGAGGCAUUGAAAGCUUAUUGCUCAAUGCUCUCUAGAUGCUUGCUGCCUUCUGUAUUCCCUAGACCAUGUACUUCUACUCCUCUUUUGGGACUGGA
rnacentral:lncRNA from 1 species